GUUCUUGUUCCUCCACGGCGUUGUAUCCGCUGUUGUAUCUGAUGCUCAAAGUAGAUGUCAUGUGGCGGCGCCCUCCCGUGCUGCGAAACCGAAACUGACUUGGCCUGAGUUUCGUCGUUGUUCCAUGCUCCCGGCUAUCCUAGAUGGUAGGUAAUGUCGGAACACAGGGGGAUGGUGGGGCAGUGUUGUUACCAUAUGAUCCAAGGGGUACCUUUUCUUUCUUCAUGCUGAACCUUGUACUGUGUAGCUUCUAUGCUGGUGUUUCAUGCUAGUGAUUUUUAGCAGUAAAUGCAUGUAACCUGACUAUUUGAAUGAUUUGAACAAAGUUGUGCUCAUGGUGUCAUACUUUAGAUUUCAGAACCGUGCAUCAAUUUUAUUUAAGAUUUCCUUGCAGAGCCAAAAUAAACUCUUUUACCCCUCUUUGAAAUGCCGAUAUAGCCACAUUUGGAGCCAGUUAUGGAUUCAGAACUACAAUACAUAUUUCACAGGUUAUGUCCUGAAUAUUCUCAAACUUGAUGCAUGCCGAUGAACUCUGUAAGCUUCACAUAAACAGUAGAACUGAAUAAUUGUGGAUUUGAAAGAAAAAUAUGCGCCUGGAUUGUUUUAGUGCAAUAUAUAUUUAUCAAUUAUGGAUGAUGAAGACGAGUCCUCAAACAUGGAUGUUCAGCUGCUUACAUUAAAGAUAAGCAGCUCGCACGGUAGUACCAUCCAGCAAUUGCGUAUGGUGGUUUUACAAUUGUAGAAGUUGCACAUGCCUUUACAGUGGUUUUGCAAUUUUACAAUCUUAAGCAGCAAUUUUAAAGAUGUGCAUGCCUUUGUUCAGUUGCAAACAUUAACAGUUCUCACAAUCUAGCACAUUCAGUGGUUUUACUUUCAAAGAAGUACUUACAUGAAGUAAAUUUUCCAUUUAGAGUUUUUUUUUUCUAAAUGGAACAUUUAAUCGCUACGUGCUGUUUUAUAUGCAGGCGAUCCAUUUAGAUCAUGCAUCAAUAAUGUAUUCAUGUUUUUUUUUUGUGAGAUUUUUUUCCAAAUAAUUGUAUUCUGGUAGAUAAGGUCCAUAUACGCCCAAAUCGUUUGGCUGGCGAUGCGAGCAUGGCCUGUGUGUGCUAUUGGUAGCUAGCUAGACUGGGCUUGGCCCAAAGCGUACGCGAGGGAGAUCGGCCCUUGGAAGACGCGCGACGAUGCAGCGGUUGCUCUGCUCGUCCAUACCCCAGCCGCCGCCAGGUCCGCCUCCGAUCUUUCCAAAAUGAAAAAUCCCACGAGAAAAAAAGGAAGGUCUACCUCCUAUUCUAUCUCCUCAUCGCUAUGUGAUGGAUAGCAUGGGAUUUGAGGUGGCGGCGCAGUACAUGGAUUAAUCGAGGGCAGACCAAGAGGGCCAGCUCUGUGCUCUCUAGCACAGGUUAAUCUUAAAACUUUUUUCUCCGUGUUUAUUGGGGUCGAUCUACUGAGUCUUCUUGCUAGUUGCUAUGGUUGCUGAAUUUCUUGCUUGGAUUGUGAAGAAGUGAAUAAAAUUUGGUAGUCUUGGAACAGGCCUGUUCAUAGGAUGUGAAAAAAAGGGGCCUGUCCAUAGGGGUGUUUUGGCUUUCCCAAGCACGCAUUGAUCAUGAACUUGUGGUACACUAGUCUCAGGAAAUAAAUUGGUUUCAUAGACUUUCGUCGUUAUUACAGUGGUUCAUCAGGUUUGUGCCUCAAGCCUUGUUUGGUUAGAGGGAUCCACAAGGAUUACAGUUAGAUUCACAUGGAUAGCUCGCGCGGGCACCAUUACUGGAUGAGGGCCUUUUCGUGUUUGGUUGAGGCCGGGGUUGGGAAGGUAUGGCCUAAUCACCGUCGAUCCACGGGGCAGAGAAAAGUGAGAUCUCAGGUCGCAGCGCCAAAUCAAACUCUUUUAUCCCUCUUAAGAAUGUCGAUAUGGCCGCAUUUGGAGCCACUUAUGGAUUCAGAAUCACAAGAUAGUUAGGACAUAUUUCACAGGUUAUAUCAUGAAUAUUCUCCAACUUGAUGCAUGCCGAUGAACUCGAACCGAAUAAUUAUGGAUUUCAAAGCAAAAAAGAUUGAUGCGCCUGGAUUAUUUUAGUGCAGUAUAUUAAUCAAUUAAGGAUGAUGAAGACGAGUCUUCAAAUAUGGAUGUUCAGCUGCUUACAUUAAGGAUGUACAUGCCUUCGUUUAGUUGCAAACAUAGACAGCUCGCACCGUAUUAUCCAGCAAUUGCGUACACAGUGUGCAGACUACGCAUCCAAGAUCAUCUGCAUAUAGUACAACAUGAUGUAUUACAUAUGACCAUUCAUAUCAUGCAGGAAUAACCGCAUUCGGCUAGCCAAGGUUCAGAUACGCCCAAAUCAUUACAAACUCUGACAUCAUAAAUCACAAGGUAUGUAGUGCAGUUAUGCGAUAAACAGAAUGUGUACCAGGUAAAUACAAGAAGAGUAAAUGAAUAAGUAGAACAACAAGGGGAGAUUUAUAUUACAGAGAAGGCCGAUCAUCAUAUCGAUAUAUUUGAACAGACGGGCAUGUUGGGUGCAGGGCCGUCUCCAGGAAUUCGGGGGCCCGGUGCGAAAUAUGAAUUGGGGCCCAAAAUUUAGCAAAAAAUUCUAUUACUAAUAUAAUUAGACAUUUAUUCACUUAAUAUAUAGCUUCGAAUAUGUGGUAUUUCACACAAUAGUUGAAAAAUAUAUUAUAUAGUAAUGCUAAGAAUAAACGUAGUAUUGAAACAAUAAACUUCUCUUUCGCAAAUUGUAAUAAAAUAGUAAACUGACCACAUGUUCUACCGAAAAGCAUCAUCUAUCUAGUAGGCCCUCCGUCCCGAAUUACUUGUCGUAGAAAUGGAUAAAAAUGAAUAUGUCUAGAAUUAAAAUGCGUCUAGAUAUAUUUAUUUCGGUGACAAGUGAUUCCAGGCGGAAGGAGUAUUUCUUAAAACGGAAUCUUUAAAUCCAUGACUCUAUUCUCGGAAAAUAAAAUUCCAUUAAGUCUUUCUUAGAAUGAAAUAGUGUAGCAAGACGAGCACACAACGAAGAAUUAGUACUACAAUAAAAAACUAGCUUACGGCUAGUGUGAUAAUCUUAUUUAUUUUGAUUAAAACUAAGCGCAUGCCUAAUCGAGUAGCACUUUUGUAGUAGUAGGCAUUGCAUCGAUAAGACAGGAAUACAUCAAAAGAACCAGAAAGAGAAUGAUUGUAACAAAAAAGUAAUAACCCGAACUAGAUUUUCGUUCCUCUAUUUUGAUCCCAGGCGUAUGGCUAUGACUUACCUUGGAAAAUAUUCUUGUGGUUAGAGGCCGCUGCAGUAAAGAAACACGAGAAACAAGCACUCUCGGCCGUAGCGAUUUGGCCCAUUAGCGUAACUAGCCUGCCUUGUUUUUUUACUUAUUCUUUUACAAACAGGCCGAAAAGGGAGUGGAUAAAUCAGUACUAGGCCAACUGAGGGCCUGUUUUGUCUCAAAAAAAAAAAAAAACUGACGGCCUGUUCGCUGGGUAUUAGCGCACCAUAACGUGCGUUCCGCUUCUUGAGCAAGGUUUCUUCCGAUUAAAUCGGAUCGAGCGAGCCAGCCGAAAAAGGAAGCAAACCAGGCCAAAUCCUAUUUCCGAUUUAGUUGUUCCUGCAAUCGGGCGCACACCCCCGCUUCCUUCCUUCGCUACUAAAGGGCCGGCCCACCUUACCUUUCGUACUAUACGUUUUCAUAGUCGCAAAAAAGUGCGCUUGAGGGUGGAUCGAACCAGCGACCUCCUGCAUCGAGGGGGGCCGCGACAACCAACGCGCCACCGAACCCACUGCUACAACAAACAUCGUUUCUUUCCUUUCUUGUGUCCCCUUUCAUUUCUCCAUUUCCUUUUUCCCUUUUUUAAAAUUCGAGAAAAUUUCUUUCUUCAUGUUUUUUUUUCUGCAAAUGGAUGAACUUUUUUUCAAAUUCGAUUAACUCUUUUUAUAUUCGAUGAACUUUUUUCAAAUUCGAUGAACUUUUUUUUCAUAUUCAAUGAACUUUUUUCAAAUCGAUGAACUUUUUUUCAAAUUCGAUGAACUUUUUUUCAUAUUCAAUGAACUUUUUUUAAAAUCGAUGAUUUUUUUUUCAAAUUUGAUAUUUUUUUUUGAAUCCAAUGAACUUUUUUCAAAUCCGAUGAACUUUUUUUUUCAUAUUCAAUGAACUUUUUUCAAAUUCGAUGAACUUUUUUUCAAAUUCGAUAAACUUUUUUUUGAAUUCAAAGAACUUUUUUCAUAUUCGAUGAACUUUUUUCAUAUUUCGAUGAACUUUUUUCAAAUUCGAUGAACAUUUUCCUAAGAACAAUAGUAUGUACUGUAGCAACCCGGUUUGGUUUUUUCUAAGAAAAUCAUGACAUAAUGUAGCAUUUUUUGGGGAAAGAAAAAAAAAACAAGCGAGCGUGCGUGAGCCAGCGAUCGAGAGUGGGCGGCUAGCGAGCGAGCGGGAGCCAGCGCGCGUUGCUGGGCCAGGCCCAUGCAAACGACGCAGUGGGCGCUGGGUUCGCUAGUGGGCGCUGAAGGCGCCAAGGAGGCGCUCUCGCAAACCAGCGCAUGAACCACGGCCAAUAUGUUUUUACCUUCGAUCGGGGCCCCUACGAUUUCGGGGGCCCUGUGCGAUCGCACCGCUCGCACAGCCUUGUCGACGGGCCUGGUUGGGUGCACAUCGGCUGCGCUCCUGAAGGCAGACUCGACAUCACUGUUCUUGUGGACGGAGGAUGUGACACCUACACGGAUGUGCUCGAGGGCUAACAGGUGCUCCAUGCCUAAUGGCGUAGCACCACCCCACCCAUCAGGUAUUUGUAGAUGGAGCUGUCGCAGCUUGGGAAUCGCCCCUGCCUCGAACUCCAUGCAUACCUAAGGUCUUCCAGAACCAGAAAUAAUCCUGUGCGGACUAUGGUGGCACCACUAUGUUCAGUGAUACUCGACACCGAGAGAAACAUGUCGACGAGGGAGGGCAGUUUUCCGACAACGUGAACCUCAUCAGUCGAUAGGUACUCAACCGACAAAGUCAGGCUGCGGAGGCAAUGGAGGUCGCCAAUCCAAUUGGGAACUCUCUUCAAUAUCCAUCCUAGCAGAUAAAGUACCUCGAUAUGGAGAGGAGGGUUGGAUAGCGAGUACAUCUGGCAACAAGAAUGUUUAGAAAACACACCAUUAGCACUGACAAAGAGGUAUUUGAGGUCACGGAGCCUUGCAAUUGAGGAGACCAAAGCAUCAACUACCUCCUCAGCCACCACUUUGCCAGAGAAGCUCAGCAUUCUCAGACCAGUCAGCUCUGCGCCAAUGCCCUUAAUAUCCUCUAACGAGCUCUUCUCCAUAUCAGGGCAUGACAAAGCAUGCAAUGAUUUAAUGCUCGCGAUUCCUUGAGGCAGCCCUGUACCAUCUGGAAGGCUCAGAUGAGACAGUCGUGGCAAUAAAACUAUAUCUGAUGGGAAGUUUUGUGCUGAUCGACCAUUUAUUACCACCGUCUCCAAAUGAACAAGGCCUCGAAUUUCAAUAGGGAGAUCAAUGAUGCAUUUGAAUGCCUUAAUUCUAACAUACCUUAGCUGAAACAAUUGAUUAAUAGGAGUGAGGUCGACCGUCGUACCCUUGUAAGGGAAGUUACACAUGAGCACUCGAAGGUACUUAAAUAGCGAAAGAGGGGGCGUGUAAUUGGACUCUCCAAACUGUGCAAAUGAUCGAACUUGUGACAUGCUAGUAUCAAUGAUCCCUGAUGUUGUACCACUAGCGCUUGAUUUUGAGGACAAUCUACGGACCUUAUUAAAUUCGUAGCUAUACAUUCUUGCCACAUCUUCCCAAUUAUAUGCCACACUGAUGAAGUUGUCUUCUGCGCACUUGCUGAUGAUCAAAUCAAGCAUCAUGUCGUGUACUUUGCAAUACCCCACAUCUACAAAAUUUGAUAAUUCAGUUGGCUGGGUAAGGCUUCUAUGAUAAGCUCAUUAAAAUAACUCUUUGCAACGUCCUCCAAAUCUGAUCCAUGAGAAUUAUUGACGAAGCCUUCAGCUACCCAUUGUACAACCAAAUCAUCCCUGCUGAUACUUCCAUCUUCUGGAUACAUGCCAAGGUACAGGAGACAUGGACAGAGAUGAAGAGGAAGAUGCAUGUAACUAAGGUUUAAUAUACUCCUCAUCUCUUCCAAGGUGGGAUUUGUGGCGAACUUAGCACCAAGAGAGUUUCUUAUGCUCUCCCACUCGUCCUUUGGUCUUGCUUGAUGACUAGCUAACAAACUGGCUAUAGUGAUAAUUGCAAGUGGCAACCCUCCACACCUCCUCAAAAUUUCAGCUGACAUUUCUUUAAGCUGGGGUGGACAGUCAUCUUCAGACCCAAACACUCUAUUAAAGAACAACAGUCUUGAGUCUAGUUCUUUUAGGGUCUUCAUUCUGUAAACACACUCACGGUCGUUGCUACACGUCCCAAUAGCUACAUUAUCCACUCGUGUAGUUACUAUUACUCUACUUCCAUUAUCAACUUAUGGAAAGAAACAACUCAUAAUAUUCCAUGUUGAUUGAUCCCACAAGUCAUCUACUACAAUAAGGUACCUAUUGAAUUUUGUUGUACAUAUCAGAUAGCUUGAAUUGUGAUAUGAUUUGCAGAUGGAAGUACCAUAACUUAGAAAUGAACAUAAACUAAGAACAAUGUAAACUAGGAUUCAAGCAAGAAAAAUGCUAUUUCCUAGGUUAAUUUUGCAUGUUCACAUAACAUUCGAGCCUAAGGCAAGUUAAUUUACAUGCACCGAUAUAACAUAGUACAAACACAUUUAUAUUUAUCUUAUACAUGCAUUCUUGAACAAAAAGAGACUACAAUUUUCUAUUAUAUAAUAAAGGAUAAUGGCUUGAGACCGUACAACUCUACACCCAUAUUAGAAGUACAUGUUUGUUGGAUCCAACUAACAUUAGCCAUCGAUCUAUCUUCAAUACGAUGGCUCACAAUUUUAUUUAUACAUGUGCUAAUUCAACUUUAGUUACAUACUCAUUUGAGAAUGAAGAGACAUUUCAUGAGUCAAUUUCUCCCAUUCGUAUGCCAAUCUGAAGUUUGCAUCUCUUCUCAUCCAGGUAUUUCUUACCUCAUACAACAAUCACACCAUUAUCAGGUGGUGUUUUUAUUUCUUAAUUUAUGGGCUUGCUACUUUAGUUGCCCGAUUUUCGUUCCGAGAUUUGGCCAUAGUCGAUUUCUCGUUUAAGGGUGUCUCUGAUGUGCAAAGUUGUAUGUAGAUUAACCAAGGCGAAAUAGAGAGCAAUCACAUUUAUUCUUUCAUCUCCUAUUGGACAAUCUAGACACAACCAAUAUGAGUAGUUGUAUAAUAGCUUGUUCGUUGAUGAGAUGGACAUUUUUACCAACAAGAUUACAUACAACCUAUUAGAGAUGCCCUAAGGGGAGACCAUACAUGCCAACAGACGAAGGGCCCUCGCGUCGCUCCUGUAGAAACGACUCAGAAGGCGAAACCGUUGCCCACCGCCGGCCCUCCCUCCCGCUUCCCCUCUCCUUUGUCGCCACCGAAAGGUGGCUGCCGGCUCGCAAUGGGGCCAUUGGUGAAGGUGGUGGCGAGGAUCUAUUCAUUCCAUACUCUCGCAGAGGCUCCAGAAUCGAGGGGGCGACCUCAGGUGGUGGCGCGUCGCUAGCGAGUGGUAUCCGCUAGUUCUGGCCGUUGGCCUUGGCUGCAUGGGUAGCGAGGUCCACGCUCCCCUCCCCCGUGUUGUCCCAUGCUGCUUAAAUGCGCGCUCAUAGGAGAUUGUCCUCCGGGGUGUGGUGGUGAACACUAGAUGUAGAUACGCGGCCUGUGGGUCGCAUGCCCUCCAUUGGUGAGGCGGUGCCACCCAGCUCAAUCUGAUGAGGUGGUUCUGCUCGGGAGCCGUGGCUGGCGGCUGCAGCGGCCCUUGCUGGUGGCGACGAGAUGGUGUGCCUGCGGUCGUGGGUGCGAUGACCAGGAGGGAUGUAGCGGCUUGAUUCUUGGCCACCAGACAUAUCCACCUUUCGUGCUCCUAGCGAGAUGGAAAUCGCAUGGUGUGCUACGCGUCGUUGUUGGUCCGUGUGAUGACCACUCCGGCCUAUGGUGAAGGCCUCCCUGUGGAUUAGGAUGACCACCAAAAGUCUUUGUGAGGGUUCCUCCCUUCAGAUCCGAUGUUUGCCUUUGGCGGUGAGAUGCAAUCUAUGGAUGACGGCUUGACGCAGAGAGUAUGGUCGUGCAUUUGCGGUAGGCCAUCACAUGUAGCUGCUGGGAUCGUGGAAAAGUGAUGGCGACAACAUACGAUCAACUUUGAGGGUGGGGCUACUUGUGUACCAGUCUCGAGCUCUAGGGUGAAAACUUAGGUGUGAUCGGAGUUGGUUAUACCUGGCGGUGACGAUGUUUUUUGCUUCGUUACCUUGUUGAAUGCAUUGCUCGGAUAUGCUCGGACUAGUUCUUUAGGGUGAAAACCAAGAAUCUAGCCUUUGGUAGUUGGAUCCGGUGAUAGUGGAGCUUGAGCGCCGCUUCCUUCCUGAAGGUGGUGCUAUUGAAGAACCUUUUCGUUCUUGUGGUGUAACGGGAGCAUCUAUAUCCGGAUGCCCCAUAUCCGUUCCAAACGCCCAAGCGGUCUACCUGGACAAAAAUUGAGACCCAACCAGCCACCCGAAACGCAGCCCAAACGUACUGGUUGAUCGACAACCCCAUACCGAUCCUAGAUGUGGGCGAAUAUGGGGACACCCAUACGCGUUUGCCACAUCGGAUCCAUCUCAUAAUGGCCCACCCCGACCCCACAUAUAUUCAUCCCCAUUCGCAUUUUGGCCCAAACCCUAGCCGCUUCACUCCAAUCAACUCCACUCCCGUCCCCAAGCUCAUGUUCGGCGAACUUCGACCUUCUCCGACAUAGCAGGCAGUGGAUCUGACUCCGAGAUCUCCCGAUCCAUCUGUGACGCCCGGAUAAUUAAGCUACAGUGAACAUCUGCUAAUGAUGCCACGUCACUUCGAUUACUGUUGCUAAUCUCACGUUAGUUCGAAACCGAUUUAAAUUCAAAGUCAAAAUCAAGCAAACAAUAAAUUUUUUCAAAUAUUAAAACUAAAAUGUUCUUCAUGUGCCAAAUAAUCCAUACCUAAUAUUGGUAGUGAACCAACACUUUUGCAAAUGUCUAAGUGCCCUAAACCACUUUAAAACAGUGGCUAAAACUAUAGUUUAAAUGCCUUUUUAAAUUAUGAAGGUUGCAAACUAUUUCAAAAGCCUCACAAUCUUUUUGUGGCAGUGCCCAAUAAUUCUUUGAAAUUGUUUUGGCCAGUGGCAUAAUUUUGCAAAGUCAUUAUUGGCUAAAAAGAAAAUGCAAAAGCUGCUGAAAAUAAAAAGAAAAACAAAGAAAAGGAAAAGGGAAAAGAAGAGAGAGAGAAAGCCCCUGCCCCACUUGGGCCUCGGCCCACCCGAGCCAGCUGGCCCAGCAGGCCGGCCCACUCCCCCCCUCACCGGUCGCUCCCUCCCCUUCCUGUUCCUCUGCUCCGUGUCGCUACAGGGGCGAGGUCGACCCCGUUUACCUCGCCGGCCUCGCCGGGAGAGGAUAAGGGCGACGCCUCGGGCUCCCUUCCUCUCUCUCUCUCGCCCACGCGCUCGCCUUCCUCUCCCCCGGUUCCCCAUCCACGCCCGAGUGUGGUCGCCGCCGUCCUCGUUGUUGUCGCGGCCACCGGCGGCCCCGCGCCCGCUGACCCUGUCGGUGAGCUCCGUCGGGGUCGACUCCUUCGACUGAUGGCCUCAGCUGGAGCUCGGAGGCGCUGCAGCAUUGGAUCCCCUUCGUCCCACUGCCAUCGAUCUUCUUCGUCUCCGGCGCCGCCCCUGCAGCUCCUAAACCGCCAACGAGCCUCCUUGUGCUCCGCGGUGAGCUCUCCUUCCUCCCCGCUCUCUUCUCCUCGCCCCAACGUGCCCGUAGUUGCCGUCUCGUACGUGCCCGAGCCCAUCACCGCGGGAGCUCAUCGCCGACGAGCUUCCGGCGACCAAAUGGUCCCGGGCCAGUGCCGGUUACACUCACCGCGCCCCAUAGAUCCUCCCCAGCACCUCCAUUUGCUCGCUAGCUCGCCGUAGCCCCGUUUUCCUCGAGCUCCCGUACGCGCCGCCGCUUUCGCUCAUCGCCGGUGCCGAAUCCGGCCAAGCCCGGUCGUGCCACCACCACCAAACGACGCGGCGUUGAGUGGCCGUUCGAACGGGCCUAGCCGCGCUCUUCCCCAUGCCCUGUAGUCCUUUCCCAAUGAACCCCGUGGUCGCGCCGUCGUGUUUCGGGUCGCCGGAGUCACUCCGGCGCCGGCCGCCGACGUGGCUAGCCUGGGGCCAUCCCGAGCCACUGCCAGUGGGCCCCACGGCCCCCAGAUGACUGGGUUGACCCAGUCAACUGCUGACUGGGCACCCGUGGGCCACUGACGUGUGGGUCCCGCGCGUAAUUAAUCUAAUUUGAAAUUAAAAGUUUAAUUAUUAAUUAUAUUAGUCUAAUGUCUCACUGACAUAUGGGGCCCACACCCCUAAUUAGUUCAGUUAGAUUAGUUAAUUCACUGUUAUAGCCACUCUCACUGACCAGUGGGUCCCGCUAGACCCACAGGCCAGGUUUGACCUGGUCAGCUGACCAGCUGGCUGCUGACGUCAUCCUCUAGUCAUACUGACGUCAUAAUUCCAUUUCUAUUAAUUUAGAUAAUUUCAGAAAAUGUUUAAAACUUAGAAAAAUCCUAUAAAAUAAACCGUAGCUCGGAUGAAAAUGUUUUCUAUAUGAAAAUUACUCAGAAAAAUCCAACGAAUCCGAAUAUGCGGUCCGUUCAUCUGUCACAUGCCUCUAGCAUGCUGAACUUGGAAUAUUUCCCCUCCGGUCACCUGUCUGACACAGGUCCGGAACCGGGAAUACAUUCCCGGUUGAAUUCCCCCUUCACCUUUAUCGUGUAGCCAUACGUUAGGUCACACCCGGCACAUCAUAUUGCCAUGUUAAACUUUGUGAUGCCUUGUUUGCUCUAUAUUUAUUGUUUCUUCCCCCUCUUCUCUCCGGUAGACCCCGAGACCGAUGUUGCCCCUGUGAUCGACUACGUCGACGACGACCCCUCCUUGCCCGAGCAACCAGGCAAGCCCCCCCCCUUGAUCACCAGAUAUCGCCUAUCCCUUCUCUAUACUACUUGCAUUAGAGUAGUGUAGCAUGUUACUGCUUUCGGUUAAUCCUAUACUGAUGCAUAGCCUGUCAUUGUUGCUACAGUUGUUACCCUUACCUGCUAUCCUACUGCUUAGUAUAGGAUGCUAGUGUUCCAUCAGUGGCCCUACACUCUUGUCCUUCUACCAUGCUAUACUACUGGGCCGUGAUCACUUCGGGAGGUGAUCACGGGUAUAUACUAUAUACUUUAUAUACAUGACACAUGUGGUGACUAAAGUCGGGUCGGCUCGUUGAGUACCCGCAAGUGAUUCUGAUUAGGGGGCUGAAAGGACAGGUGGCUCCAACCCGGUAGAGAUGGGCCUGGGUUCCUGACGGCCCCCAACUGUUACUUUAUGGCGGAGCGACAGGGCAGGUUGAGACCACCUAGGAGAGAGGUUCGCCUGGCCCUGGUCGGCGUCCGCGGAUACUUAAAAUAACACGCUUAACGAGUUCUUGGUAUUUGAUCUGAGUCUGGCCAUUUGGUCUAUACGCACUAACCAACUACGCGGGAACAGUUAUGGGCACUCGAUGUCGUGGUAUCAGCCGAAGCUCUUCUUCACGUCAGCGACGGAGCGGCGUGCGCCGGAUUGGACUGGAACGCCUGCUAGGCUAGGUCUGCUUCCGGCCGCGUACGCAACGUGCAGGUGUGCAAUGGGCGAUGGGCCUAGACCCCUGCGCCAUAGGAUUUAGACCGGCGUGCUGACCUCUCUGUUGGGCCUAGGUGGGGCUGCGACGUGUUGAUCUUCCGCGGCCGGGCAUGACCCAGAAAAGUGUGUCCGGCCAAAUAGGAUCAAGCGUGUUGGGUUAUGUGGUGCACCCCUGCAGGGAAGUUUAUCUAUUCGAAUAGCCGUGUCCCUCGGUAAAAGGACGACCCGGAGUUGUACCUUGACCUUAUGACAACUAGAACUGGAUACUUAAUAAAACACACCCUUCCAAGUGCUAGAUAUAACUCGGUGAUCGCUCUCUAACAGGGCGACGAGGAGGGGAUCGCCGGGUAGGGUUAUGCUAUGCGAUGCUACUUGGAGGACUUCAAUCUACUCUCUUCUACAUGCUGCAAGAUGGAGGCUGCCAGAAGCGUAGUCUUCGACAGGAUUAGCUAUCCCCCUCUUAUUCUGGCAUUCUGCAGUUCAGUCCACUGAUAUGGCCCUUUACACAUAUACCCAUGCAUAUGUAGUGUAGCUCCUUGCUUGCGAGUACUUUGGAUGAGUACUCACGGUUGCUUUUCUCCCUCUUUUCCCCUUUCUAUACCGGAUUGUCGCAACCAGAUGCUGGAGUCCAGGAGCUAGAGAUACCGAGGAUGAUUCUACAUGGAGUUCGGCUUCGAGGAGCAGUUAGGAGGAUCCCAGGCAGGAGGCCUGUGCCUCUUUCGAUCUGUAUCCCCGUUUGUGCUAGCCUUCUUAAGGCAAACUUGUGUAGCUUAUGUCUGUACUCAGAUAUUGUUGCUUCCGCUGACUCGUCUAUGAUCGAGCACUUGUAUUCAAGCCCUCGAGGCCCCCUGUCUUGUAUUAUGAUGCUUGUAUGACUUAUUUAUGUUUUAGAGUUGUGUUGUGAUAUCUUCCCGUGAGUCCCUGAUCUUGAUCGUACAUGUUUGCGUGCAUGAUUAGUGUACGGUCAAAUCGGGGGCAUCACACCAUCAACUGGGACCUUGUCCCAUGCGGGGAAGAGGAGGGGAUGGACGACUACAUGACUCUUCGCCGCUCCCAGGAGGAGUGUGCUCGACUACGACUAGACUCGAUCCGGAGGGAAUCCAUUGCGUCUGCUCAAAUGGUGCUCCGGGCUGGUGGCUUGAGGCGCAUGACCGCGGCCUCGCCGGGAGCAGCGAGCACCAAUUGGUAGGGCAACCCCAGGUUGGCGGCGCAACCCCUUAGGUGGCGCCUCAUCCCCACGACGUCGUGCCCCAAGACAAAGGUCAACAGCGCCAUGGUUCACGACCAAAUUGGCUAGGAGGUGCGGCGUGCCCGCCAUGCAAGGCAGAGGGCGCGGGAUGUCGCGACAACCCUCGAGGUGGAGUUGGAGUCGCAAGGAGGGUUAGACAACAAUGAGGAAGUCCACCAUGCCCGCAUCUCCAAGAAGCGACAAAGGAGGGCGACACACGCCUUCGCAAGGGAGCAAAGCGUGGCGGUCCGUGCCAUGGAUGGAUUGCCCCUAGAAGAGGAGAAGAAGGAGGACGGCGACGGAUCGGACAACUCCGGCAGUUAGUAGAUCUGCCUUGAUCCGCUUUGCGUCUUCCACCGCUACUUACGCAACUAAGACAACAAGGGCAGGGGCUAGGGCAAGGGUGCCCAUGGAUGAACUUCUUCCAUUGUUGUUUCAUUCGUAGUUAGUAGAAUAUGUCAAUUUUUGGUAGUCCGAUGACAUGUGUGUUCAACUAAGUGUGUAAUUUAACGUUGCAUGGAACUACUAUGGUUUUGAAGAUUUGAUUAGAGGGAGCCGAUUGUCGAGGAGGAUUUUUUUAUGUCUGACCGGUCAAUCCCGGACGCGUCCGGGCACGUCCGCAAACAUAUAGGAACUGGAUUUGCCCACUCCGGUUGUAGAUGCUCUUAGAUGGUUGGUGCGGAUAGGAUAAUUAUUGUAAUUUUCCGAUCGCGGAUUUGAUUGCUUCAGGGUUUUCAUGGCACUAACUUUAGUCUUUAAUGACUUUGUUAUUUGUAUUGUUAACCUUCUGUUUGUGUGGUUUAAUAUUGAUGUUCAUGUGCGUAGAUCUCAAAGAGAUCAGUACAAAGAGCGUGGUUCUGGUUGUUAAUCAUCGCUGAUGUUUUCAAAUGAAUUGAGAAAACUAACUCAUAUUUACUCAUUUGCACAAUUAGGUAAGAGCGGCUUUUUAGCGCGGUGUCGUUGAUUUAAAAUUUGAAGAAAUUAAGGGAUUUAAUUUUUGAAGAUAUCAAGGAAUAGUUUUCACUUCACUCAUAUGGAUUUGUUUGUCUAUCUUAAUUUUUCAGAUAGUCCUAUUCACAGUAACAACUUACCAUUAACAAUAGUAAGUGCAAGAACAAAAACAUGCAUCCCAACUCUGCAUUUCUUAUGCAAAUUUACGUUAGGACUAUUUAUGGACUUCUUCACCUAUCUAUCUAAAUCUUUUUUGGUACCUUAACCUAUAAUUUAUUACUGUAGUUAUAGUAAAGCCUGACAUUAAACACAACUUUGUAGUUCUAUGGAUAACUUGUGACAGUCACACACACCUUUCUCUACUUUCUUCAUAGGCCAUUAUUUCAAUGUUUAUGUUAAGAGCAUGGGUUUUAGUUUUGCCCCGGACCCCAAAAUCUCCGGACUGGUCAUGUUAGUUUGCUUGUCAUAUAGGUUUUUAUCAUUGUAGAUUACAUAUCUAGAGAACUUACUUUAUCCGCAGUUAUCCCUAAAGUUGAAAGAAACACUAAAAUUUUGUAGUCUCCUAUUUACCCCAUCCUAGUCAACCCCUUCGAUGCUUUUAGCUCCCGACAAGUUGAGGAGGGCAUUCCUAUGUGACGUCCGGGGCCAAGUGCUUUAGCGCCCGGAAACAAUUGUGCCACCCUAAGCGGGAGGUGGUCUUAGGGCAUGAACAAAGGAAGCAUCACCUAGUGAUGCCCCAGCCCAUCCAGCUAGGCAGAAAAGAAAGUGAGGCAUCGACUUGGUACUUAUCACCAACAUGCUAAACUGAGCCAACCAUUACCAUGCCCCCACACCGGCGUCAUCUUCUACUUACCAUGUGAGCACCCAAUUCCAUCUCCCACCUCCUUUCCCCCUCUUUCCUCUCCUUUUCUUCCUUCUCCCAUGAAGUGGCCGCCUCCUCUGCAAGCCACUCUGACACAUUGCGAGGCUACCAUACCAGCUCCACCUGGCAUCCGAACCUAGUUGGACAAUGGGGCAUCAGGUUUGAAGCAUACCAUUGGCCAUGCCCUUAGGGUGUGCUAUGUCACCACUCCAAAUACCCGCCUUUAAGUGAAGCUACUGCAGUGCCUGCACUUGGAGCCAGUUGCCCCGUGGCCCACUUGGGCCUGGGCGACUCCCUCCAUCCAGCCACCAGCCAAUCACAAGUCUGGACCAGGUUGUCGUCGAUGGUCUGCUCGCUUGGUGAUACCUCUUCGGCCGUUGUCGGGGACGUGGCGCGCACGACAUUCUGGCAAGCUGCGUGGCUGCAUGGGAGCUACUAUGCUCACGUUUCCCUUCCAUAUUUUCUCGCUCGCUCGACAUUAAACACGAUGACCUCGCAUUCUAAAGAAUAUUUUUAUGAAAUCCCGUAAAUUUACAUGCAUGCUUUCUUAAUCAUAUGUAUUUUGGAAAAGGGAAAGUUUUGUUUUUGCCACUCUACCUUUUGCCUGUUUUCCUUAUGCCACUCUAAAAUUCGACAUUUCACUUUUACCACUCCUAGCUCUUGAUAAUAUAUCACAAUUGCCAUUCCGUGGCAAAGCAAAAUAAUUUCAUUUAGCUUUUGCCACUCUUAGCUUCUGACAAUGUAACACAAUUGUCAUUCUGAAAUUUUUGCUUUUACCAUAGAAUGCAAUUGUGAUGUAUUGUCAAAUGCUAAAAGUGACAAAAGCGAAAUGUCAAAAGCUAGUGUGGCAUAAGAAAAAUUGGCAAAAGCUAGAGUGACAAAGACAAAAUUCUCCCUUUCGAAAGGGGGUGUACGAGCUCAACCUUUCAAUGGCCAAUAAGAUUUGGCUUUAUCCUAAAGAACAUCUCUAAAAUUAGUAAAGUUACUUAAAAAUCACUGGAAGGUACCCAAAACUUAGAGAAUGUUAGUAAAAUAACAUAUUUUUUGCAUAAUUAAUUAAUUAACCAUUGAAGUGCACAAGUGACUAUUAAGAAGAAUAUGUGUACCUCUCAUGCGCGAGAUGUUGUCUAAGAAGGUCAAUGGUAUCUUGCACCUCACGAGCCUGAGAUGACUCCCCCUUCAUCCCAAGCUUCAAUUGUAGGCCACUGAGAAGGCUUAUUAUAUCAGGUCUUUGAGAAACCGAUACAAAUGCUUUAGAAGUGAACUGUCCUCCGAUCUCAUCAUACACUUGUUUGGCGAGUGUAGUUUUACCAAGACCCCCGAAUCCAACAAUGGCCACCACCUUGAGUUUCUCCUGGGUAUCUGUCAACCAACUUACAAGCUCUUUCUUUGGGCCAUCAAUACCCACAAGGCCUCUUGCAUCCUUGUAGAUUCCCGACAUGCGAGGAUCAACAUGAAUGACGCGAGAAGUAGAAUUGAUGCAAUCAUCAAUCUUGUACCUUUUCAUCACAACAACAAAAGAUAUUUACCGGUUUCAUAUGAAAGAUAUUGUAUGCGAGGAUCUUAUAUUUUGAAAAUAAUAAUAAUAUUUUACCUCAUGCAUCGUUCAUUUGCCUACAACGCAAGAACCUUGAGUUCCUCCAUCCGUUCAGCAGUACGAUGACGCUUCCGCAACGUCUUGAGACGUUCGACUGUCUUCUUGAUAAAGCUUGUUUUGACAUCGACACCUCCAAGGUCUCGCAUGAAGUCAUCGAUGCAAUUCUCCAUGUUGUAGGACAUCUCCCUCACAUGAUCCCUCCAGUUCUUGGCCAAGGGAUCCAGUUCAUCCAUGAGCUCAAGCUUCUCAAGUAGAGCUUUCAUGGCACUAAGCUCAUCCUUGAGGAACGAGGCCUGCUUCCUGACUGACGUGAGCUUCUUGUACUCGUCGCCCAUCAGUGCAGCAAGCUUGCCGAUGAGGGGGUUCAUCGCCCCCAUGGUGGCGCUGAUGAUUGGUGCAGACAUCUCGAUAUCGAGGCUCCUUUUGGUGUUGGCUCAAGUCAACUGCUACGCUCGUGUGCUGCAGGUGAGUGCGACAAACGGCUCUUGUCGGUGAAGCAAGCGGCGAUUCCUGUUGUUAGAAAAGACAGUGGCACAGCGGCGAAGUCUAACAGGUUCGGCGGAGCUCGAGAGGUGGAAGACUGUUGCUCGUAGUGUCAACAGAUCCAUCGCCGAGAUCGAGACCGGAAAGGCGGAUGGGUGCGCCGGAUCGAUCAGUGGCCAGAGGUUGUCUACGGUGUGGUGCGGUGGGAAGAGGGACGGUUGCCACUACUGGUCAUGGCGGAGGGAAGGGCAAUUGGUACCAGCGAGGUGAUUUAAUGGAGGGAGUCGAGUCAAUGACGCGUUUGGACGUGCAACGUGGAAAUGGCCACCGAGUUUGCUAGGCUAUGAGGUGCUCUAUGAUUAACAUCCUAAUCUAAAUAAAUCAACAUGUUAGCAUCUCGAAUAGACAUUUUUACAACUUUAUUCAGGCGCUCAAGCUGACAUGAUCACACGCUAACACGUUAUGUCUGAGCUAACGUUGAUAAAUGUAUAGUCGUUGUCCUUCCGAGUAGGCGUCACUACCGGAAUAAACCCCUAUGCCACCGGCCCGGGUCAUGGCAUAGCCUUGAUUCCCGUCGGGACAGGCCUAUGCCGACGGCCCCCGUCGGCAUAGGGUCGUCGGCAACAUAUCCAACGGCGUAGCCUGGGGGGCCGUCGACAUAGAAAGGCCGUCGGCAUAGACCCUAUCCCGACGGUGUCCAUACAACUAUGCCGACGGCCUCGUCCGUCGGCAACGUCCCCGCCUAACGGCGACCGUCAUUAAGUGCUGGCCAAUGACUGCGCGCCACGUGGCACAUCUAUGCCGACGGCCUAGCCGUCGGCAUAGUGUUAAACUAAGCCGACGGCUAGGCCGUCGACAUAGAGGUGCCACGUGGCGCGAACUGGUCACUCCUGGGGCAGGCCUAUGCUGACGGCCUAGCCGUCGGCGUAGCUUCAAGCUAAGCCGUCGGCAUAGCCCUGCCCCAGGAGUGACCAGUGGCUGACACGUGGCGGCUAUGCCGACGGCUUAGCUGUCGGCUUAGUUUAAAACUAUGCCGACGGCUAGGCCAUCGGCAUAGCUGCCACGUGUCAGCCACUGGGUGCUCACGCGAGCACUAUGCCGACGGCCUAGCCGUCGGCAUAGUUUGUCUCUGUUUUUUUUCUUUUUUCUGUUUCUUUUCAGGUCAAUUCAAUUCAAUAUAGCAUAUAUACAACACAUAUGCAAAUAGACAAACUGAUCACAUAUGCAUAGACAAACUCACAAAGCAUAAGCAUCUCACAACAUAAGAAUCACCUCACAACAUAAGAAACAUCUCACAACAUAAGAAGCAUCAAGUGUAUCAUCACCACAAGUAACCCAAAGGCUUAAGCGCCAGGACGUCGAGCACCGCAGAGGUCGUCACCGCAGAGGUCGUCACCGCUAAGCCCGCCGAAGCCCAAGUCGUUAGUGCUAGCGGCAGCGCUACCGCUAAGACCGCCUCCACCUCCGCCUCCGCCUCCGUGGAUCGGAGUGAUCGGGCUCCGUGAAUCGGGAGUGCUGCGAAGACCACCACCAACGGUUGAUCCGCCGGUUCCCUGGAUGUUGAAAUGUUAAAGAUAUAUAUGAAUGUGUUGAAAGGCAUGAUAUGCUUUGGGUGAAUAGAUUGGGGAUGAACGAACCGGCGAGGGGCCAGCGUUCUGUGCCACAAACUCCUCAAAGGUAAGCAGCCUUGGUUGUGCUGGAGGACAUUGUGCUGGUUGCAGUUGAGGAAACCUGCCGGCUGCCAUUUCCUGAAAAGCGUGCUGCAUCUGGCAAUCCCUCUGCUCAUGGUAUGCAUAAAGGCUCUCGUGCCACGCCAUGGUCUCCUGGCGUGUGUACUCCAUGUAGGCCUACGGUAUGACAUGAUGGAACUCAUAAAACUACUAAAUGCGGAAAAUAAAGUGAGCAAUGAAGAUAAGAGGGAAAAUACUUACAGAUUGCAGCUCCUGAAAGAGGGACUGUGAUUGUGCACUGGUCAUGGGCGUGCUCAUGCACUGGCUCAGGCUCGGGUUGAUCUGAUGGAGCUGUGUGUAGGAGAUAGUAGGAGUGAUCACAGCAACGAGAACCGCCUCCCGACCGUGCUCCGUGGGCCCCAUGCCCACCACCACCCUAUCGUCCAGAUCCGCCGCAAUGGGGUCAGGUGUGUCAGGAUGUAACCUCAGAUACCCAUCGGAGUAGGCCUUCUUCCUUUGCGCGGUCUUCUUGCCGUAGUACUUGGGCUCGCCAGGCUUGGGGUCCUUCCGCGUAUGGGCGAUCUCCCAUGCCUGCAUGUGUGAGAGCGGCUGCUUCAGUUUCUCCUCCUGCACCACCAAACAGAGGUUAGUCAUACAUAAGAACGUGACGGUAAAUAGAAGAAGAAUGUUUAAUGGGGUUAGUCAUACAUUAAGUGUCUUGUGGAGAAAGUAGUUUCGAUUUCCCUGAGCAUGUACUCCCUCCUUCCCUCGGUUAGCCUUGUUUUUGAUGCUCGUAGCCGCCCAGGCUCCAUCCUUAUCACACCAAAGAUCCACCAAUGCCGCCCAGGAGUCGUCUUUUCCAUAACACCAAUUUGGACACACCUACAUAAUGAAAGCAUAAUGGCAUGUCAACACGAAACGGUGAAAUGUACCCAAACAUCGGAAGGAAAAAUCUUUUAUACUUACCGCCAAGUACUCGUGCCUCUCCAAGGUAAUGCCCAUCCUCCGCGCUUCUUCCUUGGUCAUCUUCACACCAAAAGCAUCGUGAUAGUAUGUCGAGAUGGCCACAUAGCGCACCUCGUACUGCAUCUGGCGGGCCUUCUUCUUGCAUUGGCGCAGCACGAUCUGGUUGGCUCUGGCCUUGUGCUCUGGAAGAACUCGAUAGAAUUUCUACAAUCAUGCAUGAAACAAGAAUGGAAGAAGCCAUGAGUUAAAUCAUUCAUGAAACUAGAAUGGACUUGUGCUUCUGAAGAGAACUCACCCAGAAAGUAGUGAUCACGGCCUUGGCAUGGGUCUCAUGGUCCGCGUGGAGGGCCGCUUCCCAGUGGUCCCAGCUCGUGGCCAAAACCCGAUGGUCUGGGUGCCUGACUGGAUCCAGACAGUACAGCCUCGGCCAGUGUAACUUCAGCAAAACGGUGAUGAGGCCGUUGGGAAUACGGACCCCUUUAGAAUAUAUCCAGUUGCUGCAAAAGAAUGAAAUAUUAGCACGUGACAAGAAAAAUAAAUAACUACCGGAAUGAGCAUGUGGCAAGCAAAGUAAUGAAAUUAUUAUAAAGUGGCACUUACUCUUUCCCCGUGGGCUCAAUGAGCCACUUCUGCUCCUCAGUAGCAGGAAUCUGGUUUGGUAGCUUUGUGUUACCAUGCAGCCACCCCUUGUUGCCAACCUCCUCACCGCCACCACCAUCAUCCCCGCCACCACCCUCCUCCUCGCCUUCCUCCUCCUCCUCGCCUGCCUCCUCCUCCUCGUCCCCCUCCCCAACCUCCUCCUCCACCUCCUCCUCGGCCCCAUCCCGAACCUCCUCCUCCUCCUCCCCGUCCUCCUCCUCCUCCUCCUCGUCAGAGGGUACCUCACUAGAGGAGGGCCUCGAAGACAACACCCCUAAGUCGGUGAGGGUGCGCUCUUUCUGGCCGCGACCCCCUGUAGUGGCUCUCCCCCCACCUCACCCUCUAGGGGCUCUCCCCCCGCCCCCUCCUCCUCUAGGGCACCUCUCCCGUGACCUCCCUGUGAGGAGUCACCGUCAAGUAGCCAGGGGGGAAGGAUUACGUGCUCGACCACUCCGACUAGGCAGGCCGACGACCUUGCGUAGGAAACCCACGUCGUCGUCCUUCCCCUUGCCCAUGUUCCACAAACCUGCAUUGAAAAGAGAAUAAGCACUUAGUAAAUUAAUUAAAUGAAGGAAAAGGCAUAAUAAUAAGGAAUAAUAAACACAUUAAUAAAAAUGCAUAAAAAGGCAUAGUCCUAAACUAUAGAAAAAAAAGACUUGAAACAUACAUCUGCUAGAACCCAUACGAAUCGUCAUUGUUGUAACCUCUUUCUCGGUCGAUCUCAUCAUCACUAUCAAUCAUAUCAUCUUCGUUGUCUGACGGAGGUGGAGGCUCUUCCUCGUCGUCAGCGUCUUCGUUUAACUUUUCUAGCAUAAGUAUGUCUUUUUCAUUGACAAUGGUCUCACCAUCAUUCCGUGCAUCAUCGUCGUUUGGAUCCACAUCAUCAUCACGCAAUGGUCUAGCAUCAUCGUUUCUAACCACAUCAUCAUUAUCAUCAGGUUGCUUUGAUAGAACACUCCCUCGUAUGUCAUGGGGUUAAUGUUGUAGUAAUCGUCUUCAUUCGGGUAUGGUAGCUUACCAUGUGGUGACACCUUGAACACAACUUCCCAACCCUUUAGGUACUCUUUCUGGCAUGGGUAAGGCAGAUAAUAUACUUGUGUAGCUUGGGUAGCCGCAAUGAAGAGAUCGGCUCCAACAUAGAUGGUUGAUGGUUUAACUUCGACCAAACCAAUGGAAGGCGUAUGUUUUACCCUCUCCCGCGGAUCGAACCAUCGGCAUUUGAACACAGGCAGACAUAGGGUCUCGCGCCCCUUGCGGAAUUUAAUCUCGUAUAUAUUUUGUACCCUUCCGUAGUAGUCUACUGAAUUUUGACCGGGGGUGUACACUCCGGUAUUUAUAGUUUUGGGAUCAGGCCGGCUGUUCUGGUGCUCCUCUGUAUGGAAGCGAUACCCAUUCACAUCAUACUUUUUACAUGUCAUGACGGCAGGGUCAAAACCCAUGGAAACCCAUCUAAAUUCAUCAUCCAUACAUAUGUUCGGAUCUUUUCCCUACAAGUAUAAUUGAAAUUGCUGCGUGCAUUAGUUCGAUUAACUAAUAAAUGUUGAACUAGGUAUUUAAUAGGGGAAUGUGGACAAUUACUUUCUCCAUGAACCAAGCAACAAAAUUUUUACGUCCAGGAUUUCCAUGAUGGAGAAGAGUAAGUGCCUCCGCCUCAGUAGGAGGAUUCAUUCCCGUCCAUUCCUCUUGAACAAAAUCACUAAAAGAAGAAAAGCAGUGUUAGACCGGGACUAAGUGAACAUAGAACAUGAUGAUGUGGAAGACAUAAAGGAAUGGUGUAGUGGUAUUACCUCAUCCACACUUCCUCAACUUCCUUGAUGUUGUGCAAGAUAUAGAACAUGAGGUCCUCCCACUCUUGUCGUGGCAUGUUAUAAGAUUUCGAGGCCCCAGCCCUCCCACCUUGCACGUUGAAUAGAUGGAGCCUGGGUUGAUACUUGGGCUCUUCUAUAUUGUAUCGAGGCACCUUGUUAUGCAGAUGUGGAACAUGGUCUGGAUAGUAUGAUGUCCUGAGGUCUGAUACCUCCUCUAGGAUAACUGCCUCAGCUAUGGAAGCUUCAAUCUUAGCUUUGUUUCCACAUUUAUGUCGGAGAUGCUUGUUCUGUCUCUUAGGGCCGUACUGCCAGCGAUUCUGCACAGGCCCCGCCAACAAUACCUCGUUCGCGAGGUGCAGAAUGAGAUGUGUCAUCAGAGUAAAGAAGCCUGGCAGAAAGAUCUUCUCUAGCUUGACUAUCAACUCCGGUGCCUUCUUAUGCAAUUUUUCAAUCACGUCUUUACUUACUUCUUUAGCAUAGAGUGUGCGGAAGAAAUGGCUUAGCUCGGCAAGCACUCGCCAGACAUGCUUGGGGACAUAGCCUCGAACCAUCACCGACAUUAUCCGCUCAAUCCAUACAUGGUAGUCAUGACUCUUCAGGCCGGUCACUUUGCCCGUUGAAAGAUUGACCCCCUUACUUAUAUUCGAUGCAUAACCAUCGGUGAACUUCAAAAUGUGUUUUAGCCAGAUAAGUACUUCCUUUUUUCUGGCGAUUUAAGGACAAAGUCAGCAUCCGGCUUGAACCAAUUUUUUCGACCACCUGUGGGAGGCUUCAUAUUUAGACGUGGUCUAUCACAAAUUCUCUGUUGACCGGCUCUAGCUUUAACGUUAUCCUUCGUCUUAUCAGGAAUGUUGAGGAUCGUGUCGAAAAGGGACUCUGCCACAUUCUUUUCGUUGUGCAUCACAUCGAUGUUGUAAGGAAGUUUGAGGUCCUUGAAAUAGGGAAGCUGCGAGAAGGGGGUAAUGUGAGUCCAGUUGUGCGUCUCACCAUAUCCCUCGAAGCCUUUGGCUUUGGCUUUGACUUUAGGCUUGAGAGCUUUUAGCUGAGCAAGAACAUCUGCCCCGGAAAAUGUUGGAAUCUCGGUUACUUCAUGAACAACCCGGCCUUUCGUGAAGUUCGUCUUGUCUUUCCUGUCUGGAUGGUCUGGAGGGAGGAACUGCCGAUGCAGGUCAAAGGCUAUAUACUUGCCACCCUUACUCAGACAAAUCAUUCGCAGAGCCUGCAUACACACUGGGCAUGGCAUCUUCCCACUUGUACACCAUAUGCAGAAUAGAGCAUAGCCAGGAAAGUCAUGCAUGCAAUAGUGCAACCAAACUUUCAUCAAGAAAUUUCUCUGCAGAUCCCGGUCAUAUGUCAACCUCGGAAAGUACCAAGAAUGGUGCAAAACAUCCACCAACGGCUGCAUAAACACACCCAAUUGCUUCCCCGGGUAUUCAGGCCCCGGAAUGAUAAGCGACAAGAACAUGGUCUUGCGUUGCAUUUGGGCACCGGGAGGGAGAUUGAGCGGAAUUACAAACACGGGCCAACAACUGUAUGGAUUGGACGACAUACCAUAUGGAUUGAACCCAUCACCUGAUAUGGCUAUUCUGACAUUCCAGCCUCGGCUGCUUCCUCGGGGUAUUCUUCAUCAAACGACUUUCAUGCGUCGCCUUCCGAUGGAUGUACGAUUUUAUUUGGAUUGUACCUUAUACCUUCCUUGUGCCACUUCAUCAUUUUGGCAGACUCCUCCGUGAUGAAAAGGCGCUGCAGUCUUUUUAUAAAAUCAAGAUACAGAAGAACCUUAACGGGGAUGGUGAAAGAAAUAUGCCCUAGAGGCAAUAAUAAAGUUAUUAUUUAUUUCCUCAUAUCAUGAUAAAUGUUUAUUAUUCAUGCUAGAAUUGUAUUAACCGGAAACAUAAUACAUGUGUGAAUACAUAGACAAACAUAGUGUCACUACUAUGCCUCUACUUGACUAGCUCGUUGAUCAAAGAUGGCUGAGUUUCCUAGCCAUAGACAUGAGUUGUCAUUUGAUUAACGGGAUCACAUCAUUAGGAGAAUGAUGUGAUUGACUUGACCCAUUUCAUUAGCUUAGCACUUUAUCGUUUAGUUUACUGCUAUUGCUUUCUCCAUGACUUAUACAUGUUCCUAUGACUAUGAGAUUAUGCAACUCCCGAAUACCGGAAGAACACUUUGUGUGCUACCAAACAUCACAACGUAAUUGGGUGAUUAUAAAGGUGCUCUACAGGUGUCUCUGAUGGUGUUCGUUGAGUUGGCAUAGAUCGAGAUUAGGAUUUGUCACUCCGAUAGUCGGAGAGGUAUCUCUGGGCCCUCUCGGUAAUGCACAUCACUAUAAGCCUUGCAAGCAAUGUGACUAAUGAGUUAGUUACAGGAUGAUGCACUACAGAACGAGUAAAGAGACUUGCCGGUAACGAGAUUGAGCUAGGUAUUGAGAUACCGACGAUCAAAUCUCGGGCAUGUAACAUACCGAUGACAAAGGGAACCACGUACGCUGUUAUGCGGUUUGACCGAUAAAGAUCUUCGUAGAAUAUGUAGGAACCAAUAUGAGCAUCCAGGUUCCGCUAUUGGUUAUUGACCGGAGACGUGUCUCGGUCAUGUCUACAUAGUUCUCGAACCCGUAGGGUCCGCACGCUUAAAGUUCGGUGACAAUCGGUAUUAUGAGUUUUUGUGUUUUGAUGUACCGAAGGUAGUUCGGAGUCCCGGAUAUGAUCACAAACAUGACGAGGAGUCUCGAAAUGGUCGAGACGUAAAGAUCGAUAUAUUGGAUGACUAUGUUCGGACACAGGAAGUGUUUCGGGAUGUUUCGGACAUAUACCGGAGUACCGGGGGGUUAGCGGAACCCCCCGGGGAGUUUAUUGGGUGUAACGCCCGGAUAAUUAGGCUACGGUAAAACUCUCCUGAUGAUGCCGUGUCAUCUCUGUUACUGUUGCUAAUCAAGUGUUAGUUCAAAACAUUUCAAAUUCAAAAAAAUGAAUUAGUGACAAACACCCAAAGUUUUCAAAAGUCAAAACAAAAAUGUUCGGUGGGUGCCAAAUAUUGCACUGGUAAUUAUUGUGGAGAAAACAUUUUUUUAGAAAGUGCCUAAGUAUUUUAAAGUGAAAUAAAACAGAUAAGAAAAAUAAAGAAAAGAAAAUACAAAAGCAGAAGACAAAAAAAGGAGAAAAGGACCCCCUGGACCAGACGGCCCAGCUCGCAGCCAGGCCGGCCCACCUGGCCCAUCCGGCCGGCCCAGCCGCCUCCCUCGGUCGCUCCCUCCCCUUCCCUGUUCCCCCGACCAGGGUCGGAACAGGGGCGCGUCCCCGCCGGACCCCCUCGCCGGCGUCGAGGAUAAGGCCGCCACACCCCCCGCCUCCUCGAUCCCGCCUCCCACUCGCCCCCGCUCUCCCUCUCGGCCUCUGCGCCUCCCCCCUCAGAUCCACCUCCCUCUCCCCUUUGUUCCCCACCGCGUCCGAACGCCGCCAUGGACCCGCCGCCGUGAAACACGCGGCCACAGCCAUCGCCUCGCCUCGCGAGCGUGUCCGUCGUCUCCGCCAUCGUCUUCCUCGUCGACCGGUGGCCGCAGCUGGAGCUCGGAGGCGCUGCUGCAACGGUCCCCUUCUUCCGCAUCUCCUGUCGCCGCCGCUCUUCACCAACUCCGGCGACGACCCUCUACUGCUACUAAACCUUUCACCGGCCUCCGUGUGUGUCGCUCGGUGAGCUCCUCCGCCUCCCGCCCUCUCCGUUAGCUUCCUAGCGCACCGUAGCUAGUUUGCCACCGCGCCCGUUUCUAUCCGCCGCCGACGAGCUCGUGGCCGUCGCCACAACCGUUGUCUUGCUCGCCUGAGCCCGUCACCGUGUUCCUGGAGCUUCCAGGAACCCAACGCGCGUGCGCACAUGCCUUCCCGUGCCCCCUAGCGCUGGAUCCACUCACGCCCGACUCCGGCCGUCAGCCGAUGUGCUCGCUGCCGUCGCUUCCGGCCACCUCCGGCCACGCCACCGCCACCACUAGACGUGGGGCACUCUCCUCGUUCGAACGCAAGAGGCGACGCUCGUCUUGGUGCCCCGUAGGCGAAACCUGACGCCCGCCGGCGUUCGGCCGCUGCGCGCGAGCUCGCCGGAGCUACUCCGGCGGCUCCGCUGAGCUGGCACACCUGGGGCCACCCCUGGGUCACUGCUUGGUGGCCCCGUGGGCCCGGCUGGCCCACUUGACCAGGGUCAAGAUGCUGACUGGGCUGGUCCCAGCAGCUGACCAGUGGCCCCCACACUAUAACUAAUUAAAUUAGUUAAUCUAAUUAAUCUGGGCUAAUUAGUCACUGACUACUGGGCCCCGCCCGCUAAUUAACCCAUUUAGUUAGUCUAAGCCCCCUGUUAGUGCACCUGUCAAUGACAUGUGGGUCCCACUGGACCCACAAGUCAGUUUUGACUCCAGUCAACCGCACUGUUGACUGCUGACAUCACACAUACGUCAUGCUGAUGUCAUCCCAUACUGUUCUGGAUAAUGUUGGAUUUAAAUAAAUAACUAAAAUCAAAAAAUGAUUAAAUCUUUAGAAAAUCAUAUAAAAUAAUCCGUAACUCGGAUGAAAAUACUUUCUACAUGAAAGUUUCUCAGAACGACGAGAAGAAUCCGGAUACGCAGCCCUUUCGUCCGCCACACAUCCCUAACAUAUCGAACUCGCAACUUUCCCCCUCCGGUUCAUCUGUCCGAAAACGCGAAACACCGGGAAUACUUUCCCGGAUGUUUUCCCCAUUUGCCGGUAUCACCUAGUACCGCGUUUGGGCACACCUAGCAUCACGCUUUGUCAUGUCAUGCAUCGCCAUGCAUUUGUUUGCAUUGUAUUUAUUGUUUCUUCCCCCUCUUCUCUCGCUAGACACCGAGACCGACGCUGCUGCUACCCAGUACGACUACGGUGUUGACGACCCCUCCUUCUCGGCUGAGCUUCCAGGGAAGCCCCCCCUUUGAUCACCAGAUAUCGCCUAUUCUACUCUAUUUCUUGCAUUAGAGUAGUGUAGCAUGUUACUGCUUUCUGUUAAUCCUAUCCUGAUGCAUAGCCUGUCCUUGCUACUACUGUUGUUACCUCUACCUACAAUCCUACAUGCUUAGUAUAGGAUGCUAGUAUUCCAUCUGUGGCCCUACAUUCUUGUCCGUCUGCCUUGCUAUACUAUCGGGCCGUGAUCACUCGGGAGGUGAUCACGGGUAUAUACUUAUAUACUUUACAUGAUACCUGUGGUGACUAAAGUCGGGUCGGCUCGUAGGAGUACCCGCGAGUGGAUCUUGUGGCAGAGUGACAGGGCAGGUUGAGACCACCUAGGAGAGAGGUGGGCCUGGCCCUGGUCGGUGUCUGUGGUUACUUCAAAAUAACACGCUUAACGAGUUCUUGGUAUUUUAUCCGAGUCUGGCCAUUUGGUCUAUACGCACUAACCAACUAUGCGGGAACAGUUAUCGGCACUCGACGUCGUGGUAUCAGCCGAAGCCUUCGUGACGUCAGCGACUGAGCGGCGCGCACCGGAUUGGAAUAGAACGCCUGCUAGGCUAGGUCUGCUUUCGGCCGCGUUCGCAACGUGCAGGUGUGCAAUGGUCGAUGGGCCCAGACCCCUGCGCCAUAGGAUUUAGACCGGCGUGCUGACCUCUCUGUUGUGCCUAGGUGGGGCUGCGACGUGUUGAUCUUCCGCGGCCGGGCAUGACCCAGAAAAGUGUGUCCGGCCAAAUGGGAUCGAGCGUGUUGGGUUAUGUGGUGCACCCCUGCAGGGAAGUUUAUCUAUUCGAAUAGCCAUGUCCCUCGGUAAAAGGACGACCCGGAGUUGUACCUUGACCUUAUGACAACUAGAACCGGAUACUUAAUAAAACACACCCUUCCAAGUGCCAGAUAUAACCCGGUGAUCGCUCUCUAACAGGGUGACGAGGAGGGGAUCACCGGGUAGGAUUAUGCUAUGCGGUGCUACUUGGAGGACUUCAAUCUACUCUCUUCUACAUGCUGCAAGAUGGAGGCUGCCAGAAGCGUAGUCUUCGACAGGAGUAGCUAUCCCCCUCUUAUUCUGGCAUUCUGCAGUUCAGUCCAUUGAUAUGGCCCUUUACACAUAUACCCAUGCAUAUGUAGCGUAGCUCCUUGCUUGCGAGUACUUUGGAUGAGUACUCACGGUUGCUUUUCUCCCUCUUUUCCCCCUUUCCUUCUACCUGGUUGUCGCAACCAGAUGCUGGAGCCCAGGAGCCAGACGCCACCGUCGACGAUGACUCCUACUACCCCGGAGGUGCCUACUACUACGUGCAGCCCGCUGACGACGGCCAGGAGUAGUUAGGAGGAUCCCAGGCAGGAGGCCUGUGCCUCUUUCGAUCUGUAUCCCCGUUUGUGCUAGCCUUCUUAAGGCAAACUUGUUUAGCUUAUGUCUGUACUCAGAUAUUGUUGCUUCCGCUGACUCGUCUAUGAUCGAGCACUUGUAUUCAAGCCCUCGAGGCCCCCUGGCUUGUAUUAUGAUGCUUGUAUGACUUAUUUAUGUUUUAGAGUUGUGUUGUGAUAUCUUCCCGUGAGUCCCUGAUCUUGAUCGUACACGUUUGCGUGCAUGAUAGUGUACGAUUGAAUCGGGGGCGUCACAAGUUGGUAUUAGAGCCGACUGCCUGUAGGAAUCCCCCUUUCCACACUCCUUGGCCGAAGUCGAGUCUAGACAUUACAAAACUUUUACUAACAUGACUCUGUGUCUUACGGGCCCACGUCGCCAUUGGGUGGUACUAGGAUCUUUUACUCCUCGACCUUUACUCUGGGACUCUGAACUCUCUUCUACUCGGGUUAAACGAAUUUACUAACUCUAACACUAGGAUCCGUGACCACAUUCACCCCAAAGUUGGAUAAGCCAUAGUUAUUUCUUAGAAUAGUAUUUUGAACAAUUCCCACACUGUCAUUUAACUCCUUUGAAACAUCUUUGCUUUCAGAUGGAACCCACGAGGCAGGUCGUGCACCACACGACGGCCAUUGGUGCCUCGGGAUCACCUGCUGUGCUAGCUGAGAUGUUGACCUAUCUGGGUUAUCGCUGGCACCCUGAGUACACCGUCUACGAGGAGUACCAGGACUUUAACCAGGAGCAGUACCGUGCCAUCGUCCACCUCUACUCUCGGGAGUAUGACUCCACUACUGUGCUGCACACCGCUCAUGGUGUUGGAGUGACCAUCGAUAUGGUUGUCCACGAUGCUGCUUAUGCUGCUCUGACACGUCUUCGUGGAGAGUAUCGGGAGUUGGACACCUCCCCUUUCAGGCACAUUGCUAUCGCAUCUGAUGUUGGUGCGGAGGGAUACUAUACUGCUGCCUACUCCAUUGUCACUCGAGAGCCCUUCUACCAUCAGAACCUGGUUCUGCAUGCUGAUGGGCUGGAUCGAGCUAACCGAGCUUUUCGCCACGAGUUGUACACCACCCGUCAGCACCUUUACCGUGCUAUGACGCUGUUGCACCCCUUUGUCCGAUCUAGAGAGCUGCCCCGUUCUGCGAUCUACCCAGCCAGGACUGUGAUGCCCCAGGGUGUCGGCUGGCCAGAUGUGGGAGGCUACUCUCCCGCACUUGGUCCUCUUCUGCUACCUGAGCGUCAGGUUAUGCACCAGAGUAUUCGCGGACCCCAGGUUGCUGACGUGGAGUUCCCGAUGCGACAGUACCAGCUUUCAGGCUACACCUACCUCCAAAGUACCUCUUGGGACUGAUGUAGGCUUGCUUGUUAGUGUUAGAUGCAUUCGCCGCGAGCCUGUGUGCCGCCUAUGGUGUUUUAGUCUAUGUACUGAACUCUAUGCAUGACCCCUUUUGUAAGUUAUGCCGACUACUAUGUAGCAGCUAUCGUGCUCCUUUCAUUAUGCAUGUUUCAUCAUGAAUGAUUCUUGUCUUUGCAAAUUUCUCAAUGCUGAACUACCCCUGUUGUAUAUUAGCGGGAUGGUUAGACCAGGUGGUCAUGAUAGUGGUGGCAAUGCCCCACCACCACCUGAGUACAUGGUUGGUAUGAUCCAACAGUUCGAACUGAACCGCCAAUUCAUGGAAAAUAUGAUGGCUCAGUUUCCUCGCCCCAAUAUGGACCAGCAGCCAACCCCAGCAACUCUGCAGGAUUUCAUGCGCCUCAACCCAACUGUGUACCGCAGCUCAACUCAGCCUCUGGAUGCUGAUGACUGGCUCCGUGACAUCACCUAUGAGAUGGAGUCUACCGAUGUAGCCCCUGCCAGCUAUGUCACCUUUGCUUCCUUCUUCCUGAAGGGACCCGCAGCUCAAUGGUGGGCAGCCACAGGCGUACUCUGCCAGCUGGAACAAUCAUCACCUGGCCAGACUUCCAAGCUGCUUUCCGUGCCUGCUUCAUUCCUCAGGGAGUCAUGGACCGGAAGAAGCGUGAGUUCCGUAACCUCACCCAAGGCAACAAAACUGCUGAAGCUUAUCAGCGGGAGUUUCUGGACUUGUCUCGCUAUGCUGAAGAGGACAUUGCAACUGAUGCACGCAGAUAGGAGAAGUUCCGUGAUGGCCUUCAAGCUGACAUCAAGCUCGCACUUCUAGUGCAUGACUUUACUGAUUUCGCCACCUUGGUGAACAAGGCCAUCAAUGUCGAAACUGGUCUGCAGGAAUACCAGAGCUCUCACAGGCGCAACCGUGACACGGGCUCAUCUUCGGGCCCGCCCUCGCAGAAGCGUAAGAUAUGGAUUCCCAACAGCAUGUACCAGCCAACUGCACCUGCCCCAAGGCAGACCUAUGCUGCACCUCGUCUGCCUACUCCUCCAACUAGGCAGCCAAGGCUUCCAGCACCACCACCCCGAGCUCCUGCUCCCACUCCCAAUAAUGGUUUGUGCUUCAGGUGUGGUCAACCAGGACACCGUGCUAGGGAAUGCCACCAGAACCAGAAUCAACUGGCCCUUCCAGCGACUGGCCAUGGAAGCAACCAGCCCCGCAACAACACUGCCAAGUCUUAUGGUCGUGUUCAUGCCAACCACGUUGAUCUCAACGAAGCUCAAGACCAACCUGCUACCGUGAUGGGUACUCUUCUCGUAAAUUCAGUACGAGCAUCCGUUUUAUUUGAUACAGGAGCAUCCCAUUCAUUCAUAUCAGCAGAAUUUGCAUUCAUGCAUGGCAUUAAAUACGAAGAGAUGAACACUCCGCUAGUGGUACACACCCCUGCGGGCCAAUGUCAAACCUCUAUGGUUAGUCACGACGUUCCUGUUGAAAUUGAAGGACUGGAAUUUCUUGUCUCUCCCAUCGUACUGAAGUCCUGUAGCAUUGAUCUCAUUCUGGGAAUGAAUUGGUUAAAAGCGCAUACUGCUUCUAUCGUUUGCGCCACCAAGACCGUCCAUCUACUACACCCUUCAGAUGAAAUAGUUACUUACCAAGCUCAUCUGGUGGAAAAUGCCGAUGCAAGGCUCUAUGCAUUGAAUGCAUUGAACGCUGCACCACUCGAGGGCAUUGAAAACAUUCCCAUCGUGCGUGAAUUCCUCGACGUCUUUCCUGAAGAACUUCCAGGGAUUCCCCCUGCUAGAGCUGUUGAAUUCAUCAUCGACUUGAAACCAGGCACCACUCCUAUAGCCAAGCGACCCUACAAGAUGCCGCCGCAUGAACUCCUUGAGCUUAAGGAGGAAAUCGACAAAUCCCUUCGCAAAGGAUUCAUCCGCCCAAGUUUCUCUCCUUGGGGAGCACCUUCUCUCUUUGUCAAGAAGAAGGAUGGGACAAACCGAUUAGUUCAAGACUACCGUCCUAUAAACCAAGCUACCAUUCAGAAUAAAUAUCCUCUUCCUCGGAUCAAUGAUCUGUUUUAUCAACUGGCGGGUUCAUCGGUGUUCUCUAAGCUCGACUUGAGGUUGGGUUACCACCAGAUCCGUGUUCGUGAAGAGGAUAUCCCAAAGACCGCCUUCGUGACUCGAUAUGGUUCAUACGAGUACACCGUCAUGUCUUUCGGUUUAACCAAUGCUCCAGCCACCUUCUCUCGUCUGAUGAACUAUAUAUUCAUGGAUUACCUCGACAAGUUCGUCGUGGUUUAUCUGGAUGAUAUCCUGGUAUUUUCCAAGAACGAAGAGGAACAUGCUGAACAUAUUCAUCUUGUGCUGGAAAAGCUACGAGAGCAUCAACUAUAUGCCAAGUUCUCCAAAUGUGAAUUCUGGCUACCCGAAGUAACCUAUCUGGGGCAUGUCAUCUCUAAGGAUGGUAUUGCCGUCAACCCUGAACGAGUCCAGGCUAUUCUUGAUUGGACUCCUCCGAAGAACGUUAAGCAAGUCAGAAGUUUUCUCGGUCUCGCCAGCUAUUGCCGUCGAUUCGUCGAGAACUUCUCCAAGAUCGCCAGGCCUCUGACUAACCUGUUGCAUAAGGGCGUCAAGUUCCAAUGGACAGACAAAUGUCAGGAAAGUUUCCAGGCACUCAAAGACAAGUUGACUUCUGCCCCAGUUCUAGCUCCACCUGAUACUAAGAAGGACUUCAUCAUUUACUGCGACGCUUCCCGUCAAGGAUUAGGCUGUGUCCUAAUGCAAGUCCGCAAAGUGAUUGCUUAUGCCUCUCGACAAUUGCGCCCUCACGAAGAGAACUACCCAAUUCACGACCUCGAACUUGCUGCUGUCAUUCAUGCGCUGAAGCAGUGGCGACAUUACCUUCUCGGUAAUCGUUGCAAGAUCUUCACUGACCACCAAAGUCUGAAGUAUCUGUUUACUCAGCCAGACCUGAACCUCCGUCAGCAGAGAUGGAUGGAGAUUGUUGCAGACUUUGACUUGGGUAUUUCCUAUACGCCAGGCAAGGCUAAUGUAAUGGCUGAUGCCUUGAGCCGCAAGUCUUACUGCAACCACCUCCAGGUUCACAAAGUUCAGCCCUCGCUUGUUGAAGAAUUCAGAAAGCUAAACCUCCAUAUUGUUCCUCCGGGUGCACUCGCUCCCCCUCCUAAGGAGUUUCGCAAGAUGAACCUCCGUGUUGUUUCCCAGGGUUUCCUCAAUACCCUGGCUGUCGAACCAGAUCUCUUGGACUCCAUCAAGAGAAUACAGGGAUAUGACUCUGAAGCCCACAAGAUUAAGCGCUACCUCGCAGAAGGAAAGCCCUCAUUCUUCACUAUUGCUGAUGAUGGCACUUUGUACUUCAAGGGCCGCCUAGUGGUGCCAUGUGCAGAGAAAAACAUGGAUAUGACUCAGGAAGUUAUGAAAGAAGCUCAUGAUACGCCUCUAUGUAUCCAUCCUGGUAGUACAAAGAUGUACCAAGACAUCCGCCAGAGAUUCUGGUGGUCUAAUAUGAAGCAAGACAUUGCUCGUUAUGUUGCGGAGUGUGACGUUUGCCGUCGUAUCAAAGCAGAACAUCAAAGGCCUGCUGGAACUCUACAACCUAUGUCUAUUCCUGAAUGGAAAUGGGACCAUGUUGAGAUGGACUUCAUCACUGGAUUUCCCAAAUCACAGAAAUUUAAUGAUGCUAUUCUUGUCGUCAUUGACCGGCUUUCCAAAGUUGCACAUUUUCUGGCGGUCAAAGAAACAAUCACUGCUAGUCAGCUGGCAACGCUCUAUAUGUCCAGGAUUGUUCCACUCCACGGUAUUCCAUUGGUUAUCAGCUCAGACCGUGGCAGCUUAUUCACUUCAAGAUUCUGGGCAAGUUUCCAAGAAGCUAUGGGAACUCAUCUGUCGUUCAGUACUGCGUUUCAUCCUUAGUCGCAAGGGCAAGUUGAACGUGUUAACCAAGUUCUCGAAGACAUGCUUCGAGCUUGUGUUAUUUCCUUCGGCAAGAAAUGGGAGGAAUCUCUCCCGUAUGUUGAGUUCUCUUAUAAUAAUAGAGAUCAAGCUAGUCUGAAGAUGGCCCCCUUCGAAGUGUUAUAUGGGCGAAAGUGCCGAACCCCUCUGAACUGGUCAGAAACUGGGGAACGUCCACUCUUUGGUCCGGAUAUUAUCCAACAUGCCGAAGAACAAGUCCGCAUUAUUUGUGAGAAUCUCAAGACUGCCCAGUCGCGUCAGAAAAGUCAGUAUGACCGUCAUCAUAAAGACAUGGUCUAUCAACCUGGCGAAAAGGCUUAUCUUCGAGUCACACCAAUGAAGGGUGCUCACCGCUUCGGAAUCAAGGGCAAACUAGCUCCUCGCUAUAUUGGCCCAUUCACUAUUCUGGAAAGGCGUGGAAAAGUGGCAUACCAACUGGAGCUUCCGCCGAACCUUUCUCAGGUUCACGAUGUGUUCCAUGUGUCACAGCUCUGCCGUUGCUUCAAGGACCCAAUCCGAGCAGUGGAUCAUGAAGUGCUCGAAUUGCAGCAGGACCUCUCCUAUAAAGAGCAUCCGGUCCGCAUUCUCGACCAAGCUGAACGCCGCACACGUCAGAAGGCGAUCAAGUUCCUCAAAGUCCAGUGGUAGCACCAUUCUGAAGAUGAAGCCACUUGGGAACGCGAGGAUCGCCUGCGUGAUGAAUACCCCGCACUGUUUCCUUCUACCUCCUAAAUCUCAGGACGAGAUUUCUUGUAGUGGAGGAGAUUUGUAAUGCCCGGAUAAUUAGGCUACAGUAAAACUCUCCUGAUGAUGCCGUGUCAUCUCUAUUACUAUUGCUAAUCAAGUGUUAGUUCAAAACAUUUCAAAUUCAAAAAAAUGAAUUAGUGACAAACACCCAAAGUUUUCAAAAGUCAAAACAAAAAUGUUCGGUGGGUGCCAAAUAUUGCACUGGUAAUUAUUGUGGAGAAAACAUUUUUUUAGAAAGUGCCUAAGUAUUUUAAAGUGAAAUAAAACAGAAAAGAAAAAUAAAGAAAAGAAAAUACAAAAGCAGAAGACAAAAAAAGAGAGAAAAGGACCCCCUGGACCAGACGGCCCAGCUCGCAGCCAGGCCGGCCCACCUGGCCCAUCCGGCCGGCCCAGCCGCCUCCCUCGGUCGCUCCCUCCCCUUCCCUGUUUCCCCGACCAGGGUCAGAACAGGGGCGCAUCCCCGCCGGACCCCCUUGCCGGCGUCGAGGAUAAGGCCGCCACGCCCCCCACCUCCUCGAUCCCGCCUCCCACUCACCCCCGCUCUCCCUCUCGGCCUUUGCGCCUCCCCCCUCAGAUCCACCUCCCUCUCCCCUUCGUUCCCCACCGCGUCCGAAUGCCGCCAUGGACCCGCCGCCGUGAAACGCGCGGCCAUAGCCAUCGCUUCGCCAGCGUGUCCGUCGUCUCCGCCAUCGUCUUCCUCGUCGACCGGUGGCCGCAGCUAGAGCUCGGAGGCGCUGCUGCAACAGUCCCCUUCUUCCGCAUCUCCUGUCGCCGCCGCUCUUCACCAACUCCGGCGACGCCCCUCUGCUGCUACUAAACCUUUCACCGGCCUCCGUGUGUGCCGCUCGAUAAGCUCCUCCGCCUCCCGCCCUCUCCGUUAGCUUCCUAGCACACCGUAGCUAGUUUGCCACCGCGCCCGUUUCUGUCCGCCGCCGACGAGCUCGUGGCCGUCGCCACAGCCGUCGUCUUGCUCGCCUGAGCCCGUCACCGUGUUCCUGGAGCUUCCAGGAACCCAACGCGCGCGCGCACAUGCCUUCCCGUGCCCCCUAGCACUGGAUCCACUCACGCCCGACUCCGGCCGUCCGCCGAUGUGCUCGCCGCCGUCGCUUCCGGCUACCUCCGGCCACACCACCGCCACCACUAGACGCGGGGAACUCUCCUCGUUCGAACGCAAGAGGUGGCGGUCGUUUUGGUGCCCUGUAGGCGAAACCCGACGCCCGCCGGCGCUCGGCCGCUACGCGCGAGCUCGCCGGAGCUACUCCGGCGGCUCCGCUGAGCUGGCACACCUGGGGCCACCCCUGGGUCACUGCCUGGUGGCCCCGUGGGCCCGGCUGGCCCAGUUGACCAGGGUCAAGAUGCUGACUGGGCUGGUCCCAGCAGCUGACCAGUGGCCCCCACACUAUAACUAAUUAAAUUAGUUAAUCUAAUUAAUCUGGGCUAAUUAGUCACUGACUACUGGGCCCCGCCCGCUAAUUAACCCAUUUAGUUAGUCUAAGCCCCCUGUUAGUGCACCUGUCAAUGACAUGUGGGUCCCACUGGACCCACAAGUCAGUUUUGACUCCAGUCAACCGCACUGUUGACUGCUAACAUCACACAUACGUCAUGCUGAUGUCAUCCCAUACUGUUCUGGAUAAUGUUGGAUUUAAAUAAAUAGUUAAAAUCAGAAAAUGAUUAAAUCUUUAGAAAAUCAUAUAAAAUAAUCCGUAAUUCGGAUGAAAAUACUUUCUACAUGAAAGUUGCUCAGAACGACGAGACGAAUCCGGAUACGCAGCCAGUUCGUCCGCCACACAUCCCUAACAUAUCGAACUCGCAACUUUCCCCCUCUGGUUCAUCUGUCCGAAAACGCGAAACACCGGGAAUACUUUCCCGGAUGUUUUCCCCCUUUGCCGGUAUCACCUAGUACCGCGUUUGGGCACACCUAGCAUCACGCUUUGUCAUGUCAUGCAUCGCCAUGCAUUUGUUUGCAUUGUAUUUAUUGUUUCUUCCCCCUCUUCUCUCGCUAGACACCGAGACCGACGCCGCCGCUACCCAGUACGAUUACGGUGUUGACAACCCCUCCUUCUCGGCUGAGCUUCCAGGCAAGCCCCCCCUUUGAUCACCAGAUAUCGCCUAUUCUACUCUCUACUGCAUGCAUUAGAGUAGUGUAACAUGUUACUGCUUUCUGUUAAUCCUAUCCUGAUGCAUAGCCUGUCCUUUCUACUACUGUUGUUACCUUUACCUACAAUCCUACACUACUAGGAAAAGGCCUACUAGUGGCGCACCAGUUUUGCCUACUAAUGGCGCAUCACGCCGUGCGCCAUUACUAUCUGACUUACUAAUGGCGCACCACAUAGAAGUGCGUCAUUAGUAACAAAAAAAUUUCAAAUAUUUUUUCAUAAUUUUUUUUUAAUUUUUUUUUCAUUUUUUUCUUAAUCUCGGGUCAAUAUGCUUAAUCUCAAGUCAAAUCGCACUAAGUGGUCAAACUUCCCGGAAGGUCACCCAUCCUCACACUACUGCAGCCCGAGCACGCUUAACUUCACAGUUCUAUCCAACCCCAGCACCACCUCACUUAACAUGCACUUGUUGAUAUAUCUACCAUAUCAAUCCUAUUAAACCUUGUUGAUGUCUAGGACUUUGUUCAUGUUCAUGAGUAUGAUGAAAUUUUGAAAAAUAUUUCAAACUUCCCGGUCAUAUUACGUAUCAUUUUUUGAAAAAAAAUUCCAAAAGAAAAAUUCAACACCAAUUUUUUUCUGUUACUAGUGGCGCACCUAGCAAACGGUGCGCCACUAGUAAGUUUGAAUUUUUUUGAUUUUUUUGCCUCUAGAUCUUGAAAGCCCCGUAACUUUUUUUCUGUUUGGUUUUUGAGGAUUUUGAAAAUGUUUAACGGGGUUUCCCCAGUUAAAUUCGGAUGUAACUUUUCGAGUAGAUGAUUUUUCAUAUAAAAAACUUUUUAAUCCGAGUUCGUAUGCAAAAGUUAUGCCCAUUUUAAAAAUUCCAGAGAGAUUUUGCAAAUAAAGUCGAAAUUCAUAUUUGUAAAUUUUCCCAACAACUAGACCACAUAUCACAUGGGAAACUUAUUUUAUUUUAUUUUUUUGACAUUUCCAUCAUUUUCUUUCUUUUUAAACUGAAAAGGCNNNNNNNNNNNNNNNNNNNNNNNNNNNNNNNNNNNNNNNNNNNNNNNNNNNNNNNNNNNNNNNNNNNNNNNNNNNNNNNNNNNNNNNNNNNNNNNNNNNNNNNNNNNNNNNNNNNNNNNNNNNNNNNNNNNNNNNNNNNNNNNNNNNNNNNNNNNNNNNNNNNNNNNNNNNNNNNNNNNNNNNNNNNNNNNNNNNNNNNNNNNNNNNNNNNNNNNNNNNNNNNNNNNNNNNNNNNNNNNNNNNNNNNNNNNNNNNNNNNNNNNNNNNNNNNNNNNNNNNNNNNNNNNNNNNNNNNNNNNNNNNNNNNNNNNNNNNNNNNNNNNNNNNNNNNNNNNNNNNNNNNNNNNNNNNNNNNNNNNNNNNNNNNNNNNNNNNNNNNNNNNNNNNNNNNNNNNNNNNNNNNNNNNNNNNNNNNNNNNNNNNNNNNNNNNNNNNNNNNNNNNNNNNNNNNNNNNNNNNNCUAGUUUUGAAAAAAAUUAAAAAAAACUUGAAAAAAAAUUGAAAUUUUUUUACUAGUGGCGCACCGUGGAUGUGGUGCGCCAUUACUAGUUUAACUAGUAAUGGCACAAUCCCCUAGUGCGCCAUUACUAGUUUUGGAAAAAAAUAAAAAAAAUUGAAAAAAAAUUACUAGUGGCGCACCGUGGAUGUGGUGCGCCAUUACUAGUUUAACUAGUAAUGGCGCACUAUCCCCUGGUGCGCCAUUACUAGUUUUGAAAAAAAAAUAAAAAAAAUUGUUACUAGUGGCGCACCGUGGAUGUGGUGCGCCAUUAGUAUUUGGACACUAAUGGCGCAUCAACACAUGGUGCGCCAUUAGUAUAUAGUAGUGGCACACCACAUGUCUGGUGGGCCAUUAGUGUCCAUAUCAUCUAUAGCCCUUUUCCUAGUAGUGCUACAUGCUUAGUAUAGGAUGCUAGUAUUCCAUCUGUGGCCCUACAUUCUUGUCCGUCUGCCUUGCUAUACUAUCGGGCCGUGAUCACUCGGGAGGUGAUCACGGGUAUAUACUUAUAUACUUUACAUGAUACCUGUGGUGACUAAAGUCAGGUUGGCUCGUAGGAGUACCCGAGAGUGGAUCUUGUGGCGGAGCGACAGGGCAGGUUGAGACCACCUAGGAGAGAGGUGGGCCUGGCCCUGGUCGGUGUCCGCGGUUACUUCAAAAUAACACGCUUAACGAGUUCAUGGUAUUUGAUCUGAGUCUGGCCAUUUGGUCUAUACACACUAACCAACUACGCGGGAAUAGUUAUGGGCACUCGACGUCGUGGUAUCAGCCGAAGCAUUCGUGACGUCAACGACUGAGCGGCGCGCGCCGGAUUGGACUGGAACGCCUGCUAGGCUAGGUCUGCUUUCGGCCGCGUUCGCAACGUGCAGGUGUGCAAUGGGCGACGGGCCUAGACCCCUGCGCCAUAGGAGUUAGACCGGCGUGCUGACCUCUCUGUUGUGCCUAGGUGGGGCUACGACGUGUUGAUCUUCCGUGGCCGGGCAUGAUCCAGAAAAGUGUAUCCGGCCAAAUGGGAUCGAGCGUGUUGGGUUAUGUGGUGCACCCCUGCAGGGAAGUUUAUCUAUUCGAAUAGCCGUGUCCCUCGGUAAAAGGACGACCCGGAGUUGUACCUUGACCUUAUGACAACUAGAACCGGAUACUUAAUAAAACACACCCUUCCAAGUGCCAGAUAUAACCCGGUGAUCGCUCUCUAACAGGGCGACGAGGAGGGGAUCGCCGGGUAGGAUUAUGCUAUGCGAUGCUACUUGGAGGACUUCAAUCUACUCUCUUCUACAUGCUGUAAGAUGGAGGCUGCCAGAAGCGUAGCCUUCGACAGGAUUAGCUAUCCCGCUCUUAUUCUGGCAUUCUGCAGUUCAGUCCACCGAUAUGUCCCUUUACACAUAUACCCAUGCAUAUGUAGCCUAGCUCCUUGCUUGCGAGUACUUUGGAUGAGUACUCACGGUUGCUUUUCUCCCUCUUUUCCCCCUUUCCUUCUACCUGGUUGUCGCAACCAGAUGCUGGAGCCCAGGAGCCAGACGCCACCGUCGAUGAUGACUCCUACUACCCCGGAGGUGCCUACUACUACGUGCAGCCCGCUGACGACGACCAGUAGUAGUUAGGAGGAUCCCAGGCAGGAGGCCUGUGCCUCUUUUGAUCUGUAUCCCAGUUUGUGCUAGCCUUCUUAAGGAAAACUUGUUUAACUUAUGUCUGUACUCAGAUAUUGUUGCUUCCGCUGACUCGUCUAUGAUCGAGCACUUGUAUUCGAGCCCUCGAGGCCCCCUGGCUUGUAUUAUGAUGCUUGUAUGACUUAUUUAUGUUUUAGUGUUGUGUUGUGAUAUCUUCCCGUGAGUCCCUGAUCUUGAUCGUACACGUUUGCGUGCAUGAUUAGUGUACGAUUGAAUCGGGGGCGUCACAUUGGGCCUAUUGGGCCCUAGUGAGAGAAGAGGAGGGGCAGCCAGGGCAGACGCGCGCCCCUCCCCCUCUAGUCCGAAUUGGACAAGGAGGGGGGCGGCGCCCCCCUUUCCUUCUGUUCCUCUCUCCCUUCCCUCUCCUCUCCUACUCCUACUUGGAAGAGGGGAGUCAUACUCCCGGUGGGAGUAGGACUCCUCAUGGGGCGCGCCAUAGGGGGCCGGGCCCCUCCCCCUCCUCCGCUCCUUUAUAUACGGGGAGGGAGGCACCCCUUGGAGACACAACAAUUGACCAUUGAUCUCUUAGCCGUGUGCGGUGCCCCCCUCCACCAUAAUCCACCUCGGUAAUAUCAUAGCGGUGCUUAGGAGAAGCCCUGCAUCGGUAGCAACAUCAUCAAUGUCAUCACGCCGUCGUGCUGACGGAACUCUCCCUCGUAGAUCUGGUAGAUCGGAGUUCGUGGGACGUCAUCGAGCUGAACGUGUGCUGAACUCGGAGGUGCCGUGCGUUCGGUACUUGGAUCGGUCGGAUCGUGAAGACGUACGACUACAUCAUCCGCGUUGUUCUAACGCUUCCGCUUUUGGUCUACGAGGGUACGUGGACAACACUCUCCCCUCUCGUAGCUAUGCAUCACCAUGAUCUUGCGUGUGCGUAGGAAUUUUUUUAAAUUACUACGUUACCCGACAGUGGCAUCCGAGCCAGGUUUAUGCAUAGAUGUUAUAUGCACGAGUAGAACACAAGUGAGUUGUCGGCGAUACAAGUCAUACUGCUUACCAGCAUGUCAUACUUUGGUUCAGCGGUAUUGUUGGAUGAAGCGACCCGGACCGACAUUACACAUACGCUUACGCGAGACUGGUUCUACUGACAUGCUUUGCACACAGGUGGCUGGCGGGUGUCAGUUUCUCCAACUUUAGUUGAACCGAGUGUGGCUACGCCCGGUCCUUGUGAAGGGUAAAACAACACUAACUUGACGAACUACCGUUGUGAUUUUGAUGCGUAGGUAAGAACGGUUCUUGCUGAGCCCGUAGCAGCCACGUAAAACUUGCAACAACAAAGUAGAGGACGUCUAACUUUUUUUUGCAGGGCAUGUUGUGAUGUGAUAUGGUCAAGACAUGAUGGUAUAUUUUAUUGUAUGAGAUGAUCAUGUUUUGCAACAGAGUUAUCGGCAACUGGCAGGAGCCAUAUGGUUGUCGCUUUAUUGUAUGCAAUGCAAUCGCUCUAUAAUUGCUUUACUUUAUCACUAAGCGGUAGCGAUAGUCGUAGAAGCAAUAGUUGGCGAGACGACAACGAUGCUACGAUGGAGAUCAAGGUGUCGCGCCGGUGACGAUGGUGAUCAUGACGGUGCUUUGGAGAUGGAGAUCAAAGGCACGAGAUGAUGAUGGCCAUAUCAUAUCACUUAUAUUGAUUGCAUGUGAUGUUUAUCCUUUAUGCAUCUUAUUCUGCUUUGAUUGACGGUAGCAUUAUAAGAUGAUCUCUCACUAAAAAUUUCAAGGUACAAGUGUUCUCCCUGAGUAUGCACCGUUGCAAAAGUUUGUCGUGCCGAGACACCACGUGAUGAUCGGGUGUGAUAAGCUCAACGUUCUUAUACAACGGGUGGAAGCCAGUUUUGCACACGCAGAAUACUCGGGUUAAACUUGACGAGCCUAGCAUAUGUAGAUAUGGCCUCGGAACACUGAGACCGAAAGGUCGAGCGUGAAUCAUAUAGUAGAUAUCAUCAACAUAGUGAUGUUCACCAUUGAAAACUACUCCAUUUCACGCGAUGAUCGGUUAUGGUUUAGUUGAUUUGGGUCACGUAAUCACUUAGAUGAUUAGAGGGAUGUCUAUCUAAGUGAGGCUUCUUAAGUAAUAUGAUUAAUUGAACUUAAAUUUAUCAUGAACUUAGUACCUGAUAGUAUUUUGCUUGUCUAUGUUGUUGUAGAUAGAUGGCCCGUGCUGUUGUUCCGUUGAAUUUUAAUGCGUUCCUUGAGAAAGCAAAGUUGAAAGAUGAUGGUAGCAAUUACACGGACUGGGUCCGUAACUUGAGGAUUAUCCUCAUUGCUGCACAGAAGAAUUACGUCCUGGAAGCACCGCUAGGUGCCAGGCCUGCUACUGAUGCUACUGGUGACGUUAAUAACAUCUGGCAGAGCAAAGUUGAUGACUACUCGAUAGUUCAGUGUGCCAUGCUUUACGGCUUAGAACCGGGACUUCAACGACGUUUUGAACAUCAUGGAGCAUAUGAGAUGUUCCAGGAGUUGAAGUUAAUAUUUCAAGCAAAUGCCCGGAUUGAGAGAUAUGAAGUCUCCAAUAAGUUCUACAGCUGCAAGAUGGAGGAGAAUAGUUCUGUCAGUGAACAUAUACUCAAAAUGUCUAGGUAUAGCAAUCACUUGAUUCAACUAGGAGUUAAUCUUCCGGAUGAUAGUGUCAUUGACAGAAUUCUUCAAUCACUGCCACCAAGCUACAAGAGCUUCGUGAUGAACUAUAAUAUGCAAGGGAUGGAUAAGACAAUUCCCGAGCUCUUCGCAAUGCUAAAGGCUGCGGAAGUAGAAAUCAAGAAAGAGCAUCAAGUGUUGAUGGUCAACAAGACCACCCGUUUCAAGAAAAAGGGUAAAGGGAAGAAGAAGGGGAACUUCAAAAGAAUGGCACACAAGUUGCUGCUCAGGAGAAGAAACCCAAGUCUGGACCUAAGCCUGAGACUGAGUGCUUCUACUGCAAACAGACUGGACACUGGAAGCGGAACUGCCCCAAGUAUUUGGCGGAUAAGAAGGAUGGCAAGGUGAACAAAGGUAUAUGUGAUAUACAUGUUAUUGAUGUGUACCUUACUAGAGCUCGCAGUAGCACCUGGGUAUUUGAUACUGGUUCUGUUGCUAACAUUUGCAACUCGAAACAGGGACUACGGAUUGAGCGAAGAUUGGCUAAGGAUGAGGUGACGAUGCGCGUGGGAAAUGGUUCCAAAGUCGAUGUGAUCGCCGUCGGCACGCUACCUCUACAUCUACCUUCAGGAUUAAUUUUAGAUCUAAAUAAUUGUUAUUUGGUGCCAGCGUUAAGCAUGAACAUUAUAUCUGGAUCUUGUUUGAUGCGAGACGGUUAUUCAUUUAAAUAUGAGAAUAAUGGUUGUUCUAUUUAUAUGAGUAAUAUCUUUUAUGGUCAUGCACCCUUGAAGAGUGGUCUAUUUGUGUUGAAUCUCGAUAGUAGUAAUACACAUAUUCAUAAUGUUGAAGCCAAAAGAUGCAGAGUUGAUAAUGACAGUGGAACAUAUUUGUGGCACUGCCGUUUGGGUCAUAUUGGUGUAAAGCGCAUGAAGAAACUCCAUACUGAUGGACUUCUGGAAUCACUUGAUUAUGAAUCACUUGGUACUUGCGAACCAUGCCUCAUGGGCAAGAUGACUAAAACGCCGUUCUCCGGAACAAUGGAGCGAGCAACAGAUUUGUUGGAAAUCAUACAUAUUGAUGUAUGUGGUCCGAUGAAUACUGAGGCUCGCGACGGGUAUCGUUAUUUUCUCACCUUCACAGAUGAUUUGAGCAGAUAUGGGUAUAUCUACUUAAUGAAACAUAAGUCUGAAACAUUUGAAAAGUUCAAAGAAUUUCAGAGUGAAGUGGAAAAUCAUCGUAACAAGAAAAUAAAGUUUCUACGAUCUGAUCAUGGAGGAGAAUAUUUGAGUUACGAGUUUGGUCUACAUUUGAAACAAUGCGGAAUAGUUUCGCAACUCACGCCACCCGGAACACCACAACGUAAUGGUGUGUCCGAACGUCAUAAUCGUACUUUACUAGAUAUGGUGCGAUCUAUGAUGUCUCUUACUGAUUUACCGCUAUCAUUUUGGGGUUAUGCUUUAGAGACGGCUGCAUUCACGUUAAAUAGGGCACCAUCGAAAUCCGUUGAGACGACGCCUUAUGAACUGUGGUUUGGCAAGAAACCAAAGUUGUCGUUUCUUAAAGUUUGGGGCUGUGAUGCUUAUGUGAAAAAGCUUCAACCUGAUAAGCUCGAACCCAAAUCGGAGAAAUGUGUCUUCAUAGGAUACCCAAAGGAAACUAUUGGGUACACCUUCUAUCACAGAUCCUAAGGCAAGACAUUUGUUGCUAAGAAUGGAUCCUUUCUAGAGAAGGAGUUUCUCUCGAAAGAAGUGAGUGGGAGGAAAGUAGAACUUGAUGAGGUAACUGUACCUGCUCCCUUAUUGGAUAGUUGUUCAUCACAGAAACCGGUUCCUGUGACACCUACACCACACUACAAAAAAAAUACACUUCCGUGAUGAUACGUGUUUGUCACAGUAGGUCGCGUUUUUUGUCAUGCAUGUACAUCCAUGACAAAUUUAUGACAGAAUCAAGAUAGUCAUACCUGUGAUGUCGUAGAAGUGUUCCAUGACAUUACCAAAAUUAUCAUCACGGAAGUGUCCACUUCCAUGACGAUAAGUCGCGCGUCACAGAAGUGCUUUCGUCAAGGGUGACCGACACAUGGCAUCCACCGUAAUGGAACGCCGUUAAGCUAUCGGGUCGGGUUUUGGAUCCGAUAACCCGUUAAUAGCCAUGACCAAUGGGGAUUUUCCACGUGUAAAAUCAUCAUUGGCUGGAGGAAACACGUGUCGGCUCAUCGUUGGGACAGAUGUCAUCCACUCAUUGGACAGAAGGCGCCUAUGAUACGUCGACACGUGGCACGGCCCAUCAAGUUUAAAUGGGCCGGCCCAACUAAAGGCCCACAAGAUUUUGCGGACCAUAAUGGGUCGGCCCAACUAAAGGCCCACGAGAUUUUGCAGACCAUAAUGGGCUGGCCCAGCUAAAGGCCCACAAGAUUUUGCAGGCCAUAAUGGGCCGGCCCAGGUAAAGGCCCACAAAAUUCUUGCGGAUCAUAAUGGGCCGGCCCAGCUAAAGGCCCACGAGAUUUCGCCGACACUAAUGGGCCGGCCUAGCUGUAGGCCCACAAGAUUUUGAGGACCCUAGUAGGCCGGCCCAUUAACUGGCUGCCAUGUCUUGGGCCAAAUGCCGGCCCAUAUUUGAUCCGGUCCAUUAAUGGCCUGCCACGUUCCGGGCCUAAUAAUGGCCCAUAUGAGACCCAGCCCGUUAAAAGCCUCCCACGUUCUGGGCCAAAUCACGGCCCAGAUCAGGUCCGGCCCUUUAAGAGGCUUUGGCCUCAAUUAUGGCCCAUAUCAGAUUGGGCCCGUUAACUGGACGCUAUGCUUUUGGGCCCACUUGCUAAAGGCCCAUUUAGUAAUUCGGCUUGAUAUUAGUUUCGGCCUGUUAAGGGCCCGUUUAACAUUUCGGCCCUAUAUUAAUUUUGGCCUGUUAAAAGCCCGUCAUAUAGUUGGGCCUAACUACGGCCCGGUUUGCAUCCGGCCUGCUCGCAGCCGAUAUCUGAUUGGGCCAAACAAGGACCGAGACAAUUUUGGCCUGUUAAAAGCCCGUGAUUUGAUUCGCACAAUCAUGGGCCGGGGUCCAUUUCGGGCUGCUGCCGGCCCGUGAGCUGUUCGGCAUGUUUCAGGCCCAACCUACUUCUCAGCCUCCUAAAAGCCCAUUGAGUUUUCUUGCGAAAAGAGGGCCGGGGUUACUCGGCCUAUUAAAGGCCCGAAUCUACUAGUGGGCCAGUUUGACGAGGCCCAUGAUGCGGAUCAUACAUCGUGAUUGCAUGACGGCCCGAUUAUGUACCCUAAUUUUACGGUUUGGCCGGUUUACUGCGAAGACAGGAUAUAUAUACAGUAAAAUAACUGCAGCAUCGUGAAUAAAAAAAACCUAGACUAUACAAUAAAGAAAUUACGGCAUAUUACAUCCACUGGGCAUCAAAGUUCGGCACUAUGAUAAUAAAGCACAAGCAGACAGUAGAUUACAUACACUGGGCAUCAAAGACCGCCACCAGUGCAAAUAAACACGCCGACAAAAUAAUAUACAAAACCGACAAAACUUCAAUAGAGUUCAAGAAAGGUUAGCCCUGCUAGCGAGCUGCAGCGCAACCACCUGAGCAAGAUGAUGAGACUGCGCUUGUUCAACACUUAUAUCUUCCUCACUUUGAAAGAUAAACAAGCAGACAUAUGACAGGUUUUGCACAUAAAAGUAUCAGUGCUGACAAUUCAUCACAUUUCUUACUGACGAAUAAAGUGACACAGUUUAAAAUUGCAUUAACACAAUAUGGUAUUGUUCAGGUCAAGACAUGGCAGGAUAUGACAUUGUGAAGGAGUUGGCAGCUUCACGACACCACUGGAUUACAGAUCAAGAACUCAUAAGUAUCAAUGGUUAGUGUGCUAUCAAUUUAUCCCAUUUCAGAUUGGCAAAUAAAGAGACGGUUUAAAUAAUAGUAGAAUGAUAUGACAUUGUUCAUAGUUAAGACAUUGCAGAAUAUGACAUUGUGUUGUAGUGGGUAGGUUCACCACACCACUGGAUUACACUACUAGGAAUACAGUUUUUAACGACGGUAUAUGUGAUCGUUAAUGGUUGGAUUGUGGUCGUUAAAAGUCAGUAACGACCACCAUCUGCUAGUCGUAGUAGGCUCCGUCGUUAAAAGUAUAACGACCACGUACCUUUCGUGGUCGUUAUUCUUAUAACGACGGGAUGGUGUGUCGUCGUCGAUCCCUAGGCAAUAACGACCACUUUUGUCGUCGCUAAUAAUAGUGGGAUGGUGUGUCGAUCCCAAGGCAAUAACAACCACUUUUGUCGUCGCUAAUAAUGUUAGCAUGCUGGCCAAAGUAUCAUUACCGACCACUCUCUUCACACUUUCAUAUCCUUUAGAACCACUUAUAUUAUAACAUUCCUUCAACAAUCACUUUAUGCAGCAUCCAACAUUUCAAUAUUAACAUCCACAUUAAUAUAGAAACAAAAGAAUCUUAAUUGAAAGGAUCAUAACCUCUUUUAUUAAUAUAAGUACCAAUAUUCUGACAUACAAUUCUGAAACUAAAAUAUCUUGUAAGAAAAUUGAGUCAAAAGCACUCCUUAUAUCACCAAUGUAUUUGAACAUAUCUAUAUGGAAAACGAGACAAGUAGAAAAGAUAAUAUUUAUUAGUCUUCAAUAGAGGGACGCCAUCGUUGUUUGAAUGGAUAUCAUUCUUCACCAGCGAUUACAAUGCCUCCUUAUGCUUAUAUAUAUUCUGGUGGACCAUCAGUCCUACAAAAUGUUGAUUAGUUUAUGAAAGUCAGUCCAUGUAAAUAAAUGGCAUCAAGUAUAAUGACAAAUAAAACCAAUGUGUGAGAACAACUUACUUGAUCAUGUUGGCGUUCAUGAGAACUAUCAGUCAGAGAUCUACCAGAUAGAAGACGCUUAAUUUCUGAUACUUCUUGCGCCAUCCCGUUGACCUUUUCUUCGAGUACUUGUUUCGCUUGCUCAGAAGCUUGAAGUUGAGAAACUAAUUCAGCCUUACUUAAUGCUGGUCCUCGCAAAUCUCUUGCUCUAAUUCCACCACGAAAUCCAACUACGCAAUCAUGCCGCUUAGAUGUGUCACAUUUCUGCAUGACUUCAUCAUUUGAAAGACCAGGAUUCAACUGAACUAUGGUCUUAAUUUGUGCCUGAAGUGCCAACAGUAAGUUAUUUGCAUAAACUUCUAUCUCUAAGUAGGAAUUGUACACGUGAUGUUCAUUAUGGAAGUUAUGAAUGUUAAAUUAAGUCUUACAUGUUUGGCGGAGGUUGUAGAAUCAGGGAAGUCUGUACCCUUCUUGUGUGUCUCUGAAAAUAGUUUAUCCAUACUCGGUGGCUUGUUUUCCUUUCCUCCCUGUUCCAACAUAGGCAAUUGACUAUUAUUAGUUGAAACAAAAUGGCAAGACAACUCACACUGAUCUUAUAUUAUUGGAAAUGAAAAACAAGAGAAGUCAAAGCAUGUACCAUGUCCCAAAUUAUCAGUCUAAAGGGUUUACUGCCAGAUCGGUGAAGCAUUUUGAGGUUAGCUCUGUUUUGGGUGUUUCUCUUGCUCUUUUUCUGUAGUUAAAGAGGAUUAUAUUGUCAACUGCACAAAUGGUUGAAAAUUAAGAGGCAACAUUAAAACAUACCAGAAACUCCCUGCUGAAAAAUGCUCCUUGACAAGCCAUUCCCAGUCAUCCUUUGGAAUAUCUUUAGGUACCUUUUUCAUAGCCUCUUGCAUAGUCUUGUUGGGUUUCACAAAAUGCCGGUGCAAGUCUCCACGCCAGUUGAUCCAAAGUUUCUUGACAUGGUCUAAUAUCUCAUCUUUGUACACAUCUAUUGCAAUGUUGUCGUCAAUAUUUUCGAACUUGUCCUAAAUAGUUGUUCAUAAAACAGAGUCUCAUAAAUACAUCAGUAUAGAAAAUCAGAUUAUAAUGCUAGAACUUUUAACCAAACAUACCUUAAUUGCAUCAAAUAUAUGUUUCCGAGCUGCAUCAGUAAUAUUGGACCAUUCCUUUACCCUCAUCGGGGUAAUUCUAGGAUUACGGACAAUUCUACCCAAGUGUCGUGCAAAACUUUUGGAAAGUGCACGGUUAUUGUAAAACCGGACUUUAAUUUUUUGGGACUCCAUGAGAUCAGCUACUUCCUUGCAUUUAUUUUUCCCACGGACCCUGCGCUUUUCACCUGUUUGAGGUCCUGCACCAUUCGAAAGAAAUAUGUUAAUCAAGUACAAAAAAAGAAAAACAUUCAAGCUACAAUUUAUAUUGUAGCGGUCCGACUGAAGUAUCAACUAAUCAAGUUGCAUUGCUGAGCUUACUAGUCUUGGACGUAGCUGUAAGGUCAUGGUUACCCCGCACUUCUUCAUUUUCCAGAUUUUCAUCAACUAAUUCAGUUGCAUUGUUGUGCUUACUGGUCUUUGAGGUACCUGCAAAGCCAUGGCUAUCCUGGGAUUCUUCACUUUCCAGAUUUUCAUUACCCAUUAAUUCAUCUGCACCAUUUGCACCAUCUGAAAAUAUACAACAAAUCGGUCAGCAUGGUGGAUGAAGGAAAAAUGAAAAAAUUGAAGUUUUUCAUACCAUGAAAAUCAUGCAUAUCAUUUCCCAUGUCACCAUCAUUGCUGGUAUCAGCUUCAUCACUCAUAGCUGCAAUAUAUUAUGAGUUACUUGAAGACAAUAAAGCUUAGAAACAAUUCUUGGUACAAUAUAUGGUACUUAGAAACUCACUUCCAGAAUCAUCAGCAUCCCAAUUUGUAGUAAACAAGAUUGGUGUAUUUGUUGCCGCGUCAUUUCCAUCUAUGAAAACAAGCAACCACAUUAUAUCAUCCUUUAGUAGAUAGCUUGAAUAAUAUUUUUAUGUUUCUGUAGUACCUUUUGCAGCUAACUCAUACUUUUUCCACAGUUUCUCUUCUUGCAAAUGAGGCUUGUGAGUAACCCUUUUUCUGCUGAAAUCUGCUAUUUGACUUGAUUUCUCUGGCAAGGUCCGCCUAGCAAUACCCUGGUGUACAAGUCCAGACUUAUUCAACUGUGAGGAGCAUCUUUCCCGAGCUAAUGCUGUCAAGUUUCCAUACCUGUGCUAACUCAUUGUGAUACCCUACACAUAUAGCGUUAGUUUGAAGUGUGCACAAAGGCUAUACAAAGUAAAAUUGAAUUAAAUAAGUGAAUAUUGAUAUACUGAUAAUGAAUUAUUGAAUGCUAAAUCAAAUUAAGUAAAUACAGAACUACUUGUGUCACUAUUUAUUAAUAAGGUAAAAGCAAAAAUAUGAAGCAAAUCGAUUGCUAUAGAUUAAGAGUUGCAUAAACUAGUGUCAUCAUGUUGUUCUCUUUCUACGUGAUGUUGAUGUCGAAUUUUGAAGCAAGUCGUCUUCAUCGCCAUUGUCAGGUUUAGCUUCAGAGGCUUCAUCAUCAGACUGUCCAUGUGGUACACUAUAAGCAUGACGUGAUGGAUUUUUCACGACUGCGUGCCAUCCUUUUAUAAGAUUGUCCUUGACAAAAAAUACUUGAGAGACUUGGCUAGCUAGAACGAAAGGCUCAUCUGUCAGAAGCAAACGCUGCAGGUUAAGACUAACGAUUCCAUGCUUGUUGUGUUUCUUCAUCCCAUGCUCUUUGUCAAAUACGACAAUCCAGUUGCAACGGAAUAAUGUCACAUGCCUUCCACCUAAGUAUUGCAGUUCGACUAUCUCUGUCAAUAUGCCAUAAUAUUCUACUAUAUUACCAUUAUCCCCUUGUUCUGAAAGUACAACCACCCCACUGUUCUGUGUGCAGAGGUGUCUAUCUCGACUUUGAACACGAUAUCUGAAUCCAUUCAUGUCAUAGCCAGUAAAACAUGUUACAUUUUCCAAUGGACCACGUGAUAGUGCCAAAAGGUCUUCGGUGAGCUCACUCUUAUCAUGUUCGUGCAAGCUGGCUACCUAUGCAGUGAAAAAUAGCUAUGUUAACAUCUUCACACAGAAAUACUGAAAUGUACGUGCACAUGUAUGUACAUACAGACUUUAUUCUGGAAUCUUUACCUUCUCUUUGAACCACUGAUUGAACUUCUGGUUCCACGUGGUGGUAAAUGAUUGCAGUGAACAUCCAUCUUGACUACUGGAGUACUCACUACAAUAAUACAAAGCUUAAUUGAUAUGGGCAUGCAAAAAGUUGACUAAGUACUUAACAAGUGAACCGAAUAAUCAAUACCUGAUAUAUGGUUGAACUUCAUCACAAUUUCUCAAAACAUAAAUAUGAGCUUGCUCUGCUUCAAGAAGAUUAAGAUCUCUAGGUCUACGACCAUCGGAUGGCCUUCCAUCCGGAUUGAAUAUUGACAAAUAAUAGUUGUCAUCCCCUGGUGCAUCAUUGAUUCUGCCUGGUCGGUUAUGCUUUGUCUCGACAUCAUCCAAAUACCUAGAGCACAAUGUAAUGAACUCUUUUGCAAUGUAUCCCUCUGCAAUGGAAGCCUCAGGUCGUGCCAAAUUUCGCACUAGCGAUUUCAGACACUUUAUUUGUCUCUCAAAGAGAUACAUCCACCGAUAUAUUGUAGGUCCACCAACAAGAGCCUCAUUAUCCAAAUGAACAGGCAGAUGCAUCAUGAUAUCAAAAAAGGACGGUGGGAAUUCCUUUUCAAGCUUACAUAGUGUCACAGGUAUUUGGGCCUGCAUUUCAUUAAGUUCUUCUACUGAAAGUGAUUUGGAGUUUAAUUUGCAAAAGAAUUGUGAAAGCUCAACCAGAGGGUCAUAAAUAUUCUAGGGAACAAGUCCACGCAGUGCAAGAGGAAGUAAAUGAUUUAGCAUAACAUGGCAGUCGUGGCUCUUCAGUCCUGAAUUUUUUUUCUCUUUCAUAUUAGUGCCGCAGCCAAGGUUUGAACAAAAUCCAGCUGGAACUUCGAGGUCCUUAAAAAACCGAAGGAACAAAAUCUUAUUGGGUGGAAGCAAAGUGAAAGGCGCAGAUGGAAAAGUAGGCUUGUCCCCUUCCUUGUCCGGAUGCAUACCUGGCCUUAUUUUCAUUAGUUGCAAAUCGCGCCGAGAAUUUAUGUUAUCCUUCGUUUUACCUUUGACAUCCAUAUUGCCAUGAUGCUAUCACAUAUAUUCUUUUCUAUAUGCAUGACAUCAAGGUUAUGGCGCAACAAGAGAGUUUUGAAAUAUGGCAAAUUACAAAAUAUACUUCUUUUGUUCCAGCUAUCUCCUCUUUCAUCGUGGGACACCUUUGUCUUCUUACUUGCAUCUUUAGACAAGAUAAUCCCCUCUAGAUCAGCCACUUGGUCCAUCACAUUUUGUCCUGUUAAGGGUGUUGGUGGUUCUCUGGUUUCUGUGGUACCAUCAAAAGAUUUUUUAUCUUUCCUCCACCUAUGGUUUUUAUGAAGAAAGCGUCGAUGCCCCAUGUAACAGAACUUCCCACCUUUUUAAGCCUUAAUGAACAAGUCCCACUGUGGCAUACUGGACAAGCCAAUUUUCCUUUUGUGCUAUAUCCAGAGAGGUUGGCAUAACCAGGGAAGUCAUGGACCAUCCACAGAAGUGCUGCACGCAGUGUGAAACUUGUUUUCGUUGAUGCAUCAUAAGUGUCAACACCCUCGUUCCAUAGUUCAAUAAGUUCCUCUACAAGUGGUUGCAGAUAAAUAUCAAUUGCAUCACCAGGACCAUCAGGCCCUGGAAUCAACAUGGACAACAUCACAUUUUCUUGUUUCAUGCACAUCCAUGGGGGCAAAUUUAGGGGAACAAGGAAUACGGGCCAGAUGCUAUGAGAUGUUCGCAUUGUUUUAUAUGGUUGGAAGCCAUCAGAAGAGAGACAAAACCUAAGAUUGUGAAUUUCUUUUGCAAAUGGGAUGUUUUUUGCAUCAAAAUAUUUCCAAGCUUUCGAGUCAGCAGGGCAUCUAAUGACACCAUCAUCUACCCUGCCCUCCGCAUGCCACCUAAAGGAUUCAGUAGUUUUGUGGCACAUGAACAUCCUUUGCAGCCUUGGCUUUAAGGAAAACUACCGCAUAGUUUUUUGUGGAAUCUUCUUCCCUUUUGCCGAGUGCAGAGUGGUGCCUGUGCGCUUGUCUUCUUUCCAUCUAGAUGCCCCACACACCUUGCACGACUCCGCAUUUAUAUCUUCUUUCCAGUAGAGCAUGCAAUGAUUCGUGCAAGCAUCAAUUUUCCUAUAACUCAGUCCUAGUUCCUGAAUAGUUUUUUUCGCUUCAUAAUAAGAAUUUGGCAAAGUAGAGUUCUGUGGUAGGAAAGCCUUCCGCAGAUAUACCAACAACAUGGUGAAGGACUUGUUGCUCCACUUUCCCAAAUUCUUAAUGUGAAGCAAGUUAACUAGUGCAGAUAAUUUAGUGGUACUAGAACCUUCAUAAAGUGGCUGGUUGUAGUUGUCAAGCAAUUUAUAAAACUUUGCUGCUUCAUUAUUUGGUUCCUCUUCGUUAGUUGGUGGUGUCGUUGUUUGCUCAGUUGGAUUAUUAUUUUGAGGAAACAGAUCAUGCAACAAAUCUUGCAUUGGGUCAUAUCCAUCUGCACUCUCUGCUUGCAUUUCUUCAUCGCCUUGACCUUCAGAAACUGUUUGAGGUUCCCUCGCAACUUCACCAUGAUGGUACCAAAAGGUAUAAUUUCUCAGAAUUCCGUACACUUUCAGGUGAGCAGAAACCAAUGCACGAGGAUGAGAGUCUGUGUUGCAGCAUUUGACGCAUGGACAUCGAAUUUCAUUCUCCCUGCCUGCUUGGCUGAACGCAUAGUCAAGGAAAUUCUCUACCCCUUCUAGGUAUUCAUCAUCUAAUCGCUCAUCCACUAGUCUCAUCCAUAUCUUACUUGGAGCCAUCUCCAAAUAUAUAUUACUGUUUUAGUACGUAGUUAUCCUGCAUUUAUGUUAUUCGAUGUAAGACAUAUCAGACUAUAAAAUAAAUCAUAGUGUGUAUGAUCUAUAGAUGAAUGGAUUGUACUGAACAUGGCAUAACAAAAUUCUAAAUCGUAAUAAGCAAACGAAUUCUACCUACAUAUUUUGUAAUCAAGAUCAACAACAAUGCAUCAAGGUUCCAUGGGAAAAAACAGAGCAAGGAGGAAUACGAAAAAACAGAGCAAGGAGGAAUACGAACCAAGCUGCUGCGGAGUUGCGUUGGCGACCGGUGAUGUGCAGGCGGCAGCGUGGGCGCACCGGGGUCGAGGCUAACCAGCGACGUGGAGGCGGCAGCCCGGGCGCGCCGGGGGUCCAGGCGACCGGCGAUGUGCUGGCGGCAGCGCGGGCGUACCGGGUCGAGGCUACCGGCGACGUGCAGGUAGCAUCGCGUAUGCGCCGGAGUCGAGGUGACUGGCGAGGUGCGACCUGCAGCGUGGAGAGGCGUAGAACACAAGGAAGGAGAUGCGAUCUAUGGACUAUGGAGGUGUUGAAUUGAGCAGGGCAGGGGAGGCGAAGAGAAAGAGGCGCCGGGAGAUGAGAUCCUAACAGAUUAAAUAGUUAUUCCCUGUUACGAAGGGUUAUCUAGUCGAAAUUGCCAGCAGUUUGCGCCAAAAAAAUUCAGCCGUCCCGCUCUCUUUACUCGAGAACCAAAAAUAUUUAUGCCUAGUUUUGUGCUACAAAAUCUGAGGAUUUGGUCUAAAAAAUGAGGAUUUCAACUUUUGAAAGGCACAGUGGCCUCUACCUCCCUGUACUUUUAGGUAUACCUUAUGAAACCAAUUGAGUCAAGCACAAACUCUGUUCAUAGGUUGACAAGAAAGAAUGCAGGCGUGGUGGUUUCAGUGUACUUUGACACACACGAAGCAGGGGAAAACUGAUAGGUUCAGUUUCAGAUACAGAAGCACACAAUUUUGACACAAUGGAUUCCUUUUUCUCUUUUCUUUUUUCUUACAUCGACUAUGCCAAGCAAUGAAUGGAACAACUCCUAUUUAUAAGUUUCUCAGCACUGCAAGCAACCCACUUGCUUUUGCUGCAACAAAUGCAUGCAAAAGCCUGAAAUUAGCUUCGCCAACAUGUACACGCAGGGCACACCUGCACUUAACUUGCAAGUUGCAGCCGAUCUGCCACAAUCACUUCACAUUGCAAUAGGAAUUGUUUGACUACAAUCAGGUUUAAGCUAACAUGGUGAUGCUUUGGCAUCCAUAAUGCCUGGUGAUCUGAAGGUACUGGUGCAGAUCAAAUUCAUUGGUGAAACCCUGUCCAUGACAUCGCCAAAAUACAGUGCCUAUUUCUAAGCACAUGCAUAUAUUUGUACCGUAUAAUACAAUGUCAGCGGAUAUGAAGAUCCAUUUAUGGAUAGGAAAAUAUUUGAAAGUCAGUCUCUUGUUCAUAGCCUGACAUAUGAAUGACAAGAACAAAUGUUAAAAGGCACUAAUGUUGAAUUCUGCUGCCGAUGAGCCAAACUUGAAAAACUAACAAUAAUACUGUUCUCUAGCAAACAAUAUUUAUUUUUCAACGAUCUUGUCGUAGUCAGGAAUAUAAAUUCGCAAAAAGUCUCUACGUAUUUUGUUCAGAUUACUCUUAUGCCUAGGUGCAUUCCUGGCUCUUGCUUCCCUCCUCAAUGCAGCAUCACUAGCACGCCUUUCAUUAAAUUCCUUCCUGACCUUCUGGUAUACUUCAUCUUGUUUGUCUUCUUCCUCGGAGUCUUCAACAACUUGCCUACGCAGGUACUCAAUAGAGUCUUCAUCGACAUCGGUUAUCGAGACAUCGCUGCUACGUUCUUCAUCUGGAGACUCUUCUGCCUACUGAUUAAUUGUAUCUAGAACAAACUCAACCAUUCUGUCUCCUUGCACGUUCUGGUUCUUUGAAUCAGGAGCAAAAUCAACAAUCAGUUCUUCUUUUACCUCAGGAUAUAUUGAACUAUAUUGAAUCUGGAGGAGAAUUAAUGAUUAAGUUAUGUACCUCUUGAUCCGUAGUAUGGUGAGUAAACUCAACCAUGGAAUCCGCUUGCUCCAUCAAGUGCAUCUCUACCGAGCUUGGCGAGGAGUCGCGGUGGCCGGGAGAAUUGUGUGGUUCAGCAGAGGCGCCGGACGGAGAUGGAUGGGCAUGAACGACCAUGCAGGCUUCCAUCGGGAUGUUGUGCAAAAAUGAGGAACGCGAGGACUAACUAAUAGGAUUAGGAGCAGAUUAGAUUAGUUGGGGCUGGAGAGAUUUACCGCCAAUAUUUGGAGAACCCGCCAACAUUAGUUGGGAUGUUUGUGGGGGAGAGAUAAAGGAGAGAAGAGUUUUUUCUUUUCUUUUUGAACACAAGGAGAGGGAGUUUGUUAGAGUUGACCACGUACAUGCAAACCCCAUAAUAGUAACGACCGCUCACCUAGUGACGGGCAGACCCAUGGUUGUUGAAUGUAUUACGUAGAUUGGUUUCCACCACGGGGGGACUCCACUCGGGUAUUCAACGACCAAGAGUUUUUGGGCACCGUCGUUAAUGCCAGUAUUUGUAGUAGUGUUACAGAUGAAGAACAGAAGCAUACAUGCAGUGCAAAAGAAGAUCACUUGCUCUGUCUAGUUUAAUUUACAUGGUAUGAAGAAGGAACUUGGUUGUACAACUGAAAACUUAAAUUGAGAAGGACAAACUUUUGUUUAUGAACUACAUAAUAAACUUUAAACAUGCAAUUUGAUGCAAACACCAAAAAUAAACAGCUGUUGCAGUCAUGCCUAACCAAAUAUACACAACAAAGUUUGAAGGCUUGAGAAGGACAAACUUACAUUACUGGUGAAGACAGGCUCUAUAAAGCCCUUGUCCAUGCUGAUGGGGGGGGGGGCAAUUCAAGAAGUUUACCAUAGAAUCUUCUUCAUAAGCAUUGCCUUUAUUCUACAUUUUGUUAAGAGUAAAUAUAGAUGUGAUAAUAUACGAAAAAAUGGAGAAUAUUUAAGAUAAGAUGAAGAGUGAUGCUACAUAACCAAGUAGCUAUAAAUGUAUGUGCAGCGAUAUAGGCAAAAGGCACAGCCAAGAGCAAUGCACAGCUAAACUUCUUCAGUACCAACCUUAUGGUAAGAGUAAAUAUAGAUCUGAUGUGUAGAAAAUGGAGGGCAAAGGAAAAUAAGCUACAGAGUGACAGUACAUGAACAACUACCUGUCAAUAUAAGUACACUGAUAAAGGACAUCAUGUACUUACAAGAACAAUGCAGAGCUAAAAAAAUCAUUGGCAUUGGAUAUAUUCUACACUGAUGUAACCAUUCAUACAGAUCCGAUAAUUUGGAGCGAACAAUUGAUAAGCAAGCUAUCAUGCAUACUGCUGUCACAUAAUGAACAAGGUAUGUAUGCAAGUACAGUGAUAUAGGACAACAGGUACUAACAAGAGCAAAGCAGCGGGCAACAUAUUUGCGAUAUCCUGUUGUUCUUUUCAAACCGGAAUUCUUCUUCGAGCAGAUUUCCUGCAAAAAAGAUCCGUAAGGCACAUGCGGAAAAGUAGAAGUUCAAAUUGUCAUUUGAUUUCAUAGACAGUAGCUCAUCCUGGGAACAAGACCAGUGCAUAACAAGGUUUUUCCAUUCAAUGUCUUCUAAAUUUAGCAUAGGAGACUUCACCAGAAAUUCGUUUGUAGACUUGCCAUCAAAGUGCGAUUUCCUCAGGUAACACCGAUACUGCUGCAAUGCUUCCUUGAAAAGCACAAGCAAUCUUUGCUCGUCAUGACUAUCCAGAUUGACCCUCGCCUAGUUACAACAAUGUAAUGCAAAUCAUUGAUGUGUUCGAUCAGCAGAAAACAGGAAAAUAAUAACCAUGAAUAAUAGCACUUACACGUAAGUUGGACAGGAAGAUGUGAAAAUGGUGUUUGUCUUCACUAUAAUCUUCCCAUGAUGGGAAUAUAUGCACGUAGUCCCUAACACCAUUGAAAGCAUUGUCUUUUAAACUGGGAAUAAAUGGAAUGGGGUUCCAAUCUGCAGGAAUUGGCCAUCUCUGCAGUUGGGAUAGGUCUUCGGCCGGUGGACUUGCUGUACUUUUUGCUGGAGUGGGAUUUUUCUGUGGUACAGCUGGUGCUAUGGAAAAUGAAAUCGGUAUACCUUUUGCUGGAGUGCAGGUCCUGUGUGGUGGGGCUAGUGGUGUGGCCAGUGAAGUAUGGGUACAGUCUGCUGGAGUCGGUCCUACGUUUAGUGUCACUGGUUGUACAGCCAAUAUAAGUGGGGCGCUGUCUGAUUUCUCCGGCACCACCACGUAUUUCAAGGACUUUGCUGGUACUCCUUCAGGUUCGACAAUCACCCUCUGUCACGCCCAAGAUGCGACCCUAUCCUAAAGGAACACGAAGGUCCCACCAAGGAUAGAAGCACAUCUUGAAGACGCUUUUGCGAGGUGGAUAUCAUUACAUCAACAUUACAUAAUAUUUGGGGAUACAUACAAGGCAUACCAAUGCCGCAAGAAUACAUCAAUACAUCAUACAUAAGCUCAACAUCCGACUACGGAUGAAACAUAAACAGAAACUCAAACGACAUCCACCCUGCUAGCCCAGGCUGCCGAUCUGGAACCUAUCCCCUGAUCGAAGAAGAAGCAGAAGAAGAACUCCAAAACAGAUAAACAUCGCUCUCGCGUCAUGAUCAUCGUAAAACCUGUACCUGCAACUGGUGGUGUAGUAAUCUGUGAGCCACGAGGACUCAGCAAUCCCAUUACCAUGGGUAUCAAGACUAGCAAAGCUUAAUGGGUAUGGAAAGGAUAAGUGGUGAGGUUGCAGCAGCGACUAAGCAUGUAUGGUGGCUAACUUACGCACAUGAGAGCGAGAAGAGAAGCAAAGGAACGGUCGUGAAACUAACAAUGAUCAAGAAGUGAUCCCAAACUCCUACUUACGUCAAACAUAACCCAGAAACCGUGUUCACUUCCCGGACUCCGCCGAGAAGAGACCAUCACGGCUACACACGCGGUUGAUGCGUUUUAGUUAAGGUCAAGUGUCAAGUUCUCUACAACCGGAUAUUAACAAAUUCCCAUCUGCCACAUAACCGCGGGCACGGCUUUCGAAAGAUAAUACCCUGCAGGGGUGUCCCAACUUAGCCCAUAAUAAGCUCUCAUGGUCAACGAAGGAUAUUCCUUCUCCCGGGAAGACCCGAUCAGUCUCGGAAUCCCGGUUACAAGACAUUUCGACGAUGGUAAAACAAAACCAGCAAAGCCGCCCGAUGCGCCGACAUCCCGAUAGGAGCUGCACAUAUCUCGUUCUCAGGGCAACACCGGAUGAGCAAUCCGUACAACUAAAACCAGACCUCAAGUUUUCCCGAGGUGGCGCUACAAGGGGCUCUAGUUCGGACCAACACUUAGACAAGCAUUGGCCCGGGGGGGCUAAAUAAAGAUGACCCUCGAGAGAGCGACUCCCAAGGGAAAAGUAGGUGGUGGUGAGGCAAAUGGUAAAACCAAGGUUGGGCCUUGCUGGAAGAGUUUUAUUCAAAGCGAACUGUCAAGAGGGUCCCAUAAAUCACCCAACCGUGUAAGGAACGCAAAAUCCGGGAACAUAACACCGGUAUGACGGAAACUAGGGCGGCAAGAGUGGAACAAAACACCAGGCAUAAGGCCGAGCCUUCCACCCUUUACCAAGUAUAUAGAUGCAUUAAUAAUAUAAGAGAUAUUGUGAUAUCCCAACAUAAACAUAAUCCAACAUGGAGCAAUCUUCAUCUUCACCUGCAACUAGCAACGCUAUAAGAAGGGCUGAGCAAAGCGGUAACAUAGCCAAAACAACGGUUUGCUAGGAAGGGUGGCAUAGGUUAGAGGUUCAUGGCAAUUUGGAAGGCUUGAAGAGCAAGUGAAUAGGUAGCGCAGCAUAGCGAUAGAACGAAGCAACUAGCAUAGAAAUGAUAGUAAUGAGAUCCAAGGUGACGGUCAUCUUGCCUGAAAUCCCGCUAGGAAGAAUAACGAGUCCAUGAAGAAGAUGAAGCCACGAAGACGAACGAAUCCUCACGAUCGCAACGACACGGGAACUAUCGAGAAGAAGCACACAACAUGGUAAACACACCACACAUGAACAAGGCAUGAUGCUCAAACAAGAAUGAUGCAUGAUAAGGCUAAAUGAAGCUACUCAUGACAAGAGAUGAUGCAUACAAGAUGAACACAUCAAGGCAAGUUUAAAUGAGGCCGGAAACAACAUAUAACAAAUCCGGUAAGUCCUCAUAUGCAAAUUUCGAAAUUGGUCCAGAACUGAAUAAACAUUAAGUUGAAGUUGUUAAACAGCAAGUUAAAGAGCACCAUGAUGAUCUACACGAAAUUCUAGUCAAGUUACAUAUAAAGUUCAUUAGAUUCGGAGCUACGGCCUAGAAGAUAUGAGCAAAACAAGUUAAACAUGGCAUUGAUGCAAAAUGCAUACAAACAUCAAGCAAACACCUCAAAACAAGGAUGCAACAUGAUAAUAUGAAGCUACAUGCAAAAUUAAGCAAGUUUCAUACAGAGUAUGCUCAAAACGGAGCAACGGUGCAACACAUACACUCCAAACAAUAUAUUUUUACAGGUGAAAAAACAAGGCAUGGACAUGAUAUACAGGUAAAGCACAAUAAAACAUGAGCACUGAACUAUCUCUAGAAAUCACUAGAUCAAGCUCAAAAGGACAUGGCAAGAUUGCAAAUAAUAACAGAUUCACAGACUUGGUAGAAAUACUGGACAUGGCAGAAAUAAUAUCAGGUUGCAAUGUUUAGAGCUAUGAAGAAACAAGCUACAGGAACCUACCAUGGCAAACAAAGGCAUGGCAUGAAUCUACUCAAAGCAUAUAACAAAUGUCCCUUACUGACCAUAAGCCAAAAAGGCACAGAACAUAUGAUGGCAGCCAUGUAAACAUAGCAAGUUUCGUUAACAGGUUUCAGACACAGCAGAAAACAGAGUAUGGCAGAAACAAUAAUAUGAAGGCAUCUUGGUGAGCUUGAUGCACUCAUCACAAGGAAAUGCAUGACAAGAAAAGCAUACAUACAGCAAGAUGGCAUGUUUAUGAAGCUAACCAUGGCAAGAGCAAGUACAUAGCAUGAAAGGAUCAACUACAACAAGCUUGGCAACAUUGAAUAACACGUAGACAAUCUGCCAGGAACAUUUUAUAGCAAAAGUAGAGCAAGAUUGAGACAUGCUAUGGCACUCCAUAAUUGCAACCAAGGGCAUGAAUGGAUCAAUUACAACAAUAUCUAUAAAACAUCCUUACUUAACAUCUCCAAAAUAUGCAUGGAUCUUUCUGUAGCAUCAAGUUUACAUGGCAACAAAAUAACAGCAGACAAGAACUUGGAGAAAUCACCAAGUCCCUGAAAUCAGAAACAUUACGGAGCCUAGUUUGCAUACUUGUGCUAGUCACCACAGAGAUCACAAAAAUAAAUGGCAUACACCACUGGAAAGACGGCAUGGCAUACAACAAAACACAAGUAGAUCUCAUGCCCAUAAGAUGCACAGAUUAAAUUCAACAAAAAUAACAAAUCACCAAGUUCUGAUAACAGACAGCAGAUAACAGCAACUAGCACUCUUGCAACGAUGAUUUGGGCAUCAAGAUGGCCUCUAAAGAACAUGGUGCACUGGAAUAAAAUGAAGAGCAUCACGAGACGAACAUUUUGAUAUAUUAUAUGCUUCAAACGGUUUAGCAAGCACGAAGAUACGCUAGGUCAAACAUGCACACUUAACAUAGAAAAUCUGGGACUUGGUCAUAUUUCUCGGAAAAAACGGAGUGGGCGCAAAAUGACUAAAUGUCGCCCGGGCGAGGGAUAGGGCUGCCAGGGUGCUCACCUAGUGUGCUGCAGGCCCAGGUCGGUGGAGGAGGCGGCCUGGCAGGCCGGCUGGAGCUGGGCCGGGGCGCCUUGGCUGGGCCUUGGCGGGGCCCACACGGCAGCCCACGGCGGGCCGGGAGGCGUGCGAGGUUACGCGCUCGCUGGCCUUCGCCUUCCCGAACGAGGAUGGGGCGGCGGCGGCGGCUGUUCUCCGGCGAGCGGGCAGGCGCGAGGGGGGGCGCUGGGAACUGGUGGAUCCGGGCGGCGCGGUGCCGGAUCCGGCCACGGGAGGAGGUCGGAGGGACUCCGGCGCCGGCGACUCGCAGCGGCGGCGAGGAAACUCCGGCGGCGGCGGCUCCUGCUGGAAAGAGAGAGAGUGAGGCAAGGGAAGGAGAGAGGGAGAGAGGGAGCGCUGCGGCGGUGCUCACCCGCGGCGUCAGGGACGAGGCGNNNNNNNNNNNNNNNNNNNNNNNNNNNNNNNNNNNNNNNNNNNNNNNNNNNNNNNNNNNNNNNNNNNNNNNNNNNNNNNNNNNNNNNNNNNNNNNNNNNNNNNNNNNNNNNNNNNNNNNNNNNNNNNNNNNNNNNNNNNNNNNNNNNNNNNNNNNNNNNNNNNNNNNNNNNNNNNNNNNNNNNNNNNNNNNNNNNNNNNNNNNNNNNNNNNNNNNNNNNNNNNNNNNNNNNNNNNNNNNNNNNNNNNNNNNNNNNNNNNNNNNNNNNNNNNNNNNNNNNNNNNNNNNNNNNNNNNNNNNNNNNNNNNNNNNNNNNNNNNNNNNNNNNNNNNNNNNNNNNNNNNNNNNNNNNNNNNNNNNNNNNNNNNNNNNNNNNNNNNNNNNNNNNNNNCGGUGAGGGCGCGAGGGCGACGGGAUCCCGGCGAGCAGGGCGCUCGGGAGCGGAGGCGGGUGGCUGCGGGCCUCGGGCCCAGAUCGGGGCCCGGGCGGGCCUGGCAUGGGCCUGGCGGCGCGGGGAGGCAGGGUGAGGUGGCGAUGCCACAUGGCGGUGGGGCAGUGGCUGGAGACGGCCAGGGGGCGACGUGGCGCGCCUAGAUUGGUCCGGGGUGCGCCGGCGGCGGCGCCAAGUGGCGGAGCAGGGUUGGAGCGGCGCGGAAUGCGAGGAGGAGGGGGUUGGCUGCGGCUAGAGGUAGGUGGAGGGCUAGCGGGCUAGGGUUGCCCAAAAAUGGCAAGGGGGUUGAUUAAAUAGGCAAGGGGGGCUAGGUUAGGCGUUUUGGAGCGUUUUUUGGAGCCUCCGAUCGCCAUCGAACGGAUCCGGAUCGGAGGGGGUUUGUAGGUGGGCACAUGGGCUGUGUAGAAGGCCUCGGGCAAUGGGGAGAGAAGAUAAAGGCAGCCCGGCGGCAGUUUCGGAGACCGAAACAUCCGACGAUUAAACCGGCAACGGUGCCGCUACGGAUGACAGUUGGGCUAACAAACGGACUCCGAACGCGAUGAAAUUUGGCAGGCGGCCUACCUACACUGUAAUAAGACCACACGCCAAUUUUCAUCCCAUUCCGAGAACAUUUUCUGGCCACUUAUAAAAUAAUAUCUCGGAGGUGCCUCGGGCGCGUGCGGGUGUGGUUGGGCUCAGAACGGACAACGGGGAGAACCGGGGGAACCCGAACGGAUGCAAGUUUUGAAAAACAUGAAGAUGCAAUGCAGAUGAUGACAUGGCAAAAUGCAACACGCAGGCACAUGACAUGGCAACAACGAUGAAUAACUGGGGGACACCUGGCGCAUCGGAUCCGGGGCGUUACACCCUCUUCCUUUUUGAUGUCUGAUGCACAAGAACAGCAUUUGAGUGAAAAAACAUGGUAUGAUGACAGAUGGAAUAUGUAUUGAUAAUGGGUGGGCAUGGCAUCUCGAGUUAUAUGAUGAUUAAACUAAGCAGAUGUCGGUGCAACAAAGUAGAAGAAAUGCAAGACAACAUAUGCAAGAUACGCGCAAUUAAUAAAACCUUGCCAAAUUAGAACAGGCACCUUGAUGGGUGAAUGGGACAGGCCAUCUGCCUAUGACUCCUCGAGGUUAGAAUAGUCAUUAGGAUGAUAUUCUGAACAAGAAUCAACAGGUGGGGAGCGUAUGAGUUUCAUUGCUUCCAGAAUGGCACUCAAUGCCUUGGUGCUAAUUUUGUAAGUCAUUGCAGUGUUCCACAAUAUUCUUCUGAUGUGCGGAUUCUGAUAUUCACUGUAAUUGCGUAUAAUAUCUGAGAACCAUGAAAACAUAAAUAGUUGUGAGAUUAUCUUUGUAAUGCAGAUGAUAUUCUAAUAUAGGGGCGCCCCUGUAAACACUUGUGUGCUAUCACUGGAUUCUGAUGAGAGAGCUCAUGUGUGCUGUAAUAUGGUGCGUGCAUUUAUAUAAUCAGUCACAAGUACACAAAAAAAUAGGCUCCAGAAGUAAGGAUAGCUGGCAGAUGAUAGGUUCAUAAUAUACUAUAUAGAGAGUUUAUUGCCAAACCAUGAUAACAAGAGCACACAACAACUAGGCAGAUCAUAGUGUACAUAACAGGGGUACACCAUAACCACGAUAUAUAAAUCAGGAAAGUGGAACUGGCUUGAAAAUACGGUGUUGUAUUGCCGCUAGUAAUUGAAAGCCUAUCGAUCACGUACAGGCCAGGUCUAUCAGCUGUUGACUGCAGAUGUCCCUGCGCCCCUUCCUGACAAGGAACAUACUGUACGUGCUAAAUACAGAAUAAACAAAGAGGAACAUGUUAAAGAACAGAAGAGGAAGCAUAUUCUUGAGGUUCCGCUUCAUUGCAUACAAUGUUGGUUGCCCACUCAUGAUGAAUCACAGCGCCCAAAGAAAUGCAAUUCCAUGCUGUCUCUCUAUAUGUGGCAAUUUUGAACAAGAGUCAUUAGGAUCAUAUUCUGAACAAGAAUCAACAGGUGGGGAGCGUAUGGGUUUCCUUGCAUCUAGAAUGGCACCCAAUGCCUUGGUGCCAAUUUUGUAAGUCAUUGCAGUGUUUAGCUUCAAGAGUGGACUGCUGCUAGUGCGACACAAAGCAGCUACACAGAUCAUAGUGUAGAUAUAACGGGGAAAACCGUAAGCAUCAGAGUAAAAUCAGCAAAGUGGAACUUGCUGGAAUAUAUGUGCUAGUAUUGCCGGUACGGCUAGAAAGGCUUCGGAUACCAGCUCUCUUCAAGUGAAGGUGCGGUACUGUUAAUAUCAGUGUUACUCUCAAAGGCGACACAUCUCCCCACAUUUCCUUGCUAUUCUUAUAGGAUUCAAGUGGGCACGUGACUACAAAUCCUAUUCCUAUGUUUACAAGAUCCUACGAAUCAAAGAGGCUCAAAGUGUCCAUCACAACCGACCGUAUAGACCUCUACACUGCAAAAGUCCCUGCUCAUCUUCAAUACAAGGAACAUACUGUACCACUAUCAUACUCCCUCUGUUCCAAAAUAUAAGUCUUGGUAGAGAUUUCCACUAUGGAUCACAUACAGAUGUAUCCAGAUACAUUAGAGUGUAGAUUCACUCAUUUUGCUCCAUAUGUAGUCCAUGGUGGAAUCUAUACAAAGACUUGUAUUUAGGAACGGAGAGAGUACAUAUUAAAGAAGAACGGAAGAGGAACAUGGUAAAGAAGAGCAAGCAGAUUUUGGAUAAUAAAAUGUUGGUUGUGUAGUGCCCACACAUGAUGAACCAGAGCGCAUUAAGAAUGCAACUCCCAGCUGUCUCUCGACCAUUUCAGGCGCUUGGAUGAAGAUCCUACGUCUCCUAACCCAUCUUCUUCCUCGUCUCUGAUUCUUCCCAUACAGAACACCGCACGGGCUGCCGGCCGGACCACCGGCCCCCGCCGCCUGUGUUCCUCCGCCACCCCCACCCCCCACCCCCGCCCCAACCCCCACCCGCGUCGAGUUUUCUUCGUUCGGUGAGGCCCCACAACCACCCGAGCCCCUUCGUUCGCACCGGCGAACUCCGGCGAGCUCUGAAAAAUCGACUGACCCAAUUUUGAAAUUUAGUCUACUGUGAUUUAACUAGUGUGGAAUAUAAAAGGGGAAAACCAUAAGCAUUGGGAGUAUAGUGUUGACCGUGCCAUGGCGGAUCUGAAGGUGCAAACCGGACAAAGGCAACUUCGCAACCAAGACAAGAAAUGAGAGUAAAGCAGUGGCGAUCUAUUUUCUUGCUGCGAUAAAUAAGUUGAGCAGAUACGAAAGAGUACCGCCUCUGGUGCGGCGCCGUGUACGCAUCUGCUGAGAAUUUGACGGUGCUGCGGUAGCGAUGGCUGUCGGCGGUGUGGAAGCAGAUCUAGGAGGGUAGACGGUGGCGGCAGGGCGCGGUGGACGAGACGAUCGUAGGAGCGGUGCCGGCAAGGUGGACGACGGCGGGGAUGAAGCGAGAGGACGGGAUGCAAGGAUCCCGGUCUGAAGCCGUGGAUGAGAGAGGUCGGUCUCUUGUAAUGGAUGGCGGCGUUGGGGUAUCAGCUCCGGCAUGGUGGAGGAGGAUGGCGGUGGAUGGGGUGGCGGACGGCGGCGGACGGAGGAGGGUGGGGUGGACAGGGUGUUUUGGCGCCCACGGAGUACGAAUGGGGAAAAGGGAGGUAGAGAGGAAGGGGGAACCAUGUAUUCAAGGCGCACUUGUCUCAAAUGUGAGGAAAUUUACAAACUUAGCCCCCGUUUCAAAUUUCUACUACAUCACAGCAACAUUAGUCGGUUGGGGAUAGGACGGUAAUCUCGCAUACACCGAAUAUUUGCCGAUGAGAGUUUGUUUUUGGCGCCCACCGUGUAUGAAUAUGAAUCGGGGAGGGAGUCGAUUUCGGCCGAGGACACACUGUGUUUUGGUGCCCACCGUGUAUGAAUCCGGGUGAGAGGCGGUUACGUCACGUUUGGGUAAAAUUACAAACCUACCCCUAUCGAAACCUAUAGAAAUCCAGCAGAUAGGCUUUGCGUGGCAGGGAUAGGCAGUAGUGAUUUCCAUCUCGCAGAUUUUGGUUUCGGGCGGUUACUGCGACUUUCCCUGCUUCGUUCAAAUUUUGCAGAGUGCACGUUUACCGUGCCAACUCAAUUCGAAUCCCGUUUGUAUUCUAAUUUUUUUCAGGCGGGAUCCAUUUUCAAUUGGAAUUACAUUCUAUAUACAUCAUUUUUUAUAUAUACUUUCAAAAGCACGACACCAUUUAUACAUAAAUAUGGUUUACAAAUGGCAUGAUCUCAGAUUCAUAAGGUUGUAUCCAUCAAUUUGGAUUUUCAAAUAUUUGAAACCACCUUAUGUUGAAAUCCAAUGUAUGCAUUCCUCGCUAACUGUCUCCAAUUAAUGUGUGUUUCAUGCGGGUUAUUUUUUUACUUCUCAAACAUGUAUAAUGUGUUUCACACACGCAACAUAUAGUGUAAUCCCGUUUAGACAUUAAUUGCAUAUAAACCAUGCAUUGUUUGUAAUUGAAGAAUCUAUGGAUCACCAAUAUUGAUAAACUAUAUAACAUUACACGUGUGCCCAAAUUCAAAUGAAUAUGCAUGUUUGAUACACCAAUUUGCGUUAUGAUAUUAUCGAUGUCGUGAUCUCCAGUUUAAAUAUUUGAAUCCCCUUUAAUCCAGAUAUUCGUCUCAUAUAGCUAUCACUCAUGCUUAUAUAGGACUAUCUCUCUGGACCUAUACGCGUUCAUCGUCUCUCAGGUAUCUCUCGUGCUACCUGUAUGUCGACAAUGAUCUUUUAUCUUCGUAACACACUGACGGUACUCUCACCCUCGACCUUCAUCACUCUAUCUCUCUCUAAGUAUAUCUCGCUCCCUGCUAUGUGUCUCUAACUAUGAUUCUCCAUGUGGAAUCUCUUUCUCUCACACAAAGACAAAACUUUGUCUCCCUGGGUCUCAUUUCUCUCUACUAUUCCCAUGUGUGCCACUCGCACACCCCUCAUACAGAGAUGUCUUUCGCUCCUUAGAUAUGAGAACCUACGACUCUUCCUCUUCAAUGUCUCUUUCUCACACACAAACACAAACUCUGUCUCACAGGGUCUCAUAUUUCUCCAUUGUUCUCUUGUAUGUCGCUCACACACACCCUCUCUCCCUAGAGAUAUCUUGCGUUCCCUCGUAUGUCUCUCUAGCUAUCACUCUUGUUGUGAAAUAUCUUUCACUCUCGCAGACACAAAACUCCGUCUCUCUGGAUCUCAUUUCUCUCUGAUAUCUGUUUGUAUGUGACUCACAUGCACCCUCUCUCUAUCUCUCUCACACCCACACACAUAACCCAACCUUCUGAUCCACUCGACUCCUAUCUCUAACGCACACUAGCUAGCAUCUUUAUCUUUCUAUUUAUCUGUUUCUCCAUCAACCUUCUUUCUCGCCCUCACUCUUGAUUCCUAUCACGCACACUACAUAUGUUUCUCUCUACAUGCAGUCAAGUGCCCUCUCACACACAUAUAUAACUUCACCCUUUGAACCACCCGACGGUCAUCUCCAACACCCAAACUAGCGGAUGUCCCUCUAGCUAGCAUCUCCAUCUAUGUAUCUAUCUGUAGUUUCUCCGUCAACAUUUCUUUCUCGCACGGAGUCUUGCUUCCUAUCGCCCACACUAUAUAUGUCUCUCCAUACAUAUGCAUUUAUAUGUUGGUCUCUUUUGCACAAUCGUUGCGCCUCACUCCCUCUGCUCGCCAUAGAUGCAUGCUCCAGCCCACGCCACUAUCUCUUAAAGACAAAAACACAUGCUCAAUUGUCGGGCCUUCUUCCCUGCAUUCUCACAUGCAUGCAUAUUGUCAUACCGAUCCGUCUCUCCCAUGUCGUUGAUCUUAUGACUUAUGUCUUCUUUCUUUUAUCUCGAUCAUGCGCGCGCGCACACACACACACACAUCCCACGUAUACAUGUAUACCUCUCACACAUGCACGUUCAAGGUCUCUAUGUCUCCAUACGUAGUUAAUUACCCUCAAUCCUAACGCCACAUCAAAUCGUUCUCCUCUUUUGUGCACAUAACUUCCACCUGGAUGGGUAAAACACACACUCACACUUAACAAUCUCCUUCUAGCUACCCCCCCCCCCCGCCUCUCACUCUUCCCCUAUAUCCCCGAAACCAAUAAGACCAUCCCUUUGUUUAAUUCCCGCCUACAUGCACCAUCGAUAUAUAGCAGUCUUCCUCGGUGUCUCUCGAACAAACACGCUCUCUCGAUGUCGACUCCUCUCACGCGCACACACCUUCUCUUCCCUCUCUACGGGCAUUUUCUCUCUCGCACCCCAUCGUUGGUGGCCUCUGCCAUANNNNNNNNNNNNNNNNNNNNNNNNNNNNNNNNNNNNNNNNNNNNNNNNNNNNNNNNNNNNNNNNNNNNNNNNNNNNNNNNNNNNNNNNNNNNNNNNNNNNNNNNNNNNNNNNNNNNNNNNNNNNNNNNNNNNNNNNNNNNNNNNNNNNNNNNNNNNNNNNNNNNNNNNNNNNNNNNNNNNNNNNNNNNNNNNNNNNNNNNNNNNNNNNNNNNNNNNNNNNNNNNNNNNNNNNNNNNNNNNNNNNNNNNNNNNNNNNNNNNNNNNNNNNNNNNNNNNNNNNNNNNNNNNNNNNNNNNNNNNNNNNNNNNNNNNNNNNNNNNNNNNNNNNNNNNNNNNNNNNNNNNNNNNNNNNNNACACACUAAGACUCCAUCUCUCUCUCUCUCACACACACACACACAAACUAAGACUCCAUCUCUCUCUCCUCUCUCUCUCACACACACACACACACCCCACACACACACUAAGACUCCAUCUCACACACACAUGCUCUAGGCGGAGCAUUUGUUCCUACCACCCUUCAUCCAAUCUUACCCGUAUGAUAAACAAUCACCUUUAUUUACUUGCAUAACAUGGACAAAUUCCACUUUACUUUAGUAGUCAGCAAACUUAUCAUCUGUACCCUUAUAAAAAACGAGUUGGCGGUGAUGGUGUGCCUGCCAUCUUGUAAUACAGACCAUAUUAUCUAUAUCUGAGGAUAGAAAGCAAACUAUGAUAAUUUUACAAAAUAUACCCGUACCUCUCUCCACAUCAUUAUCUCCCGCAACCUCAUUGCUUAGCAAUUAAAAAAGGAAUAAGUCUCUGGAACAACCUAGCAUGCAUGGUGGCCGCUGCCGCCUGCCGGCGCCGUCCAUCCCCAUGCCUCCGCCCAUUCCGACCACCAGUCACCACCACGCUCCACUCCUCCUCGCCUUAUCUCUCAUCUUUCAUUUUUUUAUGACAUUCUCGAGAUACCAGUUUUCCGAUAAAAUUCUCGAGAUAUCAUUAGUUUUUACACAUGGGAUUACUCCUGCAUGGGUCAAUCACAACAGGUGUUCUGUAAAAAAAGGCAUAUUGAUGUUCCGUGCAAUGCACGAGAAUCUUGCUUGUAAUUAUAUAACGCAAAUCACGAGCAGGAAGUGACAUUUUUUUGACACAACCACGUUAACAUGGCCACGUAAAUCACUAGCUAAAGUAAAUACCAUUAUACUUAUGUCCCGAUGCAAAAGGUUGAGUACAUGUUCGAAGAGUAGAGUCGCACACACGCACUCUGUCUCUCAGAAUCUCUCUCACACACACCAGUUACGUGACACCCACUUAAGCAGACAUGUUACAAUUUGUGCACCCGCGGGUACACGUGAUGCUGCGCAUUUAUUUAAGCCGGAAGGCGAACCCAAACAGUAGCUGCAUUCAUUCCCCUCCCGCCGCCUCUUCUCUGGUCGCCGUCGCCUGGUAGCCAUGGGCCGGCCGAAGGUAACAACAUACGCCAUACUCCCGCCGGAGCGGCGCUUUAAUAUGGAAAUUUUAGUCGUCAUGCAUGCAUCUUUUUGUGCUGGCACUCCUAUAUAAGGGUUGACCGAUCGCUUCCCGCGGACGUGCGCGGGCGGUGGAAGAGGAAGGAGAAGGGAAGUGGGCUGUGGAGUAACGUUUUUUACCACAAUUUCUUAGGAAACUGAGUGCAAUAAUUGAGUAAUUUUGCAAACUACCAUUACUACACCUGAAACGGUUCAAAACCUAUACUCCCUUGCCAGCGCGCGCUUCCCGUGUGAAACGGUCAGCGUCGCCCUGGAGCGUUAGUGCCGCAUUAAUGCCCGGCCAGAGCGGAGGCGACCUCUCACUGGCGCCGGCUUUGAAGUGGCGUGACGGCCGAGAGAGCGCCGCUUCCCGGUGCACGCGACUGCUCCGCGUCGAGACUGGCCAUAGGCCCUGUUUGGAUCCAUGGGUUAGAGUUAGUUUGAGCUAGUUGGGCUCAAAUAGCCCUAAAGUAUCCAAGCAUGAGGGUUUAAAUUGGAGCAAGUUGCACCGAACCCACCAAAAAAAACUAUCCCACCCAAGAGCUGCUAACUGGAGAUAGUUCUCAUUGGGACCACUGAAAAAUCACUUUUCUCUCUCCAUGAAGUGCAUUUAUUGUCAAUCUAACCCUGUCACCCAAACACCUCUUUGGCUACAGUUAGUUCAGGGUUAGUCAUGAGUUAGUCUAACCUCUAGCUAAGUUAGAGUAUCAAACAGGAGCAGUAUAGGACAUGAAAGUUGCUCAAAGCAUACAGGCAAAUUCAUACGUGAAAGGAUUUUUUUCUUUUUGAAAACGGAACGUGAAAGGAAUUUUUUUGGAAUGCUCUUGGCAUGUCGCUAACAUGUGAUAGUUAACCGACCUCAAUAGAUGGCAGAAACGCCAGCCCGCCGCACUUUGAUAGAGACGAGGAGGGAGAAGCGAUACAGGCUGCUGGAUUACUAGAGAUAGGUGUCGCACGGAAGCCAGGAAAUAUGGUGAUAGCGUGGGUUAGCCAUGUACUAGUAUGACGUAACUACACUGGGCUGCCAUGUUUCGUACUCUUCCAGUCCACUGUGGAGAUGAUUGGUUAAUUUUAUAUCGCUGAAUAAUAUUAAAUAUUAUGAGUGCAGACGCUCCACCACGAGGUUCCUUGCUCCUUCUCGGUCGUCCGGAAUCUAUGUUCUUCCACUCUAUUUUUUACGUGAGCUUUGUUCAUCCUUUUGCCAACACGCGAGACAUCUAGCAUCAAGGUGCACGUGUUAUGCAAGGAUCGUUCCAUCUAUAUGAAGAACACGUGGGACUGGAACUACGAGACGGACAUGUACCCAGGAGUGGACAUACGAACUUGAGUAAUGCAGCGCAGUAAGUGAAGUAGAAAGGCACAAAUGGUAUGAACAUGCGUGGCAUAUAGGGUGUGUUUGGUUGUGUUCUCGUCUCAGCAUAGUUGUUCCCUCUUCAUGCAUGCUCAACUCAACACCCCUCUUCAUGCAUGCUCUCUUCAUGCAUGCUUCUAGUGUAUUUGUGCUAAACUAGUGUGGACUCAUGCACCCUCCAUACACUCUACCAAACACCCAAAAGUAGGUCGAGAAGGGAACUCUUGGGCGGCAUUUGUCUCUUACUACGUACUACCACUAAAUGUUGUACGUGCAAUGCACGGUGAUGUUAUGGAGUACGUGCCUAAGUACUCUACGACUACUAUAUUAGUUGGAGGCACAUAUUAACUUUUAUAUUUGUUUACGUGUAUGCCCCGAGACCUUCCAACUAGACGUGUCUUUCUCUCUAGGUCGCACUUUGUAUCGUUCAUACCACUAAGUACUACUGCAUGUGGUCUCCGACCCAGAAGUGGAAGAAGUGGAGACGCUCUACCACACUUUUUUUACGCUGGGCUCUACCACGCUGUUCAUGUCCCACUCCUUUCGCUGACGUGUGGGACAUCCAGCACGUGCCGUGUUUGGCACCCUUCAUCAUAAGAGUUGAAACGCUAGCAUUCAUCAGAAAUAAAAAAUAAUUAUAAAUCGGCAGUGAUACUAUUUUUUUGCGAACCAAUCAGCAGUGAUACUAUACCACGCGGUUUCCUUGCUCCUCAAUAUCGGAAAGAAUACUUCUGUUCGCCAACAUGUGGGACGUCGACCAUCCUGGUCCACUUGCCAUGCACGCAGAACUCCAAGGGAGAGUCACCCAGGUCAUCGCGCCGCAGUAACAAUGACUAAUGAGCCGUCAAAUCAUAGGCCCACUUCCCACUUUGAAGUUGCUCGGACGAAGGAACCAUCAUGACUUCGUUGAAUUCCGCUUCUUGAAGAAAACUACUGUACCAGCAGUACUGCUAGCUACAGUAGUUACUCCAACAGAGGCCUCCUUUCAUUCAUAGGAUAGGAAUAUGAAAAUCAUAGGAAGUGAGAUGACAUGCAUCUCAAUUCCUAUAGAGAAAGAGAUGCCAUUUGAUGCUUAGGAUAGGAAUUUUCCAUUUAGUCUAGGCUAAUGUACUGGUAAUUUGCUCUAAAAACUACAGUAGUAACUAGUAGUAUUGGUACAUGCUCGUACUCAGACACAGACACACACACUGACUACUAGUACUACUACUUCUCACAUGCUGGCCAGACGCCGUCGUUCUCCUUCCCGGCUUUGUCGGCGACACCCCACCGUGCUUGGAUUUCCGCUGACCUCUCCGCAGCAGCGCGUGCGUCCUUUUCUUUCUUGCGACGGUGGGCCUCUCUUUUCUUGAGUGCUUUCUGACUUUUCCGCUCCCUCUAUGCGGCUUUGGCCGCCUCUUGCUCUACCGCCCAUUCGGCCUUGGCAUCUUCAAAUUCCUCCCACGUAGUUGUGAGGUCGCGAGCAGCGAUGAACUCGGCACGGCGGGAUGCCAUCGCUUCCCUACCAUUUUGUGUGCGGUCGUGGGCGGCGAGGAACUCGGCGUGGCGGGAUGCCAUCGCUGCCUUACCAGUUAGUGUGCGGCGCGGUGGCAUGAACGACGCUUGGUGAGAGCUCUGGGGUGGAGUGGCCGGACAACCGUAUAGUGCAUUGGUUUGUCAAGAGCUCAAGGACAGAAGACGAAGCAAAUUUGGAUUCCCCUUCAAUCCUGGUCAUUUAUUACCGACUAAAAUGCAUUGGCGGUCAUCGAACUUGUCUUGAUAGCUCACUGGCUCAGCGUAUAGCUCCGUAUUUGUCUGGUUGACCAGUCAAACAGUCCGCAUGCGCCUCAUCAGCUCGUGUUCUUUAUCUAUCUACGCGGGCCUACCUAUCAAUGGAGAAAGAAAUACUGUAAAAACCAAAAUUAUGCGUAUGUGGGGAAUCAAACCACGGACUCAUCGCUGCAACGCACCCUCGUCAGCCAAAUGAAAAUGAAAUACUUUGCGCCAGACACUCACGCUCACGCUGUCAAAGCAUGCUAAUGCAUGCAUGUCGCCCUCUAAAUCAAAGUCCUGCUCAUGGCGCAACGCAAACGGCGAGCCCAUCACCUGCGCGCCCCGGCGGUGCCUGACAUUACUGUUUAGACGUUUGAUGGAGGCCUAUGCGAACGCCGAGCAUGUAUUCACCUGGCUCAAUACCAACGGUCAUACUCGGACCGCCUUGCUCAUGUAUAUCGUCCAUCACAACGACAAUCCAUAAAACAGCCUAAGCUAGAGAGGGUACUAUGGUAGUAUGGUACGGAGUAUGUACUAUUGUGAGCGACCGAUCUUAGUGCCACUGCACACCGAAACCCCUUCCAUCGCUAGCGCGCGCUUCCUACCUGAAACGGUCACCGUCUCUCCAGAAUGUCAAUGCCGCAUUCACCAGACUUAACUGCAGGUGCAAUUGGUGUGUCACUGACAUGCAGGCCAGAUGCCCGUUGGGCCCACAUGUCAGUAACCCAAACGCAUCUGCACUUAAGUCACUGAGGCAGCGUCCGCAUUCACGCCCGACGAACCUACUCCGGUGCCAGUUGUCCAUCUGUCUGCCGCGGCUCAUUGCCAUUCGCCCGCUAUAUUAACUUCAGCCCCAGCUCCCAGCCAUAGCCAAAGACCCACACUUAUUCUCCUCCGGUCCCUUCCUUCUGUCGGCACCAUUUCAACCAUGGCCUCCUGGCGCUCCGAAGCUCUCUUGGACGUACUGUCGCAGGAGCAGACGAGGGACAUCGGCGGCUCCGCUCCGGGCGCGCUCCAAAGCUCUCUUCGACGUACUGUCGCAGGAGCAAACGAAGGAGAUCGCCGGCACCCCCCGGCCGCCCUCCGCCGCCACGACCAUGAAGCUGGCGUGCGUGCGCGGGCGCAGCCGGCAGCGAGGAAGAGUAGUACACGGUAGGUCGCCGCCGCUCUGGAGGAGGAGGUUAUCGAGGCGGAUGAGGAGGAGGCAAAGGCAAUGGUCGGCUUUCUCGGGUUCAUGGCUGGACAUGGUGGUCGCGCGCCGGCGAUCGUUUAGAUUAGGUUUACAGUAGGUUUUAGUACGGUUUGUGCGAAAUAUGUAAUGAAUUUCGUCCAGUUUGUAGGAAAAGUUUUCGAAAUGUAAUGAAUUUCAUCCGGUUAAUUUGAAAUUUGCUUUGUUUGCACGAAUUUCGUCCGGUUAGUUCAUAUAGUUUUCGAAAGGUAUGCGGGCAGCAUCGGAUGGCAUCCAUCAGUGUCCUCGGACAUAUGCUGGUGUAAAUUUGUGGACCACCUCUAGAGAUGCCCUAACUAUCAUGCUAUAUUCGCUAACAAUCCUCCAUUAUUUGGCAGGGAACAGUUAUCCCUCGAUCAAAAUCAGAUCCGCGGUGUUUCGCACUCCUCCCGCGUAAGAGUGUAAACUGUUGCUUACAUAAAAAUGGAGCAAGUGGACGGCACUGUAGCACGUCAUAUCACUCGAACUAGCCCGCCUAACGAGCGGGAAAGCACCGCCCUCGUCAUUUUGUUCUGGAUUUCUAUCGAUCGAUCGCGCGAAAAUGUUACGCUUCGCAAGUUCUAAAGGAAAAGGCGGCACACUUACGACUCGUACGCGUCGCAACCCCGACAGUCCGGCUCGCACGCCGCUCACCAGAGGGGACACAGGUUGUCUUGCAAUUUCACUGACAUGUGGGACCGUAAUUGAAUAAACCGUCGAUAGCCGAAAUCUAAUCACUUGGCGGGUGUCGGCUGAGAAGAGAGAAACGGGGGAGGGAGAAGAGAUCGCCCGCCCGCCGCGCACGGACUCCAAGAAAUAUAUGGUGAUAAUGUGAGGUGGGCCAUGCUGGAGUCCAGACCGCUUCCGGAGCCCGCUCUCACCGCCCUGGCCCCUCAAGACGCCAGCUGCCCGCCGCAUGCAUGCAUAGCAAGUAGUACUCCUUAUGUGGAGGAGAGAGAGGCAUUGACAAAGUCAAGGAGUGGGCUCUGCAAGAGCCCAUCUCUACACGUGCUCCUAGGUAUUAAAAAAUAAUUCUAAAAAAGGCAUAAAAAACAAUUGUGUCUUAAAAAAAGAAAGGUAAAAAACAUUUGAGAGGAAAUAGAUAGAGAGAAAGUGAGAAAAAGCUGUAACCUGGGCAUUACAUGAGGAAGGAGGGAGUGGUGCACAUGCCAAGUUCACUGGGCUGCCGUGUUUCACACUCCUCCGUCGUAACAGUGGAGACAAUAGCUUUCAUAAAAAAUAAAUAAUGAAUACUCGUUGCUCGUCCUCUAUAUCGAAAAGAAUACUUUCAUUCGCCGACAUGUGGGACGUUGACCAUCCUGGUCCACCUGCCAUGCACAAAAUUAUCCUGGUCUACCCCGGUCGUAUCGCAGGCCCAACCUUUCCCACUGUAAGUUGUUCGGACGAAGGAACCAUCAUGACUUCGUUGAAUUCCGCUUCUUCAAGAAAACUUAUUGUACCCGCAAUACUGCUACCACACGCGAAGACUGGACGGCACUGUACCACGUCAUAUCACUGAAACCCACUAGGCCAAACUAACCCGCCUAGGUCAUCUUGCACGUUCUAUGUACUUUUGCUACGAUUUUCCUACCCUAUGAACCAAAUGAGGCCUGAAUGUAUGUCGACUAUUGUCUGAUCGAUCGCUAAGCCUACAAUUUUAGGAGCUAGGGCUAUUGGUCGAUCGACGAGGGAUAAGUAUAAGCGUACCACGAGCUCAUCAGCCCCAACGUUUCUCUUCGGUGAGUGUUUUGCAAGUACUAUAGCUCGCACAGUAGCUAGCCUACUAACACCAAGAAUCAUCAAACAAGCCAUGCUGAUAUGAUAAACAGUUCAAACUUACAUCUAAGCAUGACAUAUAUUACAUCAAAAGCUGGUGAGGAUACAUCUGUUUCCAUAACUCGGAGAGGGUUCGCAUGAUUCAUCGCAUGAUUCACUAUCAAACAAAAGUAGCAAGAUCCGCCCACACAAGACAGUGCACUAGCCCUAAGAUGGUUUGAUAACACGCAUCGUUCUGGUAAUUAAACACAGGGCAAUGCAAACUACCCUGAAGGAUUAGCGCGACCAACUAUUUCUUGUCAUCGAUCUCUCGAGCAAUGACCACAGCACGGACAGCGGCAUGGGAAUCGAUUUCUGGGGCGAUGUCCACAGGACUGACCGCGACAUCGGAAUAGAUCUCUGGGGCGAUGUCCACAGGAUGGACAGCGGCAUCGGAAUCGAUCUCCGGGGCGAUGCCAACAGGACGGGCCACGACAUCGGAAUCAUCAAGGACGUCCACCAGCACCUGCACAACCCUAACAUAUUAGCAAGCACAUUGCAAAUAAUCAAAAACCACAACUCUGGUAAUAAGCCAUUAUUUUUUACCUUGUGCAGCUCAUCGGGGGAUCUCAUCCCUCCGGGGGCCAUCUCCUCGUCCUCGAUGGGGGCCAUCACCUUGCCAGGGGAAUACCGCUUCUCAAUGGCGACUAUCUACUCAAACUCGGUCUUGAGCCUCACAUAGGUGGCAAUCAGCGUUCCCGGGGUAGGCACGGUGGGGCCCUUGCUGUUCUUCCAACUUUCUUUGAGGAGUUCGUCUGCCAACGUCCUCAACUCUUUGGCCAGUGCUUGUUUCUUGGAGUUCUUCGUCUCCAUGGGUUGGCCCGCCAACAUGGUCAACUCGUUGGUCGGUUCUCGCUUCCUGGAGAUCGCUGUCUCCAGUGGGUUGUCCGCCGGCAACUCUUUGCCUAGUGCUCCAGGAUCCAUCAAUGAACUGACAAACAAAAAGCAAUCGAAAGGAAACCACAAUCGCAAUGAAAACGGGAAAAGAAUAGGAUGUGAGAAUCGGUCGGUGCUUCGCAAAAAGAAGAUUCUUGGAAUGAAAAUAUAGCAGCAUAACUGAUUCGCCCACCUUUCCUUCAUCGGUACAGAAGAAAAAUGGCAGAAGUGAGUAGCUUGGAGUGAGGUUUCCUUCAAGAAAGGGAAGAAAGGGCUUGAACGAGCGUUCCAGUGAAAUGAUGGUUGCUUCGUCCAGUCCAACUUGGAGGCCACCUUACCACUGCUGGUAAAGGUGUGGGUUUUGUGAUAUGACGGGUCAUGACGGCCACACCGGGGUGACAGGUGAGUCUCGACUGUACCACCUCGCUGUGAUUUGGUGGAUGGCACGCGGGCCUGGAUGCUUUGAAAUGUCCCGCAUGUAGAUAGAGCGGCUAGUCAUAUAGGAGUGCUCAAUAUUGUGCACCGCGACCAAGGCGGAGAGGAAAACGAGAGAACUACGUAAUUAAUGCAUGAGUUUAAUUAGGGUAGUUUUGUAAAGUACGAGAUACAUUCCUCCAAUCGCAAAAUGCCUUGGUUCAUGAGAUUUGAGAUUUGAGCUCUAUAAACCGGAAGGGAGGGAGUACUGCACAUGGUGUAGUCUAGUCACUUGUUGAAAUCUCUAGAAAGGCAAAUACUCCUUUCCGGUUUACAGGGCUAUACUACUCCCUCCGUCUAGGUGUGUAAGUCAUCUUACGAAAACCAAAUAGUCCCAAAACACUUAGGCGCGGUGCAUUAACUUCUACCUUGUUUCUUGUUUCUUGACAUAUCAACCAAUAAGAGAUGAGAGGUGUGCAUGCUUUUAAUGACUUGCAAUGGCUAGUUCAUUGCAUGCAAUGCUACUAAUUAGCAAAUAAACAUUGGUGACCCCAGGAGGAAACGGUGCUAAGCGCGUGGACCUAUGCAGAAUGAGUAUCAACCAAUGGAUAAUGGAGUUUAAUUAUUAAACAAUAGCAAUUUUGUCUCAUGCAAGAGCCUGGCUAGUACUCCAAGGAACCGCACCACGCGAGCGUUCGCAACUUCCACGUUCGGGUUGCGCUUGGCUCUUCGCCUCUUCGAGAAGACGAACAAUGAUGUUACUCCUACUUCUACAGUAUCGAAUCCACUACUGCAUGUCCGUCCACCUCAUGCGGGAGGGAUAGCGUGUAGCGAAAGCUUCUACUUACUGCUCCUGCCUUUGCGUCUAUGACAGGUGGGCCCAACAGGUGGUUGGCCCUCCUGUCAUGCAGCCAAAGGCAGGUGCAGUUAAGGCACCGGAGCUCAGUCCGCGAGGGAGAGGGCGUUGUAGUAAUCAAAUUUCUCGGUCUUGUACGAGUUUACGCGACACAUCAAAGCACUACACUCGAUAUAAGUCUUUUUACACAUUUAAAAUGGGCUACUUCGUAUGUAGGAGUAGUCAUAUUCUGCUUCGUAUGUAGUCACUUGUUGCAAUCUCUAAAAAGACUUAUAUUUGGAAACGGAGGGAGUACAACGCAUGCAUGGAUGCCGUGACUUUCCUUUUGAUACUUGCAUGUGUUGAUUUGAUGCACCUUGCCAAAUUUUGACUAUAAAUUUAACUAACCAAAUUUCCAUGCAUGUCACAAAAAAUUACGUGGCUGUUUGGAUUGUGACUAUGUUUGUCUUAUGUUGACACAUUAUUUUUCCCACACUUGUCACACUUGCCUAACCUGAGUUGCUCAAAUUGUUAGACACACUUUGGCUUGCCUAAGGGAAUCUUGCCACAAUUUUUGUGUCUAUGACAUGUGGGGUUCACUGCUAAUAAAAAAAUUCUUGUCUUAGGUGUGGCUUAUAAAAAAGACUUAUAUUUAGGAACGGAGGGAGUAGAAAAUAUAAAUAAUAAUGCAUGUUGGGGCAACCCACGUUUCCGCUAAUUUUAGCCGUGGGCUUGUUCACAAUUUUUAUGAGGGGUUGGUUGUUCAUUUAAUGGAGGGACUUGUAGUACCAUACUUGAACGAUACAAAGUGCGACCUGGCACACCGUAACACCACUUGGAACAAGCGGGUAGCUAUCUCAAAAAACAAUCAACAACUAAAAAAACCGCGACCUGGCAUGUAGUAGUACACAAUUUUAAACGAUUGUUUUGAUGGAGUGAAAAAGGAAAACUACCCCACUACGUAUAUAUAGGCCGGAGCCUCCGCGCUUGCUUGCUAGGGUUGCUCUGUUCACACACUCUCAUCCUCUCCAGAUCUAAACAAGAUAGGGGUAGUAACACUGUCUUUCUCCCUUCAAAAAACACUGGCUUUCUAUCCUCACCGCUGGUUAUAGAUCCGGACGUAUCCCCCUCCACUGGUGAAGGGGAGGAGGGGCAGCGUUUAGGCCGUCGUCGACAGCGAGGGAGGAGACCCACUGCCGGCCGCACCGUUAUCUCUGGCCGAGCGCCGGCGCAGGAGGUCCUCCGAUCCCUUCGUCGUUGCCUGUGGGCGGAUCUGGCCUCCCGCCGCCCACCUAUCCACAUCCUGACGACCUUCAGGUAUAUCUUCGUUCGAAACCGCCUUAGCUCUACUUCCCCAGCUCACUACGUCGCUGCAUGUGCAUCAUUUUCUACCUCUCAACCCCUCUCGAUCGGAUGGUCCAACGUCACAUAUUUUUUUCUUCUAUUGUUAGAGGUAAAGCUACUUCAUGGAGUCGAAUCUUGUACUCCCUCCAUCCGAAAAUACUUGUCAUUGAAAUGGAUGUAUCUAGAUGUAUUUUAGUUCUAGACACAUCCAUUUUGAUGACAAGUAAUUCCGGACGAAGGGAGUACUUGGUUCAAACAAGAAAUAAAGUGGGGGUGGGGGAAUUUAGUAUGUACUCCCUCCGUUCAGAAUUACUUGUCUCGGAAAUGGAUGUAUCUAGAACUAAAAUACAUCUAGAUACAUCCAUUUCUGCGACAAGUAAUUCCGAACGGAGGGAGUACAUCGGACUUGGUACAAAUAGGAAGGAAAGGGAGUGAAAGUAGUACAGACUGGUCAUCCAACCGGCCUCUUGGUCGAAAAGGGAAAUAUAGGGGUAACGCUGUACACAGUGGUAUGACCAGGACUAGAUUUGCUAUCCACACAUAGGAGUAGGUGGCUAGAGUGAACAAAAAUGGGACCAACCCAGAUAUGUUUCUUGGAUUUUUGUUUCUCGGGGCAACAAACUAUGAAUCACCACUUUAUGCCCCUGUUUACGUACAUGGUGCUGGACUGCUGGUGCACCCACUGUCCCAUGCCCUUAUACCAAAUAUUUAGGCUCCGUUCGGAAUAAAGGGGCAGAAAACAUAGGUCUUGAUGAAAAUAGAGGAAUAGGAAAGGAAUGUAGGUAUAAAACUAUGGAACAGCGAACCGGAGGAAACUCUCAAGAGAAUGUGUUCGGAUGGACUACGAAAUGUACAGAUUUGUUUUUUUAGAGUAGCAUGCUUGGCAGUAUGAGAUGCUACUUGUUUAUUCAGCUGCACAGUGACUACUCUUGUCCUCACCUCACGUACCACACAUAGGUUGAUUUUUUAUUCUGGCAACACAGCACAGCAACCUGUCUAACGCAUGGCAGCGAGCGCCUGCCUCGGGCUUCCGCCCAAAAAAUGAGCAGCGCGUGGAUGUUUCUAAUCCUAUGGAAUCAGUACUACCAGACCAGCUUUCCUAUGAAACACUAUUCACCUUUCCCGUGUUCCGAAUGGUUGGGAGGGAAAGAAUACUGUAGGAAUUGUGUUCCUACGAAAAUCCUGCACCAAACCUGUGAACCGAACGUAGCCUUAGCUGUUCUUAAUCUAAUGUCCCUGGUAAAAAUGAAGCCACAUGCCACUUUUAUAAGCCAUGACAAGUUUAGCCAAAUGUUUUUGCCUGUAAUUGUUUGAGACUCUGACUGUUUUCUCUAUGCCUUUUUGUGCAAAUAGGGAUAUCCAAUUCACCUGGUUGCUGUUGUGACCUUUUGGUGCACUGCACAAAACUCUUCUUAAAAGAAGUGACUUUUGUGCUGUUUAACUGGAAUGUCAGAAUGGAACAGUUGGUUCAUUUUGGUGGAACUGCACAAAGGGAGAUUUGUGUUCCAAUCCUCAUCAUCCAUAUUGGCGCCAUAACCUUCCAUUAGGUAAGAAUGAUAUUUAAUGCAUGUGUUCAUCUCUAUUUUUCCGACUGCCAUGAGAAAAUAAUGUUGUUUUUUACUAGUACACUUGUACUCCCUCACUGGCAAAACCAAUUCUGAAUUAGAAGGCCAAUCAUGUACUUGGUUUCACCAACUGGUGAGGAGAAAGAGAAACAGAGCAUGAAGAGGAAGAAGAAGAAGAAUAAACAGUGCCAAGGCGAUCUUGCUGAAGCCAGAGGCCUCAGUCGAGGCCAUUCAAGGGCUCCGGCAACGACUACCUUACAUGUGAGACGAACCUCCAGGGAGCCCUUCCACUUCUGCUGUCUCACUUAAUUAAUUAGGAGUACUUAAGUACCACUAAUUUAUUACUGCCUAAUUUUCCUGUUGGAGUUAAACAAAUCUUUAGUAGGACCCUAUGCUGAAUCAUGUACGUGUGUAUGUUUUUCUAUGGAGGUGAAUCAUGUGGUGGAGCAGGGAGGGAAUAUUAUUAGUGUCAUGACAUAAUAGUGCUAUUGUUUUGCAUGUCAAUUUAUUGCCAUUGGUUCAAUGAGGCAAUGUUUUGCGUUUUGUCCAUCAUGAAUUUGAUGCUACUGUUUGAGUAAUAUGCUAAUGUCUUCCUAUCCUUUCUCACUAAGCUAAUGAAGGUUUCACCUUGUUCCUACUUGUGCAAACAGGGAUCAUGUUGUGCCAAUCAUACAUUUUAGUGGAACUACACAAGACAAUACAAUGAACUGUAUCCCAGCCAGUGCUUUAACUCUGCUGGAAGUUCUUGAUAAUCUUUCGAUAUAAUCCCAGCACUGGUAAACAAGAGCGAUUUCAACCAUACAUUUGAAGUGCACAAAAAUAUAUACUAUUGUGUGAUUCCAGUGAGUGCUUUAUCAUCUCUUAUGGGACUACAUGAAUAAGCUUUUUUUCUUAGGUUGGUAGGGGCCUAAGGCCUUCAUCCAUAUUAGUUUGCUGUCAUCUCUAUUUGUAUCGUGCUACUGUCAUGAGAAACUCCUUUAUCUUUGCACGUUAAAGUUUUGCAACCUAUGAUAAAUGGCAAUGCUUUGAGUGUUGAGUUGAGCUAAUUGGCACUGAUUAAAUAAACUAAUGCCUCUCUUUAAGCAAGAAUACUAUGUUGCUAACUUUACCCAUUAAGAUAAUGAGGGUGCUUCUAUUUGUUAGUGUAUGUUUCAUCAACUAGUCCCACUAUUACAGUAAUCUCACUCUCUCAAUAUAUGUGCCAACAGGGAUGCUCGAUUUUGGUGGAACUGCACAAAAACUUUGGGUGCUUCAUUGCCUCGACAGCUUCCGUCCGUUCCUGUCAGUCGCUAAUCUCCGCUUGCUUUCCUCAUUUGUUGUGAGUCGCUUGGCUUCUCGGCUUCCAGUCAAAGGAAAUAGUAAUUGAUAUGCUACCUCACACAGGUUGGUACUGGUCUUUAUCCUGAUUAUUGUGCCUGUCAUAUGUAUUGGUAAUUUGGUAUUGUGCUACUGUUUGUCGAUUUCAUAAAGGAGUAAUUUGGAGCCUGAACUCGCAGGCAAAUCAUUACAUCGGGUGAUUUCAGUAGAACUGCACAAAAUGAUCAGAUGGACAGGAACUUAUGCUGCUGCUAUGUACUCCAAAGUUCACUUAGACAAGCAUCGAUGUUGACAAGAAGUGCCUAUAUUCAUUCGAGUAUUAACCGGCGUCAACCAAUUGUCAAACUCCAAGUAUUAGGAGAGUGAACGCCAAAAAUAUUGCUUGGUGCAUAGCCCAGAAAAACGCAGUCCAGUCUUUGGUCCCAACUUGUGCCUUUUGGUUAUCGGCACAUAUGGUAGCAAACUAUAUGGCAUGGAGUCUAAAGAUUCCAGACAAGUUGGUUGACGCAUAUAUUCAUCUGGCACUUAAUCAGUCUUCACGCCAAGGAUGCUCCAUUUCAGUUGAACUGCACAAAAAAUUUGGGUGGUUCAUUUUCUCAACCGCCUACUUUCUCGUCUGCAAUGUAGAAUUUUGGCGAGAUACAGGACCAAGAUGAGCCAAUAAACUAGUUGGAUGAAAGUAGUGGCCAAGUUGCUCAAACCUCCCUCGGCACGAGGCCACUAUUUGAGGAUAAACCUACAAGCAAAGUUCAGAUUGUCUGUGCUGCCUCUUAUGUACUCGAAAGUUUACUCGUACAAGAACUAAUUUUAGCAAGAAGUACCUCUGAUUGAACACCAUUUACCAGUCUGUACCCUAGGUAAUUAAAGUUCGUCCAUGGAUCAUAUUGGCUGUGAUCUCAAUCAUUUGGAUGCAUAAACAUACUGAACAUGUGUAUAUCUGAAUCUUUUUGUGAAUUAUGUAUGAAUAUUGUCGUGUGAUCUAUCAAUCAUUUGGAUGCAUAGAUAUGCUGAGCUUGUGUAUAUAUGAAUCUUUUGAGUUGUUGAUAGUGAAUGUUGGCUAUGAAUAUGAACGUGUCCUGUGAACCUGAGUUUGAUAUGAAUGUUUACCUUUUCUGUUGUAUUUGUGUGUGAACUUGUUAGUAUGCCUACUGUGGGGUAUAAAACGUAGGUCUCUUAUAAAAGUAAUGCUGUGUCCAAUUUAUGUUUUCCCUUCUAACCACAUUAUAUAUAUUUAUAUUAUUACUAUUAUCGUAUAUUUAUAGAGACUUAUAUAUACAUUAUAAAAACAUCCCACGUGUUAUUAACUUAUAAAAGUAAAUGUUUAACAGAAGUUGGCAAGGAAAAUCCUGGUUGUUUUUUACUCACAGGCAAGGAAAAUCCUGGUGAUUGCGUACAAAAGCUUGCGAAGAUUUUAAGGACCAAUUUAAUAAUAACGCGCUCAUUUUUAUUUUGAGCAAUAAUUCGCUAAUUUCUUAAUUAUAUAUAUAUGUGCCUCUUCGGUUUAUUCUUUGAUAUUAAUUGCUCCUUCUAACAUAACAUUAUAUAUAUAACGAGCCCACCUAAUACGUGUAUUUCAAGGAAGUGCAAAUGGGCUGGGUUUUCUUAGAAAAUAUAAAUGGGCCUGAUUGAUGCGAAAUUAUUUGUUCACCCAGCCCAGCAAAUGGACUGUACAUUCUAGAAAACAUGGGCUAAAUAUAUGCCACAUUUUUGCAGGCUGACAUGUGGGCCAAUAGGUCGAAGCCUAUGCAGGGCGUUGUCAACUUGGUCAACAAAUGAUUGUGUCAUCCACAGCCAUUGGAUUUAUAUCCAACGGCCGGCAUGCACCUUCAAUCUCUCGUCUUCUUCCUCCAGCAUCGCCGGGACCGCCUGGUCCGGCCUCCGGCGGCUAGCGGCUCUGCUUAGCACGCAUCGCUGCGAAGCGCUACCCCACCGCCGGCCAGGCUAUCCCUCCACCCCUCGACACCUCCUGUUAUUCUCCACAGACUAUAGCCCCACACCGCAACAGAACCAGUUAUAACCCUUCUCCUCCUCUCAAUCUGCGACUCCACUGCCGCGUUUUCCCAUCUCCGAGUCGUUCCCGUCCGGGGCCUCACCGUCGUCCACCGCCUCGCUGCGUUCGGUGCGGCGUGGUCAACAAACGAGAGUCAUCGGAAGAGGACUAUACGUGGAGAGCCUGACGGCUGGGACCCACGAGGUCCAUGGUCGCACGCAAGGAAAGUUCCUCCUUAUUAAGCUGAAAGAAAUGUUUCCUCCACCUGACAGCUGGGACCCACCGGCUGUAUGUUCGCACGAAAGGAAGUGCCUCCUUGUUUUGCGAAAAAAAUUAUUCAUCCCGUUGGCAGCUGGGACCCGUCAGAUUUGGUGACUGACUUGUGGGCCUACUAAGCAGACAUGUACGCACGACUUUGUCAACUUAAUCAACAAAUGAUUCUAGCAGCUGGACCGUUGGAUGUUAAUCCAACAGCCGUGCUUCUUCUUCAACCUCUGUUCUUGCUCCUGUCUCCCGUGGGCGGCACCGUGGCUGUGCUGCCGUGCACCCGAGCCAGUGAAGUUUCCCAGUCCUCUCCAUCUGCGACUCCACUGCCCCAUCUUCCCCAUCUCCGGGUCGUUCCAGUCUGGGUGCGCUCGGCACGGUCUGGUCAGCGUGGUCAACAACCAAGAGUCAUCGGAAGAUGACUAUACGUGAGAGGCUGACAGUGGGGACGCACCACACCCAUGGACGCAUGCAUGCCACGGAACGCGGCGAGGUCAACGUGGUCAAGGAAUGACUUCCAUCGGAAGUAUACUGUACGUGGAGAGUCUCAGCUGGGUCCACGGCCGCAGCAAGUAAGUGCCUCCUUAUUACACGGAAAAUAAUGAUUCCUCCAACUGACCGCAGGGACCCACUGGACGGGCCACCGUAUUUUGUGAAAAAAACGUUCCCCCCGCUGUCAGCUCGGACCCACCGGAAGUGCCUCCUUAUUACGCACACAAAAAUGAAUACUCCCCCGGCUAGCUGGGACCCACCUUGGUGGGAGGCUGACUUGUGGGCCUACUAAGUUGACGGGGACGAAGGGCUUUGUCAACUUAGUCAAUAUGAACGAUUCUAGCUCCAGUGACCGUACGAUGUCCAUCCAACGGACGUAGUGCUUCUUCAACCUCUGGUCUUGUUGCUCCAGCCGCCCAAAGCAGCGCCGGUCGUGCCGCAUGCUCCUGCCUCCCGUGGCCGACUGUGCUGCCACGGAGGCCUCACUGUCCCCUACUAUUCCCACCGCUGGCCAGGCCCUGCGGCGACAGCAGCCUCACACCGCAGCCGAACCAGUGAACCCUCGUACUCCUUUCCGCGCGGGCUUCCACUGUCGCGUCUUCCCCGGCUCCGCGUCAUCCCCUUCCUAGGCCUCCCCGUCGUCCACCGCCGUGGUGCUCUCCGCGCGGCGUGGUCAACAUCGUCAAGGAACGACUUCCAUCGGAAGAGUACUGUACGUGGAGAGGCUGACAGUUGGGUCCACGGCCACAGCCCAGUUUUUUUUUGUGAUUUGCCAAGUAAGUCGCUUUGUCAGGCCUGUUGGGCUGCAAAUCUUUCAAGACGAGGAGAGCUUUCAUUCGGCUGGCAGAGAAAAUGGCCCAUCAGUAAUGAGAAAUGGGCUGUACAUUUUUAAAACACAUCAAACCAGCAAUUAGUUUCAAAUAUCUUUUUUUUCAUUUCAAGAUUUUAAAUUACAUUAAUUUUUAUGCGUGGAGAAUUUGUUGGAUUUUAUAUUGAUAUACAUUUAUUUUUUAAAUCAGUUUGAAUGUGAGUCGAAAUUUCAGGAUUAAAAACAGUUCGGACCGCACCGAAAUAUGCAAAAUUUCGUAUAAUUUUUUAACCGUGGCCACAAUAUGGGUUGUAAUGCUAACAAAAAGAAUAUGGGCUCCAAAAAGAACCUUAAUAAUUAGCAAAUGGGCUGUAAAUCAUUAGAAAUAAUGGCAGAUGGGUUGUAUGCUGUUUUCCACAGAUUUGAGGCUUUCCUAAAAAAAGGUUGACGCACAAGCAGUGACUAUUGGAUGGCCAUCCAACGGCCGUCGUGCUUCUUCAAUCUCUACUCUUCCUGCUGCAGCCGCUCAAACAAGCGCCGGCGGGACUGCCUGCUCCCUCCUGCCCGCGGCCGGCUCUGCUGCCGCGCAGGCCUCACCGCCCCACCGUACUCCCAUCGCUGGCCUAGCCAUCCCUCUACUCACCCACACCUGCUGUUAUUCUCCGGCGACGGCAGACGAACCAGUAAACCCUCGUACAGUCGUACUCCCCUCCGCGUGGGAAACAACUGUCGAGUCUUCCCUACCUCCGUGUCGUUCCCUUCCUAGGCCUCGCCAUCGUCCACCGCCCUCGUGCUCUCGGCGCGGCCUGGUCAACGUGGUCAACGACCGACAUGCAUCUGAAGUGGACUGUACGUGGAGAGGCCGACAGCUGGGUCCACGGCCGCACGCAAGGAAAUGCCUCCUUAUUACGCGCAAAAUAAUGAUUCAUCCACCUGACAUCAGGGACCCACCGAAAGGGCCUCUGUAUUUCAUGAAAAAAACAUUACCGCCGCUGACAGCUCGGACCCACCAGCUAUAUCUUCGCACGCAAGGAAGUGCCUCCUUAUUACGCACAAAAAAAAUGAAUACUCCCCCUGCUAGCUGGGACCCACCAUGGUGAGAGGCUAACUUGUGGGCCUACUAAGUUGACUGGGACGGGGGCCUUUGUCAACUUUAGUCAAUAUGAACGAUUCUAGCUCCAGUGACCGUACGAUGUCCAUCCAACGGCCGUAGUGCUUCUUCAACCUCUGGUCUUCUUGCUCCAGCCGCCCAAAGCAGCGCCGGUCGUGCCGCAUGGUCCUGCCUCCCGUGGCCGGCUGUGCUGCCGCGGAGGCCUCACCACCUCCUACUAUUCCCAUCGCUGGCCAGGCCCUGCGGCGACGGCAGCCUCACACUGCAGCCGAACCAGUGAACCCUCGUACUCCUCUCCGCGCGGGCUUCCACUGCCGCAUCUUCCCCGGCUCCGCGUCAUCCCCUUCCUAGGUCUCGCCGUCGUCCACCGCCGUGGUGCUCUCCGCGCGGCGUGGUCAACAUGGUCAAGGAACGACUUCCAUUGGAAGAGUACUGUACGUGGAGAGGCUGACAGCUGGGUCCACGGCCACAGCCCAGUUUUUUUGUGAUUUGCCAAGCAAGUCACUUUGUCAGGCUUGUUGGGCUGCAAAUCUUUCAAGACGAGAAGAGCUUCCAUUCGGCUGGCCGAGAAAAUGGCCCAUCAGUAAUGAGAAAUGGGCUAUACAUUUUUAAAACACAUCAAACCGGCAAUUAGUUUCAAAUAUCUUUUUUUCAUUUUGAGAUUUUAAAUUACAUUAAUUUUUAUGCAUGGAGAAUUUGCUGGAUUUUAUAUUGAUAUACAUUUAUUUUUAAAAUCAGUUUGAAUGUGAGUCAAAAUUUCGGGAUUAAAAACAGUUCGGACCGCACCGAAAUAUGCAAAAUUUCUGAUAAUUUUUUAAUCGUGGCCACAAUAUGGGCUAUAAUGCUAACAAAAAGAAUAUGGGCUCCAAAAAAACCUUAAUAUUUAGCAAAUGGGCUGUAAAUUAUUAGAAAUAAUGGCAGAUGGGCUGUAUGCUGUUUUCCACAGAUUUGAGGCUUUCCUAAAAAAAGGUUGACGCACAAGCACUGACUGUUGGAUGGCCAUCCAACGGCCGUCGUGCUUCUUCAAUCUCUGCUCUUCCUGCUCCAGCCGCUCAAACAAGCGCCGGCAGGACUGCCUGCUCCUUCCUCCCCGCGGCCGGCUCUGCUGCCGCGCAGGCCUCACCGCCCCACCGUACUCCCAUUGCUGGCCUAGCCAUCCCUCUACUCACCCACACCUGCUGUUAUUCUCCGGCGAUAGCAGACGAACCAGUAAACCCUCGUACAGUCGUACUCCCCUCCGCGUGGGAAACAACUGUCGAGUCUUCCCUACCUCCGUGUCGUUCCCUUCCUAGGCCUCGCCAUCGUCCACCGCCCUCGUGCUCUCGGCGCGGCCUGGUCAACGUGGUCAACGACCGACAUGCAUCUGAAGUGGACUGUACGUGGAGAGGCCGACAGCUGGGUCCACGGCCGCACGCAAGGAAAUGCCUCCUUAUUACGCGCAAAAUAAUGAUUCAUCCACCUGACAUCAGGGACCCACCGAAAGGGCCUCUGUAUUUCACGAAAAUAUGUUACCGCCGCUGACAGCUCGGACCCACCAGCUAUAUCUUCGCACGCAAGGAAGUGCCUCCUUAUUACGCACAAAAAAAUGAAUACUCCCCCUGCUAGCUGGGACCCACCAUGGUGGGAGGCUGACUUGUGGGCCUACUAAGUUGACUGGGACGGGGGCCUUUGUCAACUUUAGUCAAUAUGAACGAUUCUAGCUCCAGUGACUGUACGAUGUCCAUCCAACGGCCGUAGUGCUUCUUCAACCUCUGGUCUUCUUGCUCCAGCCGCCCAAAGCAGCGCCGGUCGUGCUGCAUGCUCCUGCCUCCCGUGGCCGGCUGUGCUGCCGCGGAGGCCUCACCGCCCCCUACUAUUCCCACCGCUGGCCAGGCCCUGCGGCGACGGCAGCCUCACACCGUAGUCGAACCAGUGAACCCUCGUACUCCUCUCCGCACGGGCUUCCACUGUUGCGUCUUCCCCGGCUCCCCGUCGUCCCCUUCCUAGGCCUCGCCGUCGUCCACCGCCCUGGUGCUCUCGGCGCGGCGUGGUCAACGUGGUCAAGGAAUGACUUCCAUCGGACGUGGACUGUACGUGGAGAGGCUGACAGCUGGGUCCACGGCCGCAGCAAGGAAGUGCCUCCUUAUUACGCGGAAAAUAAUGAUUCCUCCACCUGACAGCUGGGACCCAUCGGACGGGCCACUGUAUUUCACGAAAAAAACGUUUCCCCCUGACUGCUGGGACCCACCAGCUACAUCUUCGCACGCAAGGAAGUGCGUCCGGGCAAAAAAAAUGAUUCGCCCCCCUAACUGCUGGGACCCACCAGCUACAUCUUCGCAGGCAAGGAAGUGCCUGACAGUCGGGACCCACCUGGUCGAAGCGUACGUAGCAUUGUCAUUCUGGUCGCGAACGUGUACGUACAUACUGGUCCAUGUAGAGGCACGCACGUGUCGUAGUAGAGGCGCGCACGUAGCAUGUACACGUACAUACAGCGGCCAGUGUGCAAGAGAGAAAAUACGGCCACGUACGUACAUACGGGCAGGGUCUCGAACGCCUACUCGCGCAUACGUACGGCCAGGGCUCGUGUACAUGGCUGGGUCGGAACGGAGAAAUAGCAUCGUCGUCGUGUUCAUGGGGAGCCAACCGGCUGGGUCGGACCAAAAUGCGUCGUCGUGUUCAUAGGGAGGGCUUGGACGGAACAGCCGAUGGAAACGAGGCCUGGCGUACCGCAGAAUGGAGCAAACGGCCUUCUGUUCGACCGGCCACGUUUGAAACGGGAUCCUGUUCAUCGGGAGGGGUCUGGCAUACCGCAAAACGGAGGAAACGGACCUCCUACGGUCGAAACGGGGGUCCUGUUGAUCGGGAGGGGUGUGGCGUACCGCAAAACGGAGGAAACGGACUUGUGUUGGAGCGCUACGGUCGAAACGGGGGUCCUGUUCAUCGGGAGGGGUGUGGCGUACCGCAAAACGGGACUCCACGGGACACUGUUCAUCUCCACCGUCGACCCCCUCCUGCCUCCACGGGCUACUGUUCAUCCACCGUCGACCUCCUCCAGCCUCCACCUGCGACUGUUCAUCCACGGGCUCCUGUUCAUCCAGCCUCCACCACGCGCUACUCCACCGGCUACUGUUCAACCAGCCCUCUCCACGGGCUCCUGUUCAACCACCCCUCCAAGGGCUACUGUUCAUCCAGCCCUCCACCGUUUAUUCAUUCUGCCCUCCACGGGGUGGUCCUGUUCAUCCUGCCCUCCACGGGGUCCUGUUCAUCCAGCCCCAACCGGCUCGAUCGAUCGGGGUCCUGUUCAUCCAGAGGCAACACCACGGGGUCCUGUUCAUCCACCCCCACCGGGAACUAUUCAUCCAAACCCCCCUAGCAACGCUCACUGUUCAUCCAGAGGCAGCAUCGAUCGGCUUCAGUUAGCAGCAGUAGCGAAGGAAUGGCUCGAUCGGGUUCAGUUAACAGCCAUCGAUCGAUCGCUCGGGUUCAGUAACGCGUAGCCUGCAGUGCAAUCACUCGGGUUCAGUUAGAGCCCAACGCCUCGCUCGGGUUCAGUUAGAGCCAACGCCUCGCACACACGCGCGUACGUGUACGAGAGAAACGCGCAUCGCUCGGCCCCCGACCUCCCACCGUAACCGGGAACUCCCUGAAAUUUUCCUCGCCCUCGCUUCUACCACGGUUUUUUCCGUCAUGGACGGCCCAAAGAAUGUCAUGCAGCUGCGUCUCCGGCCUGCCCAGGACGAAAAGCCCAUUUUCUGUCAUGAUUUUUUGUCAUAGAAGUAGGAGCCCACCACAUCUAUGAUGAUACCGGGUUUUGUCACAAUUAUCAUCAUAGAAGUGUCAUAUGUAUGACAGAAAAAAAUCCGUUCGGCCCAAAAUGUCACGGAUGUGUCUUUUUUUUGUAGUGCCAAUUAGUGAGGAAGCUAAUGAUGAUGAUCAUGAGACUUCAGAUCAAGUUACUACCGAACCUCGUAGGUCAACCAGAAUAAGAUCCGCACUAGAGUGGUACGGUAAUCCUGUUCUAGAAGUCAUGUUACUUGACCAUGAGAACCUACGAACUAUGAAGAAGCGAUGGUGAGCCCAGAUUCCGCAAAAUGGCUUGAGGCCAUGAAAUAUGAGAUGGGAUCCAUGUAUGAGAACAAAGUGUGGACUUUGGUCGACUUGCCCGAUGAUCGGCAAGCCAUAGAGAAUAAAUGGAUAUUCAAGAAGAAGAUUGACGCUGACGGUAAUGUUACUAUCUACAAAGCUCGACUUGUUGCGAAAGGUUUUCGACAAGUUCAAGGGGUUUAUUACGAUGAGACUUUCUCACCCGUAGCGAUGCUUAAGUCUGUCCGAAUCAUGUUAGUAAUUGCCGCAUUUUAUGAUUAUGAAAUUUGGCAAAUGGAUGUCAAAACUGCAUUCCAGAAUGGAUUUCUAGAAGAAGAGUUGUAUAUGAUUCAACCAGAAGGUUUUGUUGAUCCAAAGGGUGCUAACAAAGUGUGCAAGCUCCAGCGAUCCAUUUAUGGACUGGUGCAAGCCUCUCGUAGUUGGAAUAAACAUUUUGAUAGUGUGAUCAAAGCAUAUGGUUUUAUACAGACUUUUGGAGAAGCCUGUAUUUACAAGAAAGUGAGUGGGACCUCUGUAGCAUUUCUAAUAUUAUAUGUGGAUGACAUAUUGUUGAUUGGAAAUGAUAUAGAAUUUCUGGAUAGCAUAAAAGGAUACUUGAAUUAAUGUUUUUCAAUGAAAGACCUCAGUGAAGGUGCUUACAUAUUGGGGAUCAAGAUCUAUACAGAUAGAUCAAGACGCUUAAUUGGACUUUCACAAAGCACAUACCUUGACAAAGUUUUGAAGAAGUUCAAAAUGGAUCAGGCAAAGAAAGGGUUCUCACCUGUGUUACAAGGUGUGAAGUUGAGUAAGACUCAAUGCCCGACCACUGCAGAAGAUAGAGAGAAAAUGAAAGAUGUUCCCUAUGCUUCAGCCAUAGGCUCUAUCAUGUAUGCAAUGUUGUGUACCAGACCUGAUGUGUGCCUUGCUAUUAGUUUAGCAGGGAGGUACCAAAGUAAUCCAGGAGUGGAUCACUGGACAUCGGUCAAGAAUAUCCUGAACUACCUGAAAAGGACUAAGGAUAUGUUUCUCGUUUAUGGAGGUGACAAAGAGCUCGUCGUAAAUGGUUACGUCGAUACAAGCUCUGACACUGAUCCGGACGAUUCUAAAUCGCAAACCGGAUACGUGUUUAUAUUGAACGGUGGAGCUGUCGGUUGGAGCAGUUCUAAACAAAGCAUCAUGGCGGGAUCUACAUGUGAAGCGGAGUACAUAGCUGCUUCGGAAGCAGCAAAUGAAGGAGUCUGGAUGAAGGAGUUCAUAUCCGAUCUAGGUAUCAUACCUAGUGCAUCGGGUCCAAUGAAAAUCUUUUCUGACAAUACUGGUGCAAUUGCCUUGGCAAAGGAAUCCAGAUUUCACAAGAUAACCAAGCACAUCAAGAGAUGCUUCAAUUCCAUCCGGGAUCAAGUCCAGGUGGGAGACAUAGAGAUUUGCAAAAUACAUAUGGAUCUAAAUGUUGCAGACCCAUUGACUAAGCCUCAUCCAUGAGCAAAACAUGAUCAGCACCAAGGCUCCAUGGGUGUUAGAAUCAUUAUUGUGUAAUAUAGAUUAUUGACUCUAGUGCAAGUGGGAGACUAAAGGAAAUAUGCCCUAGAGGCAAUAAUAAAGUUAUUAUUUAUUUCCUCAUAUCAUGAUAAAUGUUUACUAUUCAUGCUAUAAUUGUAUUAACGGGAAACAUAAUACAUGUGUGAAUACAUAGACAAACAUAGUGUCACUAGUAUGCCUCGACUUGACUAGCUCGUUGAUCAAAGAUGGUUGAGUUUCCUAGCCAUAGACAUGAGUUGUCAUUUGAUUAACGGGAUCACAUCAUUAGGAGAAUGAUGUGAUUGACUUGACCCAUUUCGUUAGCUUAGCACUUGAUCGUUUAGUUUACUGCUAUUGCUUUCUCCAUGACUUAUACAUGUUCCUAUGACUAUGAGAUUAUGCAACUCCGGAAUACCGGAAGAAUACUUUGUGUGCUACCAAACGUCACAACGUAACUGGGUGAUUAUAAAGGUGCUCUACAGGUGUCUCUGAUGGUGUUUGUUGAGUUGGCAUAGAUUGAGAUUAGGAUUUGUCACUCCUAUUGUCGGAGAGGUAUCUCUGGGCCCUCUUGGUAGUGCACAUCACUAUAAGCCUUGCAAGCAAUGUGAUAGAACACUCCCUCGUAUGUCAUGGGGUUAAUGUUGUAGUAAUCGUCUUCAUUCGGGUACGGUAGCUUACCAUGUGGUGACACCUUGAACACAACUUCCCAACCCUUUAGGUACUCUUUCUGUCAUGGGUAAGGCAGAUAAUAUACUUGUGUAGCUUGGGUAGCCGCAAUGAAGAGAUCGGCUCCGGCAUAGACGGUUGAUGGUUUAACUUCGACCAAACCAAUGGAAGGCUUAUGUUUUACCCCCUCCUGCGGAUCGAAACAUCGGCAUUUCAACACAGGCAGACAUAGGGUCUCGCGCCCCUUGCGGAAUUUAAUCUCGUAUAUAUUUUGUACCCUUCCGUAGUAGUCUACUGAAUUUUGACCGGGGGUGUACACUCCGGUAUUUAUAGUUUUGGGAUCAGGUUAGUUACGGGAUUUAUAGUUUUGAGACUUGCCGGUAACGAGAUUGAGCUAGGUAUUGAGAUACCGACGAUCAAAUCUCGGGCAAGUAACAUACCGAUGACAAAGGGAACCACGUAUGCUGUUAUGCGGUUUGACCGAUAAAGAUCUUCGUAGAAUAUGUAGGAACCAAUAUGAGCAUCCAGGUUCCGCUAUUGGUUAUUGACCGGCGACGUGUAUCGGUCAUGUCUACAUAGUUCUCGAACCCAUAGGGUCCGCACGCUUAAAGUUCGGUGACGAUCGAUAUUCUGAGUUUUUGUGUUUUGAUGUACUGAAGGUAGUUCGGAGUCCCGGAUAGGAUCACGGACAUUACGAGGAGUCUUGAAAUGGUCGAGACAUAAAGAUCGAUAUAUUGGACGACUAUGUUCGGACACCGGAAGUGUUUCGGGAGGUUUCAGACAAAUACCGGAGUACCNNNNNNNNNNNNNNNNNNNNNNNNNNNNNNNNNNNNNNNNNNNNNNNNNNNNNNNNNNNNNNNNNNNNNNNNNNNNNNNNNNNNNNNNNNNNNNNNNNNNNNNNNNNNNNNNNNNNNNNNNNNNNNNNNNNNNNNNNNNNNNNNNNNNNNNNNNNNNNNNNNNNNNNNNNNNNNNNNNNNNNNNNNNNNNNNNNNNNNNNNNNNNNNNNNNNNNNNNNNNNNNNNNNNNNNNNNNNNNNNNNNNNNNNNNNNNNNNNNNNNNNNNNNNNAGGGGCGGCCAGGGCGGCCGCGCGCCCCCUCCCCCUCUAGUCCGAAUUGGACAAGGAGGGGGGGCGGCGCCCCCCUUUCCUUCUCUUCCUCUCUCCCUUCCCUCUCCUCUCCUACUCCUACUUGGAAGAGGGGAGUCCUACUCCCGGUGGGAGUAGGACUCCUCAUGGGGGGCGCCAUAGGGGGCCGGCCUUCUCCCCCUCCUCCACUCCUUUAUAUACGGGGAGGGAGGCACCCCUUGGAGACACAACAAUUGAUCAUUGAUCUCUUAGCCGUGUGCGGUGCCCCCCUCCACCAUAAUCCACCUCGGUAAUAUCGUAGCGGUACUUAGGCGAAGCCCUGCAUUGGUAGCAACAUCAUCACCGUCAUCAUGUCGUCGUGCUGACAGAACUCUCCCUCGAAGAUCUGCUGGAUCGGAGUUCGUGGGACGUCAUCGAGCUGAACGUGUGCUGAACUCGGAGGUGCCGUGCGUUCGGUACUUGGAUCGGUCGGAUCGUGAAGACGUACGACUACAUCCGCGUUGUUCUAAUGCUUCCGCUUUUGGUCUACGAGGGUACGUGGACAACACUCUCCCCUCUCGUUGCUAUGCAUCACCAUGAUCUUGCGUGUGCGUAGGAUUUUUUAAAAAUUACUACGUUACCCGAUAGAUGGCUAGCUGCCUUUUCUCACCAUCCUCACCGACCACCUCAAUGUACCGAGACGAACCGCACUCCCUACAGUACUUGUCAUCUGCAUACUCGUGCCUAAACAAAAGGCAAUUCUUCGGGCAAACAUCUAUUUUCUCGUAAUCCAUAGAGAGUGCCUUCAUGAUUUUCUUUGUAUCGUACAUGCUUUUCGGCAGUUCAUGACCCUCACGGAGGCUGUUAGCCCAUACUCCCAGGAAUGCUUCGAAGCAUUUCUGGCUACGGCCGUACUCAGCCUUGACUGCAAUCAGUUGCGAGAUGGCAUCCAGCUGAGAUAUUUUCGCACCCGCAUAAAGAGGUUUCUUCGACGAGGCCAAGACCUCCAAGAAGGCCUUUGCGGUUGCCUUCGGGUCCUCCGGUUCAUUCUCUGAAGGUGUCGCAUUUGCCGUUUCUGCAACAAUGACAUCAUCUAGCAUGUCCCUGGCCCCGUCGUCCUCAUAUCCAUCGAUGCGUUGUGCAUCACCUCCUCUCUACCACGGUCCUGCUCGGCUAUGUUUAUCGGCGGCAUGUCAAAGUUUGGCAUAUAUCCGUGCGUGCGAAGGUGCUCAGUCAUGUCCUUCUGAUUUCUACGGUGAUGUCUGGCACAUCUCGCACAGGGGCAUGGUGGGAUAAUUCUCAUUGGACGACGGAAUAUCUCCUUUAAAAACACAUCGGUUUUCGCGAUCCACUCUGAUGUUACUCGAUUCCGACGGAUAAAACCACUAUACAUCCACUGAUUAUCUGCCAUCCUCUGCUUUUUUGCAAGCCACACAACAUAAUUAAGGAUUCACUUAAAUUAAUCACAUUAAAUUUUCAUUUUCUACCACGUUGAACCCACCUACAUCUCUAAUAGGUAAAGAUGGGUCCUAAUCCCACCCGAGGAUGUGUAGAUUGAGUACAUUCUCCAUUCUACCCUAUUCCCAGACAAAAUUUCGGUAGCACCUCCCCGCUGUUCUCCAGAUACAUGUCUCGUCAAAUAGCCGAGAGAAUGUGCUCCGAAGAACAAUGGGGAGGCGCCGCCGAAAUCCUGUCUCGGAACGGGGUAGAACAUGGAGAACAUACCCAAUCUAAACAUCCUCGGGUUGUCCGUGGAAAACGCUGGACAAUUCGAAAGAGCUGCGGUGAUAAAUAUGCAAUUGAAUGCAUAUUUAUCGAUGCAACCCUUUCGGACAGGAGACGCCCAGGUUACGCGAGGUGACAUGAGAAUGAAAUCUAGUGACAUGAAAAAAUGGAAGAGAUGGACUUGUAGCUCACCCUCGGCUGUAGGGGAAGGAGUCGAACAACGGAGGGAUGCUCAGGGACAAACGCGUCGGACGACGGUCACUCCGAUGAAAUGCAACACCACAAAGCCUGCAAAUUCCAUCGCGACAAAAAAUUUAGAACAUCACAACUCAUAGAGCAUAUUUAAAACAUUUAAACAUGCAUUCACUUAUUUUUGCAUCAUGUAGGCAAAAAAACUAUCAUCAUCAUCAUCUAUUCGUCACAUAUUCAUCAUCAUCAUCUAUUCGUCAUCAUCAUUGAUUAAUCUCAUCAAACCAAUUUUUUUGCAAUAUAUAGCAUCUCAUCGAACCACAUAUAUAGCAUUUUAACAUAAAACAUCAAAAAAAGCAGCAGCUAACCUAUCUAACUAAUCUAUCCAUCUAAACCCUAAACUAACUAAACCCUAAACUAACUAACUAAUCUAUCCAGCAGCAGCAGCAGGAAGCAGCAACCAGCGGCAACAGCAAGCACAGCAAGCAGCGGCGGCAGCAGCAGCAGCCUCACCGGUGAGGCAGAGGCGGGGUGGAGCAGGGCGGGGCGGCGACGGGCGGGGCAGUGGCGUCGGGGACGGGGCGUCCGAGGAUGGGGACGGUCCGGCCGAGGACAGGGACGGGCCGGGCCGGCGGCGACGGAGGAUUUGGGNNNNNNNNNNNNNNNNNNNNNNNNNNNNNNNNNNNNNNNNNNNNNNNNNNNNNNNNNNNNNNNNNNNNNNNNNNNNNNNNNNNNNNNNNNNNNNNNNNNNNNNNNNNNNNNNNNNNNNNNNNNNNNNNNNNNNNNNNNNNNNNNNNNNNNNNNNNNNNNNNNNNNNNNNNNNNNNNNNNNNNNNNNNNNNNNNNNNNNNNNNNNNNNNNNNNNNNNNNNNNNNNNNNNNNNNNNNNNNNNNNNNNNNNNNNNNNNNNNNNNNNNNNNNNNNNNNNNNNNNNNNNNNNNNNNNNNNNNNNNNNNNNNNNNNNNNNNNNNNNNNNNNNNNNNNNNNNNNNNNNNNNNNNNNNNNNNNNNNNNNNNNNNNNNNNNNNNNNNNNNNNNNNNNNNNNNNNNNNNNNNNNNNNNNNNNNNNNNNNNNNNNNGUGUUGGGGCGGGGGCGGGGCGGCGUCGGAGUUGGGGAAGGGGAUGGGGGCGGGGGCGCGCGGUGCAAGGCGGGGACUGGGGCGCGCGGAGCAAGGCGGGGACGCCGCGAUGCGGCCCGGGCGGGGGCGGCGCCGGCGCAGAAGGUGGCGGCGGCGCCGGCAAAGAUCGAGGGCGGCGGCGCGGGUGGAUCGAGCGGCGUGGAGGCACGAGUGGUCGGGGCGAGGUGGAUAAGGCACGGGUGGCCGGUCGGUACGUUGAGUGGAUAAGGCACGAGGUAUGUCGACGGUGUAACGGUCAGCAUAUGUUAACAGAACCUAUUCAUCCGGAUAGGCCGUCAGCAUACCUAGGACCUUUUUUUUUGUAUGCAUUAUUACUUACUCUAGUUAUGUCAUUAGUGAUUCCGUCAUAUCUGAAUAAUUCUUGUUUUAUUUGAACAAAUAGUAUCGUUGGUGCCAAAUUUCCACACCCAAACAUCUCUAUUCAUCCGGAUUUAUUUGACAAAUACUAUCAUGCUUAGCUUCAAGAGCUGCCGGAAGAAGAAGAAAGAACAUAAGGAUUUUGUGAGUUAGUUCUCAGGUGUUGGAUUUUGACUUCUUGAAAAAUAUUAACGCAAGAGAGCGGGUACAUGUAUAUACCUUUUUUGGGGGUGAAAUACCGCAACUAGAAGAACCCGUGCGAUGUUUCGGUGCCUGAGCUACACCCGGAAGCCCCACCGACCGGACUAACUCUAGCACUGUUGACCCGAUGAUCUACGCCUUUGACUUUCGCCGGACGGGCUUUAAAUAGUUGACUCUUCCACCUAGUUGCAAUAGGUCAGCACAUAGGAACAUCCCCGAACAGGGUCUGGACCCAANNNNNNNNNNNNNNNNNNNNNNNNNNNNNNNNNNNNNNNNNNNNNNNNNNNNNNNNNNNNNNNNNNNNNNNNNNNNNNNNNNNNNNNNNNNNNNNNNNNNNNNNNNNNNNNNNNNNNNNNNNNNNNNNNNNNNNNNNNNNNNNNNNNNNNNNNNNNNNNNNNNNNNNNNNNNNNNNNNNNNNNNNNNNNNNNNNNNNNNNNNNNNNNNNNNNNNNNNNNNNNNNNNNNNNNNNNNNNNNNNNNNNNNNNNNNNNNNNNNNNNNNNNNNNNNNNNNNNNNNNNNNNNNNNNNNNNNNNNNNNNNNNNNNNNNNNNNNNNNNNNNNNNNNNNNNNNNNNNNNNNNNNNNNNNNNNNNNNNNNNNNNNNNNNNNNNNNNNNNNNNNNNNNNNNNNNNNNNNNNNNNNNNNNNNNNNNNNNNNNNNNNNNNNNNNNNNNNNNNNNNNNNNNNNNNNNNNNNNNNNNNNNNNNNNNNNNNNNNNNNNNNNNNNNNNNNNNNNNNNNNNNNNNNNNNNNNNNNNNNNNNNNNNNNNNNNNNNNNNNNNNNNNNNNNNNNNNNNNNNNNNNNNNNNNNNNNNNNNNNNNNNNNNNNNNNNNNNNNNNNNNNNNNNNNNNNNNNNNNCGCACCCGCAUGAUUCCCCCUCCAAGUGAUGGCGGCACUGCCGUCCGUGGAGGGGGGCCCACACCACGGAGCCCCAAGACGAGCGCCUACGCAUGCCACAACACUUUCACACAUGCAUCGGGACCCGUGUGAUGUUUCAGUGGCAUAGCUACACCCCGAAGGCCACCCCUAAUCCCAGUUGACCAGGAGAUCUAGCCCUUUGACUUUUGCCGGACGGGCUUUGACCAGUGGUCUCUUCCACCUGGUUGCGAUAGGUCAGCCCAUAGCAACAUCCCCGCAACACCUGGUGGCAUUGCUACCCCUCACUACUAGGAAAAGGCCUACUAGUGGCGCACCAGUUUUGCCUACUAAUGGCGCACUACUGGUGCGCCACUAGUACCACCCCACUAGUAUUUUUUACUAAUGGCGCACCACUAGUGCGCCAUUAGUAUCUGGUAUACUAAUGGCGCACCAGGCAGUGCGCCAUUAGUAUAGGCAACGGUGCGCCAUUAGUAUGCCUCCCAGGGGGCCAUAUUUACCCAUGUGCUUUGCCAUACUAAUGGCGCACUGCGGGGUGAUGCGCCAUUAGUAUCCACAUUGGGGUGAUGCGCCAUUAGUAUGUAUAUUAGGGAUUUUUUUCUUUUCUGAUAUUUGCAAGGAUUACAAAAUAUAUUAUUGGACAGAAUAUAAACAGCACCACACAGCAACAGCAGAUUCAUCGAAUACAAUAGAAGAUUAGUCUCCGAAUACAAUUCAUCAUAUUAGUCUCCGAAUUCAAAAGACCAAACAAAGAUAGAACAUUACAAGUCUCGAGACCGCGAGUAGCGAGUUUGUCGAAAGUAAAACUAAUCCUAACAAGUCCUACUAAUCAUCAUCAUACAACUUCUACUCGUUAUUAAUAACAAGUCAUACGAUCAUCAUCCUGAUAGUCAUCGAACCAACCCUACUUAAUUGUUCUUAGCACAUGAUCAUCAGUAUUAGGCAGGACCUAAAUACCCUAUUUAAGGUAAAAUAGCAUAAAACAAUAUAGACCCUGACUCUCCAUUAUGGAGAAUGGAGAUCAUCCUGUCUCCAAUUCUUGCGCGGCGCUUCCUUUUGCUUCCAAGAACCUCCUUACGACUGUCCAUACAUUUUUUCCAUUCUCUGAUUAGCAUGUCUCCACUUCUUCUAGAAAUCCGGUAUGGACAGUUGAGAUUCGUAGGAUGACCUGGAUAUAAGUUCAAAACACGAAGGCUGCCAUUCUGAUACAGCAAAUGAGGCACACAAUCCUCUGGGAUUCUCUGUUGAAAAACAUAGUAAUAACUUCAUAGUUAGCAAUGAUGUACUAGUUUUAGAAGUAUGCAAAAGAUGCACGGAUGUCGUAAUAGUAAAAAAUCUUACCAGGGUAUCUCCAGGGUAGUUACCGUAGUUCAACACGUGCACUAGUGGCACGUAUUGACCAUAAUGUUGAGGAGUUUGAUUGUAGAUAUUGUAAUUCUCAAGAUCAGUACAAAAUCCGACCAGAUGAUUUUUCUCCUGAUAAGUUAACUCGGAGCCAUCGGUGUAGUGGGUUUUGUCUACCAUGUUCCGCACAUUUUUUGAACAAUCAAAAUAAGCUGUCAAUGGAAAUAAGUUGUCAACUAUUUUGAAAUAAACAAUAUAAAUUAGUUAAGAAUUAACUAUGUUUGAGAAACUCACAUAGCGGUAGAACUGGAGGCGUACCAACAAGGACCCAAAUGUCCAUAUUGUCUUGGUCGAUGUCAGGAUCACCAAGAUCCAUGGUGACAAGCAUACCCUCAUCAAAACCAUACAUCUUGCAAAAUGCUUCCCAAUUUUGGCAACCAAAAUGGGUUACGCUCUCAGCAUUAUACAGAUUUACUUCAAAAUCCACAUCAUGUUGUGUCCUUAGGUGAAUUUUCUUCGUUUCAAAAUUUUCAUGAUCUUCAAAAUCCAUCCUCUCCAAGACAUAGCGUCUUGCAUGGCAUGGGAUAAACUAUACUCGAAUUGUAAAAGAUGAAAUUACACGUUGAAAUAGUUGAAGUCAUGCUUAAUUAUGAAAAAAAACACUUGUCGUCGUUGCGUACCGUUUCAACUUCGAAGGUCUCCUCGAGCUUAAUGCUGAAGCGUCGAUCAUCGUCCAGGUGAGGCCUGUCGCACAGACCUCGACCGUCGUGGCACCAGUCGCACUCCCCCGGGAGACUUUCGUCGUCCGAUGACGACAUUUCCUAUGUUCAUAAUUCAAAACUACAUCAUCUCUGUUGGGUCCAAUAAGAUAAUCCACAGUGUGGUGAAAACAUGCCCUUCGAACUGGUUUGAGCAAUUGGUGAAUGGAGAUGGUCUAAGAUUUUCAGUAGUAAGAAGUGAAGUGGUAAUUUUGAGAGAAAAUGGUUAGGAUGAGUGGUUCCUCUUUCCUGUUUAGCUUUACAAUAGAAUAUUGUUAGUCAUGCACACUUGUGCAUUUUCAGCCAGGCCCAGUGGAUUUGGCCUAAAAACAUUUCUUUCUUUAAGCCUGCUACAUCCAUCUCAAGUAUUUAUGGUCAAGGGUUAGCAGGGCCAUCCAAAUAGAAUAUGUGGUAUGGGCUUUUUUAGUAGGUCAUCCUACCAGAUUAGGGUUUAUCGAUGACGAGCAACUGACAUUAGUAAUAACUAUGAGUAGAUAUCACACUUCUAUAUGUAUAACACAAGAGGCAGUUGAUCCUACUUAAUUAAGUACUAAGAUACCCCGGCCCAUGCAUUAGUCGCAAGUGCCCCAUAUGUCCUAUUUUUAGCAAAGUCAUGCUAAAAUUCACGGAAAAUUUCAGCAUGACCUUUGCUGAAAAUAGGACAUAUGGAGUGCCCGAAUUUGCCGGAACGGAAGUUAAUCGACAUUUUGGCAAACUCAAGGGCCUCUCGGGGUACAGCAGCAGCAUCACAAGUUGACAAAGACAGUAGCUUCCUUGCAACCCACAAAAGACAAAGGAAAAGGGGUGAAAAGGGGGAGAUGGUUAGCUUUGAUGAGCAGGCAGCAUCUUCCUAACCCCCUUCUUCUUGUCUCCUCUCACUAUGCUCAAAGAACAAUGGUAACACCAAAAUAUUGAAACCUUUGGUAAGCAUUAUAUUGCAAAAUAAAAAGAUAUGCAGUACUAUACAAUAUCCAUAACCAGAAAACAAGACAUGCAUAGGCUAUAUUUGAAAUAAGAUAUUCUGCCAAUCUUAGUUAACUGAAACUAUCUACAAUUCAUGUGUUCAAAAAUUCAGUUACAUUCAGCUGUUGCUGCAAGUAGCCAUUGAAAUGGACAUAAACCUAAUCACGGUCACAUCAAACAGCCAUGAGCUAUUUUGAUUUUAGUGUCUAUGAAUUUCAAAAAAAUUAAGGGAUGUAUCAUGAGACUCCAAAGAAAUAUCAUGGAUCGCAAAUAAGUCCGCAAAAAUUGAGUAAUCUCUGCAGUAUGCUACCCAGGACAAACCAUAGAAGUCAAAGAGAGUGCUAUCGAGGAUGCUAUCGAAUGAUUGUGAUCUGACAUGCAUGCACGAUCGCAGGUACUGAGAAGGCCCACUAUUCUGCUGAUGAGGCUCUCGUACUAAAGGUUAGGAGAUAAUGCAAUGAUGUUUUCCUUGGCAAGUUUACAUGGAGAAAUUCACACAGUUCAUCAACUAAUUGCAUAUUUGUGUUGAUAUGACUGACCUCCAUGUUAACUGCAGCAAAAAGCAAAGGACGUGCUCCCUUACCUGAAUGACCGUUGUGUUUAUCUAGUUGGUUAGUUCUUGCCCCCACAUCAGCUCUAUAAUUUGAAUGGAACCCUUCACUAUGUGUUGCCUAUCUAAUAUGUGUAUGCAUUUAAAUGUAGGAAUGAUGGGUUCCGGCAAAACUACAGUGGGGAAGAUAAUAGCUGAAGUACUAGGCUAUUCAUUCUUUGACAGGUUUGAACUUCUCUCUGACAACUGCAGCAACUGCUCAAAGCCAACCAAGAUCUUCUUUGAACUAACUUUUGAGUGAUCACAGCUUAGUUAACUGAAACUAUCCUCACUUUGUAUUCUUGCACCAAAUCUGUCCUAUACAGGUUGUAGUCUUACAUUCAGACACACAUGUGUGAAUCGGUUCAGAUAUCAUCAAUAUUCAGCAACAUCAAUUCAUGACACAUUUUUCACGGACAUUCAUUCGCAGUUGCAACAGAUCAUGCACAGCAACCAACAAUCUUCCAUGACAAAAGAUUAUUCACCUCGGUAUAGAUCAUGUAGCAUAUAGAUUGAGACUGGAAAAGAAAACAAUCAGAGAUGGGGGACAGGGGAGAGGGAGGGCGGACGCCGGCAGCCGGAGGGGCGAGAAGGGGAUGAGCAUACCUGCGCUGGACGCCGGUGGGUAGGGCUGGAGCUCGCCCCGGUUCUGCUUGAUGAUGGAGUUCGUCCGAUCCUGCAGAGAGAAGGGAAGGUGGAGGAGUCCGUCAAACGGAGCCAUAAAGAGAUGUGGGGCGGCGGGAAUGGAGGGGAGGAGGGAGGUCGAGGUGGACGCCGGCGGGUCAGGAGGGAUUUACCUGGCCGCCGCUCGAUUUGGCGCGUGGAAGACGAGGUGGGGCGGCGGGUAGACGGGCACCUUGGCGUGCAGGCGCUCGUAGUCGAAGAGGAAGACGGCGGCGGUCCUCCUGGGCGCCUCGGUUGGUCGUGGGGAGGCCGGCGGCCACGUGCUUCGCGGGUCGGCGCGGGGGCGGCGGCGCGGGGGAGCUGCAGUGGUGGGGGNNNNNNNNNNNNNNNNNNNNNNNNNNNNNNNNNNNNNNNNNNNNNNNNNNNNNNNNNNNNNNNNNNNNNNNNNNNNNNNNNNNNNNNNNNNNNNNNNNNNNNNNNNNNNNNNNNNNNNNNNNNNNNNNNNNNNNNNNNNNNNNNNNNNNNNNNNNNNNNNNNNNNNNNNNNNNNNNNNNNNNNNNNNNNNNNNNNNNNNNNNNNNNNNNNNNNNNNNNNNNNNNNNNNNNNNNNNNNNNNNNNNNNNNNNNNNNNNNNNNNNNNNNNNNNNNNNNNNNNNNNNNNNNNNNNNNNNNNNNNNNNNNNNNNNNNNNNNNNNNNNNNNNNNNNNNNNNNNNNNNNNNNNNNNNNNNNNNNNNNNNNNNNNNNNNNNNNNNNNNNNNNNNNNNNNNNNNNNNNNNNNNNNNNNNNNNNNNNNNNNNNNNNNNNNNNNNNNNNNNNNNNNNNNNNNNNNNNNNNNNNNNNNNNNNNGAGGGCGUCCGAGCUCGUCCGGGUCCUCGUAGUCGAAGAGGAAGACGGCGGCGGCCCUCCUGGGCGCUUCGGUUGGUCGUGGGGAGGCCGGCAGCCACGUGCUUCGCGGGUCGGCGCGGGGGCGGCGGCGCGGGGGAGCUGCAGUGGUGGGGGGCGGCGGGGGUGGAGUCCGGCGGGGGUCGGGGCGGCGGCGUCGUGGGUCAGGUGAGCGCGCGGGUGGACUGGCAAGGGAGAGGGACGAAGGGGAUCUGGCGAGGGAGAGGGAGGAAUUAGCUAGGGGGGAAACUUACUAAUGGCGCACCCCGAAGCGGUGCGCCAUUAGAAUGUUUUUUUUAGAUAGCAAUGGCGCACCCACGAUCGGUGCGCCAUUAGUAAUCUUUUCUUUUAUAUAGCAGUGGCGCACCAGCCAGUGGUGCGCCAUUAGUAAUCUUUUUUUUAUAUAGCAAUGGCGCACCAGCCAGAGGUGCGCCAUAAGUAAUUUUUUUAUUAUUAUUUUUUGUUGCAUCUAAUAAUUUUUUAGAAAAUGAAUAUGAAACAGUAAUAAUUUUUUUAUAAAAACAGUAAUAAUUUUUUUUUAAAUAUCAUCAAAUUUGUUAUUUGAAAAUAUUUAUGAAUAUGAAAAAAUAUCAUCAAAUUUAUUAUUUGAAAAUAUCAUCAAAUUUGUUAUUUGAAAAUGUAAUCAAAUUUGUUUUUUUGCAAUUUUAGUUGCAUUCAUUUGUGACGGUGGAGCGGGCCGGGGAGGGUGCGGGGGGUCGUCGGCGGCGGUGGAGCGGCCGGGGANNNNNNNNNNNNNNNNNNNNNNNNNNNNNNNNNNNNNNNNNNNNNNNNNNNNNNNNNNNNNNNNNNNNNNNNNNNNNNNNNNNNNNNNNNNNNNNNNNNNNNNNNNNNNNNNNNNNNNNNNNNNNNNNNNNNNNNNNNNNNNNNNNNNNNNNNNNNNNNNNNNNNNNNNNNNNNNNNNNNNNNNNNNNNNNNNNNNNNNNNNNNNNNNNNNNNNNNNNNNNNNNNNNNNNNNNNNNNNNNNNNNNNNNNNNNNNNNNNNNNNNNNNNNNNNNNNNNNNNNCGGCGGCGGUGGAGCGGGGGAGGGUGCGGGGGGUCGGCGGCGGCGGCCGGUGGAGCGGGGUAGAGGGUGCGGGGGGUGCUCGACGGCGAGGGGGCCGGAUCUGGCGAGGUGGGAUAGCGAUCGAGAUGGAGGGGGAUCGAGAUCAAGUGUCCAUGAAAUAUACACUAAUGGCGCACCGGGGAACAGUGCGCCAUUACUAGUUUAAACUAGUAAUGGCGCACUAUACACUGGUGCGCCAUUAGUAGUUUUGCAAGUGCGCCAUUAGUAGUUUUGCAAAAAAAAAAGAAAUAAAAAAUAUAUAGCAGUGGCGCACUAUGAGGCCGGUGCGCCAUUACUAGUUAGAACUAGUAAUGGCGCACUGUGACCUGGUGCGCCAUUAGUAUGUUUGGAAAAAAAAUUGUUACUAGUGGCGCACCAUGUGUCUGGUGCGCCAUUAGUGUCUUUCACACUAAUGGCGCACCAGCACAUGGUGCGCCACUGCUAUAUAGUAGUGGCGCACCACAUGUCUGGUGUGCCAUUAGUGGCCAUUCCAUCUAUAGCCCUUUUCCUAGUAGUGCCUCCAGGUACACCGUCUCAUCUAAACCUGACACAGACGACCGCCGGGUCUAGCCCUUUGACUUUCGCCGGACGGGGUUUGACUGGUGGACCUUUUCACCUGGUUGUCAUAGCCCAGCCCAUAGCUACACCCCCAACACCGUCCCGGCCCAACCCACCCCAAUAUUCCCUCCAUGUCGGCCCAACGUGGCUGUUUCCCCCUCCGUGACACGGCGGCAGCGACGCCCGUGAGGGGGGCACACCCCGGAGCAGCGUGUCGGGUGCCUGCGCCUGCCACCAUGCUUCCACAACCGUAGGAGGACCCACCGCAACAGCUGGCGGCAUUGCUACCCCCCAGGUACCCCGUCCCUGUAAAGUCAAAGGGCUAGAUCUCAUGGUCAAACACUACAGGGUUAGGCGGGACGGGGGCCCUGGGGGGUAGCAAUGCCACCGGAGCGUCGCACCAGGCCCUCAUACAUGCAGGGUGGUGUGGUGGCAUGUCUGAAUAGGCGGCACGCGUCUCCGGGGUGUGGCCCCCCUCAUGGCUGGCGCCGGUGCCCGCAACUAGAGGGGGAAAACGGACACGUCGGGUCUACACGGAGGGGAUCUUGCUGUGGGUUUGGCCCGGAUGUUGCUCCAAAGUGUUCCUAUGGGCUCACCUAACACAACCGGGUGGAGAGUUCCACUGGUCAAAGCCCGUCCGUGUAAAGUCAAAGGGCUAGAUCCCGUGGUCAUACGCUCUAGGGUUAGGCGGGACGNNNNNNNNNNNNNNNNNNNNNNNNNNNNNNNNNNNNNNNNNNNNNNNNNNNNNNNNNNNNNNNNNNNNNNNNNNNNNNNNNNNNNNNNNNNNNNNNNNNNNNNNNNNNNNNNNNNNNNNNNNNNNNNNNNNNNNNNNNNNNNNNNNNNNNNNNNNNNNNNNNNNNNNNNNNNNNNNNNNNNNNNNNNNNNNNNNNNNNNNNNNNNNNNNNNNNNNNNNNNNNNNNNNNNNNNNNNNNNNNNNNNNNNNNNNNNNNNNNNNNNNNNNNNNNNNNNNNNNNNNNNNNNNNNNNNNNNNNNNNNNNNNNNNNNNNNNNNNNNNNNNNNNNNNNNNNNNNNNNNNNNNNNNNNNNNNNNNNNNNNNNNNNNNNNNNNNNNNNNNNNNNNNNNNNNNNNNNNNNNNNNNNNNNNNNNNNNNNNNNNNNNNNNNNNNNNNNNNNNNNNNNNNNNNNNNNNNNNNNNNNNNNNNNNNNNNNNNNNNNNNNNNNNNNNNNNNNNNNNNNNNNNNNNNNNNNNNNNNNNNNNNNNNNNNNNNNNNNNNNNNNNNNNNNNNNNNNNNNNNNNNNNNNNNNNNNNNNNNNNNNNNNNNNNNNNNNNNNNNNNNNNNNNNNNNNNNNNNNNNNNNNNNNNNNNNNNNNNNNNNNNNNNNNNNNNNNNNNNNNNNNNNNNNNNNNNNNNNNNNNNNNNNNNNNNNNNNNNNNNNNNNNNNNNNNNNNNNNNNNNNNNNNNNNNNNNNNNNNNNNNNNNNNNNNNNNNNNNNNNNNNNNNNNNNNNNNNNNNNNNNNNNNNNNNNNNNNNNNNNNNNNNNNNNNNNNNNNNNNNNNNNNNNNNNNNNNNNNNNNNNNNNNNNNNNNNNNNNNNNNNNNNNNNNNNNNNNNNNNNNNNNNNNNNNNNNNNNNNNNNNNNNNNNNNNNNNNNNNNNNNNNNNNNNNNNNNNNNNNNNNNNNNNNNNNNNNNNNNNNNNNNNNNNNNNNNNNNNNNNNNNNNNNNNNNNNNNNNNNNNNNNNNNNNNNNNNNNNNNNNNNNNNNNNNNNNNNNNNNNNNNNNNNNNNNNNNNNNNNNNNNNNNNNNNNNNNNNNNNNNNNNNNNNNNNNNNNNNNNNNNNNNNNNNNNNNNNNNNNNNNNNNNNNNNNNNNNNNNNNNNNNNNNNNNNNNNNNNNNNNNNNNNNNNNNNNNNNNNNNNNNNNNNNNNNNNNNNNNNNNNNNNNNNNNNNNNNNNNNNNNNNNNNNNNNNNNNNNNNNNNNNNNNNNNNNNNNNNNNNNNNNNNNNNNNNNNNNNNNNNNNNNNNNNNNNNNNNNNNNNNNNNNNNNNNNNNNNNNNNNNNNNNNNNNNNNNNNNNNNNNNNNNNNNNNNNNNNNNNNNNNNNNNNNNNNNNNNNNNNNNNNNNNNNNNNNNNNNNNNNNNNNNNNNNNNNNNNNNNNNNNNNNNNNNNNNNNNNNNNNNNNNNNNNNNNNNNNNNNNNNNNNNNNNNNNNNNNNNNNNNNNNNNNNNNNNNNNNNNNNNNNNNNNNNNNNNNNNNNNNNNNNNNNNNNNNNNNNNNNNNNNNNNNNNNNNNNNNNNNNNNNNNNNNNNNNNNNNNNNNNNNNNNNNNNNNNNNNNNNNNNNNNNNNNNNNNNNNNNNNNNNNNNNNNNNNNNNNNNNNNNNNNNNNNNNNNNNNNNNNNNNNNNNNNNNNNNNNNNNNNNNNNNNNNNNNNNNNNNNNNNNNNNNNNNNNNNNNNNNNNNNNNNNNNNNNNNNNNNNNNNNNNNNNNNNNNNCUAACACAACCGGGUGGAGAGGUCCACUGGUCAAAGCCCGUCCGUGUAAAGUCAAAGGGCUAGAUCUCGUGGUCAAACGCUACACGGUUAGGCAGGACGGGGGCCCUGGGGUAGCAAUGCCACCGAAGCAUCGCACCGGGCCCUCAUACAUGCGGGGUGGUGUGGUGGCAUGUCCGAAGAGGCGGCAUGCGUCUUCGGGGUGUGGCCCCCCUCACGGACGGCGCCGCCGCCGGCACCUGGAGGGGGGAAACGGACGCGCCGGGUCUACACGUAGGGGAUCUUGCUGUGGGUUUGGCCAGGAUGUUGCUCCAAAGUCUUCCUAUGGGCUGACCUAACACAACCGGGUGGAGAGUGUAGGGGAACGCAGCAGAAAACAAAAAUUUUCCGACCUACGCACCAGCCCAGGACCACUAUGGAGACUGCAUACAUGGUUUGAUCUUUUUCGUUACCGACUCGUAGCGCAGCGGGAAGUAGAGUCGAUGACGAUCGGCGGUGCAGAUCCCCGCAGCUAGGAUUUACAACCUCCCAACCGCGAGGAUGUAUACCCUCAUCUGCUCCUCAGACAGCCCUCCGGGAGGCGGUCGAACAGCCCCCCGGACGGUGUCGCGGACAGCCCUUCGGGAGGACCUUCGAAACUCGAACGGUCACUCGGACAGCCCUUCGGGAGGACCUUCGAAACUCGGACGGUCACACGGACAGCCCUUCGGGAGGCACUCACGAACUAUGACCGAAACUACGAUCUCUCUACAGAGUUGCACACAUACGGUGUCAUCUAUCCAACAGGGCUUCGCCGUCCAGAACUAGUUCCUGCCGGAACCCAGACAGCCUUACGGCUCUACGAAACUCUUUUCGUGGGAGGGAGAGAAGAAGCCAGAUAAUGCAUGGCAUGUGUAUGAGAGCAAGGGAUGAGUGUGGAGGGCUGCCCCUCCACCUCUAUUUAUAGGAAAUCCCAAGGGGGUAGGGUAGUUUCACAAAAAACCCAAAAUGCACAUGAAUGAAGUCCUUCCACAAGGACCUAGGAGUGAAACCAAGGAACUAGAGGGUCCCCAAGGGGGGAUACCCCAUGUGGCAGGCCACACCCCCAUGAGGGGCCCCAAAAAUGGCUCCUAUCCAUCCAUGUCAUCCCCAAGAUCUUUUGGAGCAAAGCCCCAAAAGGUGGCUUUCCAUAAAGUAACCAUAAAGCUGAUUUUCACUAUUCACGACGACAUUUUUCAGCGUCUGAUCGAACUGAAAAUAUUUAUGUGGGCUAAGAACAUUUCCAGUACCCACUAAAAUGAUUUUCAACGCGUUCCGAAACAAUUCCGGUUUUAGUGAUUUUCAUCUGCGAAACGCAUCUGAAGUGGCUCCGGCAGCUCCGGAACAUUUCCGGUUUUUAUCUCAGAAAAUUCCAAAAAGCUUCCAGAAUGAUUCUGGCAUCCUCCAAGAAUUAUCAGGCAUGUGCCGAAACCAAUUUGACUUAAUGGUGUAUCCCGAAACAACUUUUCGGUAUCAUCGAAACUUAUCCGAUGACCUCUCUCUGCGGUACGAUUCCGCUGUGCGAAACUUUUCGGUGUCCGAAACUUUUUCGGUGAUUUUCUCUCAGACUCCCUGUCUAGUAUUCAGCAGAUAGAUGACCCUUAAGCGUGUGACCCUAUAGGUUCGGUGAAGUAUAGACAUGACCCGGAACCCCUUCCGAUCAAUGAUCAACAUCGGAGCCGUGGACACCCAUAUUGACCCCUAUACCCACACGAAUAAAUAUUCGAGUGAACCUCCAGUUGCCAUGUGCUAUUCCUGUUGCUUCGCGAUAUGUUACAAAUACCCGAGGUGAGACAUGUUGGCAUUCCUGUGGAUCAACAACUUGUCCACUAUGCUAGCUACCUCGUUACCGGUAUUGUUCUCUUUUCUCGUUAUCGUGUUCCGGCAUCCCCGUGAUCAAAUCACAAAGUGUCUGGCCAGACGAUGAUGGAUACCGUAACACCGAGAGGGCCCAGAGAUAUCUCUCCAUCGUCGGAGGAGCAAAUCCCAAUCUUGAGCUAUCAAGUUACUUGACACACUUUUCCAUGAACCCGUAAGCCGCCGUAAUAGCCACCCAUUUACGGAUGACGUUUAACAAACCCCAAAGUUCAUGAAGCAAGCAUGAAGAAACUCGAUACUCUCAUGGUCUAAGGAAUCAUGCAAACGUUAACCAUCUCUGUGUUAUGUACCAAUAAACUUGUGACGAAUGAAUCUCAUAGCAUAACAUCAUGCCGGGUCGAUUCAACACAAAUGUUCUCUUAACAUUGUGACCUCAAGGUUGCUGACAUAGACAUGCCCAUGAUCAGGAAAACAUAACCAUCAUGCAACACUUGAGCUAGUCUUAGAGGCCAGACUAGGAAUACAUUUUACCGUUUAUUAUUCCACACGUGCAUAUGAGUCUUCCUCCGAGCCUCGUGAUUAUUGCAGACUCGAGAACCAUAGCAGUUAUAGCAUGGAACAUAAACAUAAUUAUGAACUCGGAGAUAAAUAAUAUCAUUUAUUAUUGCCUCUAGGGCAUAUCUCCUACAGAGAGGUCCACUGGUCAAGGCCCGUCUGUGUAAACUCAAAGGGCUAGAUCUCAUGGUCAAACGCUACAGGGUAGGCGAGACGGGGGCCCUGGGGGUAGCAAUGCCACCGGAGCAUCGCACCGGGCCCUCAUACAUGCUGGGUGGUGUGGUGGCAUGUUCGAAGAGACGGCAUGCGUCUCCGGGGUGUGCCCCCCCUCCAAGUGACGACGGCACUGCCUUGCGUGGAGGGGGGCACACCGCGGAGCCCCAAGACGGGCAUCUACGCAUGCCUGAACACUUUCACAUAUGCAUCGGGACCCGUGCGAUGUUUCGGCGGCAUAGCUACACCCCGAAUCCCCCCACUAACCAGACUCCCUCCGUGUCAACCGUUUCCCCCUCCGUGACACGGCGACAGCGACGUCCGUGAGAAGGGAAAUCGAUAUACCAUCGAGGUAUGUUUUUUGUUUAGAUAAGGCACAUUUAUCUUGUGGAAAAAUAAAAAAAAUAAAAAUAAUAUAAAGUAAAAAUAAAAAUAAUAUGCCGACGGCACGGCACGGCCCGUCGGCAUAGCUGCGCACACGGAGGUACAAUCCCAUGGAUCGAUGACGUGGCACCGCAUGCGGAUCGAUGACGUGGCAUGCUAGGUCUAUGUCGACGGCUACGCCGUAGGCAUAUCUCUGCCACACAACGCCCCUCCCCCCCCACUCCCUCGGAUCGAUGACGUGUCAACGACGCGGAUAGGUGAUGUCAGCAAAUCUAUGCCUAUGACCUAGCCAUCGGCAUAGAUAUGCCGACGGCCGCCGUUACCUCCCGUCAUCAUAGUUUCGACGCCGUCAAACGGUCAUCGCUGAACGGGUAGGUGGGCCCGGGCUAUGCCGACGGGCCCCGUAGACGUACCUCCAGCGGUCCCGACGGCCUCAUUAUGCCGACGGCCCCGUCAGCAUAGAUAGACGUAUGCCGACGGCAUUUCUACGCCUACGACCUGGCCUGGGCCGUCGGGAUAGGCGUAUCUAUGCCGACGGGGGCCGUCGGCAUAGAUGAGGCCGUCGGCGUAAGCGGGUAUUCUGGUAGUGCGUCCAGUCACUCUAUGAAAAGUUUCAUUGUUUGCAUAUAGAUUUAUAGAAUCAGUUGACGCAAGCUACCCUUCAAGUCUUCCCUAGUCACUAUGAAAAGCAGUAAUCCUGCCUUUUCGUCCAAAAAAAAGUCUUCUCUAGUUAACUUCACUACUGAAAUCGACGAAGCUGCCUAGUGCUGUAUCUUUGCCGAGUAUUUUUCAUCGGGAGCUUGGCGUUGAAAACUUGCAAUUCGAUAAAAACUCGAGAAAGUUGUGGUGGCGAACUAAAAACUCGGCAAUGAAAUCUGUUCACCUAGUGCAGGGAAAAACAAAGUCCAACAUUUGCCCGACCGUACUCAAUCACUCAUCGCUCGAAAAAGUAUAGCGAUUUCCUUGUAAAAAAAGCACGACUGAGAUAUUCUUCCUUAACAAGGAUCAAACUCCUCUAUGGGAGAAAGAGAGGAAGGAUUAAAGUUAAAAAAUAGCAAAAAUACGGUUCAGAGUUUUUUUUGCCUUGAUUUUUUGCGAGAUCUUAUGAGUUUCACCUCUAGCCUACCCCAACUUGUUUGAGACUAAAGACUUUGUUGUUAUUUUGAUAAAUUGACUUAUUACUUAAGAACUCAACAUAAUGAACUCGGGGAAUACCUGACCAGGUGGACCCACAAGGACCAACCGACGUCUCUAUGAGGGCAGGGCUCCCUUUGCCGAGUUCCCCAUAAUGAAAACUCGGCUCCCUUUGCCGAGUUUGGGAAGCUUCUUGAAGUAGUCCCAAAGGGGCAGUGCUGACAACAUCACUGUUGUCAUUGUUUGCUUCUUGGACGGGACGAGUCUGCCGGAGAUGGACCGAGCGAGGAGGUCGCCAAGGACCAAUCUUCAUAGUUGUUCUUAUUCUUCCAUGGCGUUGUAUCCGCUGUUGUAUCUGAUGCUCGAAGUAGAUGUCAUGUGGCGGUGCCCUCCUGUGCUACGAAACCAAAACUGACUUGGCCUGAGUUCCGUCAUUGUUCCAUGCUCCCGGCUAUCCUAGAUGGUAGGUAAUGUCGGAACACAGGGGAAUGGUGGGGCAGUGUUGUUACCAUAUGAUCCAAGGGGUACUUUUUCUUUCUUCAUGCUGAACCUUGUACUGUGUAGUUUCUAUGCUGGUGUUUCAUGCUAGUGAUUUUUAGCAGUAAAUGCAUGUAACCCGACUAUUUGAAUGAUUUGAACAAAGUUGUGCUC
rnacentral:lncRNA from 1 species